AUUGGUGAACUGAUCUGAACUGACUGAAGAUCAAGUUUGUAGCUUGUUGACAAGCUGUUGUUGCUGCCAUCGAUUUAUUCUGUUCAUAGUUAUUUAUUCAGCCUUGGUGGGUGGUGGAUGCUCCCCUUUCUUCCUUUGUUGCACGCACGGUCUCGUGCUUGUAUUGUACAACUGCAUGAUUAUCCUAGCACAACAUUGAUAUUCUUUCCAACUGUCCACAUAGAAAUUGAUGGAUAAUGCAACGGACUAUUCGGAUAAGUACAGCUCUCCCUGCUCCACUAGCAGAUCUCGCUUUUGGUUAUCCACAGAAUUCGAAAGGCUGCAAGAGUUUUGAGGCCUGAAAUGUAGAAUGGGACCUUUCCUGUUGUUCUCAGUGUCAAAUAUAAGUUACCUGUGUUCUUUUUAAGUGGAAAAAGUGUAUUUGCCGUCCCUCAAAUAUUGCAAAGUGCGAUAUUUAUCCCUCAUGUUUCAUUUGAUACAAAUCAACCCCUUAACCAUAUAAAUCGAUCCAUUUAUCAUCCUCAACUUAUUUUAAUGAUAGUUUGGUGUCAUGUAACAUCGGUUUAGACCUUAUAAUCAUCUCACUAAUUACGGCUUAGCCAAAAAUCAUCGCUAUAAUAGUUCAUUUGGAAUGGAUCCAAUUCUAUUGAAUCAAUUUUGUUAAUUUUGCCAUUAAAAUUUUUAUGGGGUGGCCAGUUUAGAUUAUUUACUGAAUUUUUUGAGCUGACUAAAGCUGAUUAGUCAGUGAUUACAUGGCAUAAAGUGCCAUUAGAUGACACUAAACCAUUGUUUAUCUGGGGUGGGGAUGAUAAAUGCACUAAUUUAGUUAGAAUGAAACAUGAGGGAUGAAUAUCACACUUUUGCAAUACUUGAGGGAAAAAAUAGACUUUUUCCUCUUUUUAAUUAAUUUUGUCUAUGUGUUAGAGCAUGAACAUGGAAGGUGUUUACAUGCAAAUUCUAAGAAAAUAUAAUUUUGUCACGCAAUUAAGCAUUCAUGAAAAAGCCAUCAACUCCAAUAAAUUAUUUCCUCCGUACAUAACCAAUUUAUAGCGUGAAGAAAGAAACAAAUUCAUUCAUUACAUAGCCACCUUAUCUAACCAAUCUCAUUUUACAUGCUCUUAGAGCUUAAUUAUCCAAUUAAUCUUUUUUUUUCUUUUUUAAGGUGUGUAUUAGGAUUUGAAAAGGUCAAUCUUAUUAACCUUUGACUAGUUAACAAUUGGUUUAAUUGUAUGCAUCCUUACUGUACAAAAAUUGUAUUUGCAUCAAUAUAUUCACGUAUGACCUCUCACUUUACAACUCUUAAACCACAACAACCCUCCGAAGUGGCAUUCCACUUGGCAUCCAUAUCACCACAUUUUUCCAAAUAUACUAGUUGCGCCAUGAGCUAAAUACAUAUUUUCCUUACAAAAAUAUUUUCUUCACUAGCUAGUUGGGGCGAGUAUCAUGCGUAAUUAUUUUUCUAUGGGUUGGUCACAAGAUCAGGGUAUGUGCUUCAACCCCCUUAGCUGGUACAUAUAUAAUUGAAAAAAGGAGCUCAUCUCCCCUCCACUUCUUUAACCAGCUAACGAACCCUAAUGCUAAGAGUUGUCUAAGGUUUCAAAAGAGAUAUGAUUGCUAUAACAAAAGUAUAAUAUGAGUAUAACAUCGCCACAAUCUAUCAUCUUUAAAAUUUGAGCUCGGAUGAUGUGUCGUCCGAACUCAGAUUUUAUGAGAUGGUAUGUUAAUUGUCAUGUUAUUUGAGCUUACACUAUAUUUUGAAGUAAUUUUGAGCAUAGACUGUCAGGCAUGCACCCCAGGCCCACGAGUAGGCCUUGGACGGCCCACUAAGGGACGUACUCAGACAAGAUCAGAACAAGGAUGGAUACAUCCUACUCGGACUAGUUAAGUAUAUUUAUGGAAAACUACUCGGGUCUUUACCGAGUAUAACUAUGUAAUAGUACCCGACUAGGACUCCGGCUUGUAACCCUGCCCUCCCAUGUAUAUAAGGGCGGGCAGGGACCCCUCUCAGCAACAACUCCAGUUCACCAAAUACAAACCAACACACAGGACGUAGGGUAUUACGCGAUCUAGCGGCCCGAACUUUGUCUAAAUCGUGUUCCUUGCGUCACCAUUGAUUCCUUGAUUCUCGACGAUCCUUACCGUAUAAAAGACCACCUAGGGUACCUCCUAGGCGGGUUGCCGGUCUAAAACACCGACAUAGACCAUAGCAAUUCUUUAUGUUGUCAUAUAUUUUCUCAAAUUUAGAUGGUUCCUAACUCGUUGUUUUGGUUGGUGGAUUAAACAAAGGAGGUUGUGUAUUUGGUUAAAAGUUUUUUUUUGAAGCAAAAUCAGACUUGUGUCUAUAUCUAGAGUGAAAAACUAUCCCACACAAAUAAAAAACCAACCCCAUUUUUAUUGCAGGGAAGUGGGAAAAUGAAAAUGAAAUGGUUUAUAUUAAGAAAAAAGAAAGAAAAGAAAAAAUGCAAAAUAUACUGAGAUUUACUCCUCAUCAAUCGAUUGAAAUCUCGGUUAUCCAUCAAUCACCAAAAUCUCUACUAGAAAAUGAAUGAGAUUUGAGAAUUUGGGGUUAGGGUCUAGGGGAUUCGGGGUUGGAGGUUACCCGUGGCUUGUGGGCCUAAAGGGAGCUCCGGGAGGAUCGCCAGCUGGCGGUGGAGGCGGGAGAGACUGCGGGGGAGUGGAGGCAGCGAGGGUGUCGCCGGAGUCAGGCGGUGGAGGAACCCCGUUAGGUGGCGGAGGCGUCUGGCUCCGCCAGGUUAGUGUUGGGAAGUAGAGGAUGGCAACGGCGGAGGCCACCGGAGCUAGGGGAGGUGGCGGCGGCGGGGGCAGCGUCCCUGAAGUUGGGACUUGGGAGGUGUCAUGCCGCGUGUGGAAGAUGAAAGGAGGAGGAAGAAAGAAAAAGGAGAUUGGCUGUUGGAUCAAGAGCCAACGGUUGCAGGCGUUGAUCGACAGAAAAACUAAAUUUCAUCCGGUUGAUACAAGACACUUCCAAAUAUCUUAUCUCAUCUCCCUCCCCGCUCUUCCAGCUCGAGAAAGCAUCCACAGCCAGGAGCUCCUCGUUCGAGCUUCUCCACGUGACCACACGCAUUCACUGUGCCCCGCCGUCUCAGCCUCAUGUCUCUGCUCACUUCCCCCACGCCGUUCGGCGUGGCCGUCGUCCACCGUCGCGCUGCGGCGCUUCCCCUUCUCCCCGCGAGCGGUCGAGCUGCCCUGCACGUGGCCCUCGCUCGCCGCGGCGGGGUCUCGUCCCGCACGCAGCGGCGCCUCGAGGAGCGCGGCGGAAAGAAGCGCCGCGGCGGGGUCGUGGCGCCCGACGUGGACGAGGACGCAGCGGAGGCGGGGGCGGCCGAGUGGGAAGGGGAGCCGCUGGGGUUCGAGGUGUCGACGGAGCCCAUGCCGGAGAUUCCGGACCCGGAGACGCCCGACUUCUGGGAGGGGCCCCAGUGGGAGGCCCUCGGCUUCUUCGUCCAGUACAUGUGGGCGUUCGGCGUCGUGUUCGGCGUGAGUACAUCCUCCUCCUCCAUUGGUCCUCAUGUAAUCCAUACUCAUUAGUCAAGCGCUCAACAAAGUUAAAUACAUCCAAAAUAUUAGAUAUCCCUGCGCUAAUUGGACUCCUCCAUGGCUACAUGUUGAAUUAUCUGCAUAUAGAAGUAAUUGCGAAACAGCUCACUCUAAGCUGUUAACGUUAGUGUAGUUUUAAAUUGCAGUGUGAUAUUGUGAGCUUUAGCUUGACAUGUGAAUCUUGAUUGCGCAUCUGAAUUUGUUUGUAGUAGUAAUAGCUACUCCGUAUCAUUCAAAAUCCAUUAUAUGGAGGACUAGUUCCGCUUUUUGAUAGCAGUUAUUUACCGCACCCGGGCUAAAAAGGAUCAUUUCCAGUGGCUAGUGGCCUAGCGUGUGGCAGAUUAUGUUAUGCUGAAAACAAUCAUGAAAUUGUUUCUUCGUGUACUGCUUAAGAAGACCUACUGUAGGAUUAUUUUGUUGAGUUACAUCACUGAAUGAAACAUUUUGAUUUUUGUUUAUUGGAACUUGGCCUACAUCCAUGUUGAACUUGUUUGCCUUGAAAAAGACUUUGCUCACGGUUCCUCAAGUAUACACUUUUAAUUCUCCAGCAAUGAGACGUGGUAGUAAUUUGUGGGUUCUCAGCUUUGCAUCAAUGUGGCCUACUUUUGCAGCUCAUUGCUUGUGGUGUCGCGGUGGCUACCUACAAUGAUGGCGCAACAGAUUUCAAAGACACUCCUGCGUACAAGGAAUCACAAACACAGGAGUUCCCUGAGGAGUCUGAAUCAUCAAGCGCUGAUGUGUUUGAAGGCAAUCCGACUGAGGUAGCACCAGCUCUUGAGUAGGACUGUGGAGGAAACACGGGUGAGAGAAGACGAUGUCUCUCUUUUAUUUGAGGUAUAGCCUAUAGGGCCUUACCUGUAAAGUAGCCGGUAAGACAUGUAAGGUUUGGUUGAAAUCAUAAUGCUCAAAAAAACUGGCUGGUGACUAUUGAGCACUGAAUUUUCCCUUGGAUGAAAAUAUAGAUGGCUAGUGGUGAUGGAAUUCAAGUAUUCAACUGUCAGUUGUACCCAGAAGUAGGGAAAAAGAAAAGAGAGCAAGGAUUGCCAUCUUUCCUGUAUUUUGCAUUCAUCGUACCCUAUACCAUCAUAGGAUGCUUUUCAUGCAUAUAGUCCAAGGAAAAUGUAUAUAAUUCAAAUGAAUUUCACAAGUUACAUUCUGUACCGGCACAAUUCAUCAUGUCUCUCUUGGAAAAUUUUGGAGUACUACUGUGAAUUCCCUUCUGCAACAUGUGGCAUAAUCAGAUUCAGUUUGGACCCUUUUUUUCAACUACAUAUGGCUCAUCCAGAUCCAGCUACCGUUUCAGACUGCCAUGCAAUUUGUGCUUCAAUGAUAAUUUUCACUGCGCAUCAUUUUGGCGUAUCUCAGCUGCCAGUGAGCACCCAAGUUACCCCAAAGGGGAGGCACUGCUGUACAUGGCUGAGCUGGCUCAACCGCUGGAGCCCCAACCAACCAACGCCCACGGGACGUGCACCGGAGCACACAAAAGCGCCAUGGCUGGCCGGUAUGGAAUUCCCAGGCGGACAGGGAACCGUCGUUAAAGUGGACAGGCAAAUAUACGCAUCGCACGCUGCUGUUCUUGAGCCAUGGCGUAACUUUUCACGAUCCGGGACAACAAAAGGAGGGCGGGGCCGUCCUCUUUGCGGAGCUCGCUCACACGAUCCAUGGCGCCGUGGUUGCGCGCGGCACGAGAAAGCUACGGCAGCGGCGUCCAUAUAUGUUAGCUGCCCGUUCGCCAUUCCUGGCAGCUCCCUUCCUGCCGAGGAACACGAUGGCUGCGUACGCGGUGAUCGCCGCGGAGGACGCGGCGCAGCUGGUGUCCCUGCUGGCGCCCCUGCUCGUCGUGGCGCUCGUCGCCGCGGUGGUCGCGUCGGCGUGGGCGGACGGGGCCGUGCGCGUGGCCGCGGCGCAGGUGGACGCGCAGGCCGGGGAGUGGGCGCGGUACGUGUUCGGCUCGGAGGACGCGGAGCUCGCCGCGCCGCCGAGCCCGCUCCCGGUGGCGUGGCGAGGGGAGCACGGCUGAAGGCCUGAGGUAGUAGUCUACUAAUCUGGUGCGUGGAAUGCGGGCGGCAUAAUUCGCUGAUGCCUUAGACGUGUGCGAUGCUUAUAGUUGUCAAAGCAUCCUCUCUUCGUCUCGUUCACGGAUCAAAUAUUAUGGAUCCAAUGUUCUCGCAAAGUGUCAUUAUAUUGUGAUAGUAUCUUACCAUUUGAUUGAUGGAUGUACUGCUACCUAAUGACUGUCAAUUAGUGAAAGAAAAAGUAAUGAUGAUGAAUUAAUGAUUUACUAGCAAUAGCAACUACCAAGGCCUUCACUCAAAUCACUUUACAAUAACUUUUUAUUUACAUCAGGAUUCCCUCCAAACACCCAGAAAACUCUAAGCUCGUCAGUCGUCACCCAGAAUUCUCUACGGCUCGUCGCCCAGAAAACUCUACACGGAGCAGCUGGCGAUCAGCCGAUCUCGAUCACUCUACAGCUCGUUCACGUCGUCCUCGUCCGCGGCGCCGGCCGACCCGCCCGCGCCGCCUCCGCUCUUCUCGUACACCUGCUUGAUGAUGGGCCCGCACACCUCCUCUACCUCCCUGAGCUUCUCCUCGAAGUCGUCCUUCUCCGCCGCCCGCCCCGCGGCGCCGUCCUGCUCCUCCAGCCACUCCAGCGCCUCCGCCAGGGCGGCCUCCAUCCUCUCCCUGUCCUCCUCGCCGAUCUUCCCCGCCAUGCCGCCGGCUCCGUCCUUCACCGUGGCGCGCAUCCGGUACACGUAGUUCUCGAGGCGGUUGCGCGCAUCGACGCGCUCCCGGACGCGGCGGUCCUCCUCCGCGAACUCCUCGGCCUCGCGCACCAUCCGGUCGAUCUCCUCCUGGCUGAGCCGGCCCUUAUCGUUGGUGAUGGUGAUGGACUCGGACCGGCCGCCGGCCUUGUCCGCCGCCGUCACGUGGAGGAUGCCGUUCUCGUCCACCUCGAAGGUCACCUCGAUCUGCGGCACGCCGCGGGGCGCCGGCGGGAUGCCCUUCAGGUCGAACCGCCCCAGCUCGCGGCAGUCCUUGGUCAGGCUCCGCUCCCCCUCGAACACCUUGAUCGACACCGUCGUCUGAUGGUCCUCGUACGUCGUGAACACCUGCGACUUCUUCACCGGGAUUCUCGUGUUCCGCGGGAUCAGCUUCGUCAUCACGCCGCCAGCCGUCUCGAUGCCCAGCGUUAGUGGCGUCACGUCCAGCAGCAAGAUGUCUGGCCAUUGUUUGAGAACAUGUCAGCAACAUGGCAGCCACCCAUCAGUGUCAUCGAUAAACUAAGGAAUACGUAGUACGUUACCUUUGGUCUCGGCGCCGCCCUCGCCGCUGAUGAUGCUGCCCUGGACGGCGGCGCCGUACGCGACGGCCUCGUCGGGGUUGAUCCCCUUGUUGGGCUCCUUGCCGUCGAACAUCUCCGUGAGGAGCUCCUGCACCUUGGGGAUCCUGGUGCUGCCGCCGACGAGCACGAUCUCGUCUAUGUCGGUCUUCUUGAGCUUGGCGUCCGCGAUAGCCUUCUUGACGGGCCCCAGCGUCUUCUUGAAGAGGUCCAUGUUGAGCUCCUCGAACUUGGCCCUCGUCAGCGUCUCGGAGAAGUCGACGCCGUCGAACAGCGACUCGAUCUCCACGCGCACCUGGUGCUGGCUGCUGAGCGCGCGCUUAGCGCGCUCGCACUCGCGGCGCAGCUUCCCCAUCGCGCGGCCGUCCUUGCUGAUGUCCCUGCCGUGCUUCCGCUUGAUGAGGCGGAUGAAGUGGUCCAUGACGCGCUGGUCGAAGUCCUCGCCGCCGAGGUGCGUGUCGCCGCUGGUGGCGAGCACCUCGAAGACGCCGCGGUCAAGGCUGAGCACGCUGACGUCGAAGGUGCCGCCGCCGAGGUCGUACACCAGCACGUUCAUCAUCUCGACGCCCUUCUUGUCCAGCCCGUACGCGAUCGCCGCCGCCGUGGGCUCGUUGAUGAUCCGCGGCACGGUGAGCCCGGCGAUGGUGCCGGCGUCCUUGGUCGCCUGCCGCUGCGCGUCAUUGAAGUAGGCCGGCACGGUGACGACGGCGCCGGCGACGCGCCGGCCGAUGUAGGACUCGGCCGUCUCCCGCAUCUUGGACAGGAUCAUGGCGCUGAUCUCCUCGGGGCUGAACGCCUUCCGCUCGCCGCCCUUCAUCGGCACCUCCACGUACGGCUUGCCGCCCCUGUUGACGACCUUGUACGGCAGGUACCUGAUGUCGCGCUGCACCUCCUCGUCGUCAAACCUCCGGCCGAUGAGACGCUUGAUGUCGAAGAUGGUGCGCUGCGGGUUGAGCGGCGCCUGGUUCUUGGCGGCCUCGCCGACGAGGCGCUCGUCGUCGGUGAAGGCCACCCACGACGGCGUGAUCCGGUUACCCUGGUCGUUGGCGAUGAUGUCCACGUGCCCGUUCUGGUACGCCCCGACGCACGAGUACGUGGUGCCCAGGUCGAUGCCGAUCACCGGCCCCGACGCCGACGCCGCCUUCCCCUUCUUCCCCUUCGGCGCGGAGGCGCCGUCGGCCACCCCGCACAGGUACCCUGUGCAGAGAAGAGAGAGCAAAGCGAGAGCUAGAACAGAGUGCUUCGUCAUCCUCGACGUCUUCCGCUGAGGAUUCUCUGAUGGAUCAAUGGAUGUUCGCCUCGUUUGUCACUUGUGAGUUGCGUCUUGCUUGGAUUGAGAGUUGGAACAAGUGGGAUCCUGCAAGAGCAGGCUCUGGCCUUAUAUAGAUUCUGGCCGGCGAUGAGCGUGGUAGUCGCCAGAGUGUUCUGGCCCGUGCCGGACCUCCCACCUCACACAAGGCACCAUAAAAGACGGUCCACGUUAGGUGGCCAAUCGCGCGUCGCCACGUAACAGGGCGGUCGCGGUGCGGUCAGAUCCUUCGAUUCCGUUCGGGGGUCGUCAAGUCCCACGGUGGUGGGCUGGCCAGAACAGGGUGGCGUUUGGGCUCAAGCCGAGCAGAACCGAGGCCGGCCUGGGUAGGCUAGAUUUGAUAUCUGCAGUGUUGGGCUAAGAAACACAUGAUAUUUGGGUCACGCGGUGAACAGACGGACUGACGGGCUGGGUCUCGGUUUCUUCAUUUCAAGGCCAUGCUCAUCGAGAUGCUGUGAACAGACAGACCUCAUCAAAUUAAUAAGGCAUGUUAAGAUGCUGUCGUUUACGUUUUUUAAAAAAUAUGCUGUAAUUUUAAAACAUCAUUUAAAAGCAUCAUAGCAUCAAACACCAAGACAUUAAACUGUACUAAACAAACAUAGCUCUAGAAACUAUCCAUGGUACAGGAAAAAGAUGUCCGGAGUGAUGUACUGACGUUCUAACUAAAAAAAGUCCAUUUUACUUCCCUCACCUAUCCACUUUAUCCGUUUAACUCCCUAAAUAAAAUUUAACCUCACUUUACUUCCCUCACCUAUCCACUUUAUCUGUUUAACCCCAAAUAAAAUUUAACCUCACUUUACUCCCCUGGGUUACUUCAUUUGGACCAAUCGACCUCCUAAUUAAAUUUCUCUAUUUUGUUUCUACGUGUAUGAGUUGAAUUUUGAGUUAAAAUUUUGUGAGAAGAUACAAAACAUGAUAUCUUAUAUUAAAAAUUAUACUAAGAAUUUUUCAUGGUUAUUUUCAUAUGUUAGCAAUAUUUAAUAUGAAACUGAUGUUAGAUAUACAAAAUUUACAAAAAGAAAUAGUGAAAAAAUGGUAAUGUAUUUUUCUAAUGUAAAGCAUCAUGUUAUAAGUCAAUUGGUAAAAUUUAAAUUCAGAACUCAACUUGCAAAGAAACAAAAAAGAGAAAUUUAAUUAGCGGUAGACUAGACCAAAUGAAAUAGUUCGAGGAAGUAAAAUGAGUCUAAAUUUUGCUUAGGGGGGUUAAGGGGACAAAGUAAAUAGUUGAAGGGAGUAAAAUGGACUUUUUUCAAAAAGAAAAACUACUUCUAACAAUGUCAUAUUUCUUCAAAACUAGAUGUGGUACGCCCUUGAAAUUUCCUAAAAUCAAAUGCUAUGCAAAAUUGUAGUACUGUAUAAAACUCCAGAUCAUAAAUUUUUAAUUCUAAACGUGAACAUACACCAAAAUGGAAAAAUGAUAGAAAAAAAACAAAGAGGAUUGGCGACUUGGCCACGCCUGAUAAAAAAAAUUGGUACAUUGCAUACUUUUCUCAAUUGCUAUUGCUACGCUGAAUUUUAACUCGCCCGCAUUUCACAUUGGUUGGGUACGGUUUGAUUUGAAGUUCAAAUAAUUUGUUUGAUGAAAGAUUAUGCCAUGUUUGAUUUGAUUUAAAAAAUUUAGUAAGUUUAUCGGUCACUCGAAUUAAUUCUCGAGAACCAAAAGAAAAAAAUUUCACAAUUUAGGUCCCUGGCUCGAUUUCGCAUUACCAGAGUUAUUAUCAUUUGUGCGUGAAUAAAACGGAUGGUAAUCUUCAAUUACUAUCCAUGAUGAUGUAACGCGUGUGCACAAUACAGUCGCGUUGAUCGCCACGUUCAAUCUCACCUCCUCCGGACCUACUCCAUUCCCGUUCCGGGAGUAUCCAGUGAAGCGGUGUUGGUGCUACACUGCUGUACCGCGAGGCGCGAGCACGAGACGAGCGUUGAGCCAGUUUCAUUCCCGGGCUCGAAUCGAUUCGAUCAUUUCGAAGGCAUCGCAUCCUCCGCCCCGCCGAGCGCCGACCUUCCGUCCCCAGCAAGCCCUAGCCCGCUCCCUCCUCCCGCGUCCGCCUCCAUGGACCGGGAAGACGCGGAGGAGGGCUCGGUCCCGAAGCGCCACAAGCGCAGCCACCAUCGCCAUCACCAGGACAGGGGUAAUCCGGGGGAGGCCGCGGGGGCCGAGGCGCGUGUCGGCCCGGCAUCGCUGGCGUCGGGGGAGCCGGGGGAGGGCGCUAUCGCACAGGACGAGGGCGCCGCCACCGCUGCGGAUGCGGGGAGGGCGCUCGCACCUGCUCCGGUCUGUUCCGAUCCGCCCCGCCCCCCGUGCUCUCUGUUGCCGUUGGGUAAUGCGUGUAGGUUAUAUUCGUCGCCCUUGUCCUCUCUGCUCCAGAAGUUGUUGGGUUUCUGUGCCUGUUGGUGCUACCACUUUUGAGUUGUUGGGGUGCAGAAAUGUCAAACAGCGUAUAAUCUUCAGAAGAUAUCAGAUCAUAGGCUCUACUAAUUCUGUUUUAUUGUACUGACUAAGAAUGCGAUGAAGGAACGAUCUAUCAUUGGCAGGACUUGUCUUGAUUACUAAUAGCGUCAAAACAACUUCUGCCUACUAUUUCUAAGCCAUAAUUGUGUAUGAUACUUAGUAAAAAAAGGGAUUGUAUAUAAUAUUCUAAGCCAAAAAAAACAGCAUUCUGCGUAGAAGAGUCAUGGAUUAAUAAAAUGAAAUUUAGUGGAAACUUCUAUCAUUGAGAUUGUUGACAAUGCACUCUGACGUUUCUCUGAUACACACCUUGAGCAAGAAGUAUGGUGCAGUUUGGUGAUAGAUGUAGCAUCCUACUGUGUUGGUAUAUGUUCUAUAUCAACUGUCUUGCUUGUGAGAAAAAAUAAGCUAAAAGUAUUACAAUAUUUUUAUCCAGUUGUAACCUGAGAAAUAAAUAAGGUUAUUGGUUCCUAACCGAUCUGCAACUGUGCACAAACAAUUUUAUAUCAUAUUCAGUGGACAAAUGGGAGCUUGAUAUUUACUCUUAUUUCCUGCUAAUUUUGGUCAGUUGGUGCUUUGCUGUUUUCUCCAGGAACUAACAAUGAUAUUUGCUUCCCUGUAGGAACCUGAUAAUAAUUCUGAUGCAAACUUGGUGAGAUCUCCACAGUCACAAAGAGUGAAGGAAGAAAAUCACAAGGAUGCUGAUUUGAAUGAUCCGAAAUCGAGGUCAGUAUGAGAUAUCCUGUUUCUGAAAUGGUGAUUUGUGUUAUACAUCAUGGCCAACAUAAUGAGCAUGGUGCUAGAUCUUAUAAAGAUUAUCGUGUGGAACAUCAUUCUAGGAUGUGUCCAUUCUUAAGGAACCAUAUUGAAGGUCAUGCAAAAGAUUGCUUAAGGUAACAGUCAUGCUUACAGAUAGACUAGCUCUCACGCUAAUGGAUAGCAGUCGCAGCAUAGUAUGAGGGAUGGUUCUGACCAUGAUAACAUGUAGUGAGCUUUAGAGAUAUUCAACUAGGCUGUGGGAAACUGAAAGAGGGGACUGUAAGGAAAGAAAUUAAAAUUGAGUAUCGCUUUGGAUCCUGUCCAUGGAGAAUGUUGGGAGACUGGGAGAGGCAUAGACGGCGUAGUAGUAGCACAAGGCACAAAUGUGAAAAAGAGCGGAAGUAUACUACUGGUAUAGUCGGAUAGGUCUUGACAAGUAGAUGGUGUUGGCAGUAUAUGUGAAAAAGGAGAAAUUGAUGCUCAUAGGGGUGGAGUAAAUGGCAAAGAUACGCAUAAGGACUCCGUGCACGCAAACUGUGGUAUGUCUGAUGGUCAGAAAGACAUAUAGAUCUAGGGAGAAUGAUAGAGAGGCCAUACAUAGAAGGGGAGACCUGAUGAAGCAAAGGGAAAAAAAUCUUACAAUUAAAGUUUCUCAUACACGACUAACUCAUAUAGUCAUAUUCGGUUACCUUAUUUAAUUUGCUUGCCAGGGAGGAAACUGAAGAGAAAUUUGAACAACUGGUACCAAAGCUAGGAGGGAAUGAUCGUGAAAAACACAAGGCUGAAGCAAGAAAGAGGGCAGAUGUUACUCCGACUAAAUACGGUGAGAUACAGCUGCAGAAGCAACAACAGGAAAUUGUUCACUGCAGUAAUAACGAAGGUAGCUUGUUUUGACUAAACUAUCGUAUCUCUGUGUGAAACAUUACUAUUGUUAUGUUAAGUGGCCAGGUUUUCUGGUACUCAUAGUUUGGUUACUAAGUUUUUGAUAAAUAGAAGUAACAUCAGUGUAUACAAAUACUGAUACAACAAACCUAAAGAUGAUAAAUCUAAAACCUUAAUGAUUUGGAGAGAUUGAAAAUAAUCAUUAACCAUCUAGAGCUUAACAUUUCGAUCAUCUUAGGGACAUCUGGUAAUGAGAAAACGAUGGGUGUUUCAGGUCUUGGAGAGGGCAUUCCCAUGGUAAUAAAUAAUAAUCUUCUUGACAUAGUUGCUCAAUAUUUUAGCAUUUCAUCAUCUUAACAGCCUUGAAAUUUGCAGAGUGAAAGAUCAGAGGAUAUAUUUGCCAAUGAUAUUUUUGGAGAAUCACCUAUUGGUGCCCAAGAACUGGUGAAUUCUUAUAUCUUCACUCUCUCUAGUAUUGCCAAAUCUCGAAGUGUGAUUAUCACCAAAAUUUAUGUUUUCUGCCAACUGUCUUGCUAUUCCUUUGACAGUUUAUGUUCUUGCUAGAGAGCUAUUACUUUGUUUGAUCAGUAAUAGAUACUUGUGUGCGCAGGGCAAGAAACGUAGCUUCCUCAUCAAGGAAAAUGCUCAUUGUGACAAUUGGGACGAUCCAGGAGGAUAUUAUAGUAAGCUCCAUCAUCUGAUACAUAUACAUCACCCUUCUGCUAUCCUUUUAGUGCUACGUUUUUCAAGUACUUUGCUUUUAUACAGCUUACCACUGUGGAGAGGUGCUACAUGGACGUUAUGAAAUCAUGGCAGGCCAUGGGAUGGGAGUUUUCUCUAAUGUUGUCCGGGCAAAGGAUCUUAAAGCUGGGAAAGGUGAUUCUAGUGAAGUAGCUAUCAAAAUUAUACGGAACAUUCCUGUGAUGUAAGCUGAGUUCAUUGCAUUUUAUUUUUUCUUUUGGAUAAUAUCCAGUAUAAAAGAAUAUCUUAUGACCUGGUAAUAUGGUGUUCUUGUUAUGUAGGUACAAGGCUGGUAAGCAAGAAAUUUCUAUACUGGAAAAGCUGGCUAGUGCCGACCCUAAAGACAGACGACACUGUGUGAGGUUUAUUUCUAGUUUCAUGUAUCGAAAUCAUCUCUGUUUGAUCUUUGAAUCUCUUCACAUGAACCUGCGUGGGCUUCUAAAGAAAUUUGGUUCUGAUGUGGGGCUUAAGUUGACUGCUGUAAGGACGUAUUCAAAGCAGCUUUUCAUCGCGUUGAAGCACCUUAAAAGUUGCAAUGUUCUUCACUGUGACAUCAAACCAGAUAAUGUGCUGGUAUAUAAUUUUGAUGAGUAUUUUUUCCCAUUCUGUUAAUUUUGUAUUAGAAUUCUCUAGCCUUUUUUUACGGUCAGUCUCCAGCUUAAUUUUUUUCCACUUGUAUCGUUCUGUAGGUAAAUGAGGCUAAAACUAAGCUGAAGCUGUGUGAUUUUGGUAGUGCUAUGCCUACUGGAACGAAUGAGAUCACACCGUAUCUUGUGAGCCGCUUCUACCGGGCACCUGAGAUUAGUGAGUUCUUAGUUUUAUAUGUACAGUGCAUCUCAAUUCACUAUUUGUUAGGGUACUGUUUACUUGGAUAUUACUUGUAAGGAAGACCACCUUUCUAAUGUUGAAAUCCUUAUUGAUUUGUGGUCACAUUAUAAUUUGUUUUCUCCUGCAGUUCUUGGGUUGCCGUACAACCAUCCAUUGGAUAUGUGGUCAGUUGGUUGUUCCUUAUUUGAACUUUACACAGGAAAACUCUUGUUUCCCGGUAAAACGAAUAAUGACAUGCUUCGGCUUCACAUGGAAUCGAAGGGUGCCCUUCCUAAGAAGAUGCUUCGCAAGGUUAGAAAAAUUGAUGAGAUGUGCAUUUAACUUUUUAUGAGUGCUUACAUAUAAUACCUGUGAACCCAUCAAAACAGGAAGUACUAAGAUAUGGCCAAUGCCUACAAAUAUCUAAACUUUAUGUUUUGCACGUGUAGAACUGGUUUAAUUUAAUCUUGUUGCUCCAUUGAGCACUUCAAGUUCAGUCACCUGUUGAUAUGGCAGUUUAUUGCAUUCAUUUCAUACUAACAAAAUAAGGUGACAAAGUAAGCGUGUGCUAACACGAGUGUUUCUAAUUGCACAGGGAACCUUUGCAAAAGAGCACUUUGACCAAGAUUUCAAGUACUUCCAUGAGAAGGAUCCAGUGACGAAAAUGGUACAUCUAUAAUCCAUAUUGCAAAAUUGUGAUGGUGUAUUGGUAUUCUGUUCUACACUUACAAUAAAUUUAAAAUCAUCGAAUGGCUUCUUCCUUAUGUGUAGACUGUGAAGAGACAUCCGGUUAUGAACAUCAAACGACAGGAUGUUAGUUCAGUUGUUUCAAGCUUGCCUGGCGAGGACCCAAAAAUGCUAUUCAACUUCAAUGAUCUCCUGAAAAGAAUAUUAGUGCUAGAUCCAGAAAAGAGGCUAAAGGUGGAACAGGCACUUAGCCAUCCAUUUGUAUCUGGCAAGUGAAAUUCAGCACAACUUAGAAACUGAAAUUUUUGGUUGAACUCGUUUACAUUUCUGUCCUGUUCCUGUGCCACCGGAGCUUUAAAGACCAUGGAUGAGACAUGGAAGUGUGGAACAGAUGACCAGCUUAGGUAUUGUAACGCACAAGCUUGGAUAUAUUCUGUAAUAUCUCGUAAGACCACUAGCUUGAACACGAUUUUUUUUCUUGUGCAUUUUCUGUCCAAGGAUAUCAAAUUAUCCAUUGUAAACAUGAAUUCUUCUUCGAAUUGCUUGGUGCAAAGUUUACCUAACACCUGACACGAAUAUCAUGUUGCUUCUGUUGUGACUUUGUGAAUUAUUUGAGUUUAAGUAUGGUGCACUUUCUAGCUCCUCGAGCAAGCUUGCUGAUAUUACAAGCUGGUGUCAAAUCAGGAAGGAACCAACUAUUAUAAAAACAAAUCAGGAAGGAACUAGGCUUCUUCCUGGGUUCAGAUUAUCCGCAGCAACGGGCUUCCAUGGGCUUCAUCACGGCCUUGCAGAUAGCCCACGAGGGUCGCGCGCACACCCACCCACCAGGCCACCACCAGUCCACCACCACGCCACGCGUACCGGACUACCGGGGGUUGGGGGGGGGGGGGGGGGGGGGGGGUGGCGCGGGGGCGGGGGGCGUGGGGGUGGUUUGGGCGGGAAAGUGGAAACCUCCCGCCCGCGUCACCAGCUAAGGCGGCCCUGCGUUGUCAGUGACCCGCAGAGCAGAGGCCACGCCAAGGCCAACAGGCCGACACACACAACCCCACACCCCUCGGCUUCCCAAACAAUCCAUUCCCCGCCGGCGCUCUCCUCCGCGGCUCCGCCUUUUCCCUGUCGAGGAGCAGCAGCAAGCCAAGCCACGCCGGCGAGGCGGGCGGACGAGGAGGCAAUGCCGCCCAAAUCGGAUAGCGUGGAAGGUAUUCACCCCUGCGGCCCCGCCCCCUCCCAACUGAAAUGUUUUUUUUUUGGCUCAAAACCUUCCCGAUUUCGACCGUCCUUAGCUUGGCCUAGUCGAUAUUUCUGAUGAUUUUGCGGCUCCGUUUUUUCUUCCGUUUCUGCAGGAAUCGUCCUGGGUUUCGUCAAUGAGGUGCCGUCCCUCCCCUGAAACUCAACCCGAAAACCCUAAACCCCUGGUUCUGCUUAUGCUUGUGCAAUUAGGGUUCUAUUUUCACUCUGUUGGUACUUGUGGGGAUUUGUGAUGUAUAAGAAUUUUUCUAGAAUCCUUAGGAUUGUAUGGAUGUGACAAAGUUGACAAGCUGGAUACUGACUGUGCGGUAAUCAGGAUAGCAGCAUGCUGUUUGAUGAAUACCAAUUAUUGUCCAUUCUUUCUUUCUGUAGAUUCAGAUGGGUUAGUUAGAAUCAUGUAAAAACUCCCUCGUCACCAUCCUGAUUAAUUGAUGCAUGUUAGUUGCAACUGGCAUCACUUCGUUUCUUGAUCAUUAUUCUGAAUGGUCGUAAUUGCAGCUGUCCUCCAAUUAAGCAGCUACCUGCAGUCAAGUGCUGAAAUGUUAGCUGGAUAUGUUGGGAGUGAGCAAUUCAUUCCUGUGACCAGCAUAUGAUUUCUAUGCUACUCCCUAGAAUAGAACAAAAUUUAGACUAGAUUCAGUUUGGAUGUUGGACUCCAUGGUGUUACACUGCUACUUGCUUUGUUGUUUGUGUUUGCCUUUUGUAUAAGAUAAUUUAUCUGGAUCUCUUUCAACUAUCCUGUCCCAGCUUAUCAGCAUCGUUUUAUGAUUUACCAGAAAAUUGCCCCCUUGAGUUUGUAACUGCAAAGCAGCUCACAAAUGCUUGCAAGUGGUAACACAAGCACAAGGCUUUUGCAGAUCAGUUUUGGUUUUUGCUCUUCACCAUAUGCUGUUUUUUCCCCUCCCCUGUCAGAUGUAGUUAUGCUCACCUUAGACUGUUUUCCCCUUACAGAAGCUUAUAUGUGUUUCAACUUUCUAGAGCAUGUGUUAUCAUGUACUUUCAUUUAGUUCUGCUUUGUUGCAUUGUUUAUUUCCCAUUUAACUUAGUGAAACUUCCUUCUGAAUUCAAAUAAAUAAAAUGGGGAGUAAGUAUUACUGUAUUUCCCUUCAGAUAUUGCUCUUAUCCCGAUUUGGUUAAAUAUUGACCUGCUUUACUUAUGUGCCUAAGUAGUGUAUGUGGCUUUCGAUACGAAACGACUUUAUUCAGAAAGUGCUUUGUGUACAGUUCUUCAAUUUUAUGCAGAAUAUAUGAAAAAAAUUACCACACUAUCUGGUCUCACUUUCAUAGUUGAUAUAGUAACACAUUAGCCGCACAUUUUGUGUUUUUUUUAAGCUCUGCGUAUCACUGAGUUGACUAUUACCAUGACUCUGCAGCAAAACAGGCCACUGAAUUCACAGAAUGUAGCUGACGCGCUACAGAAGUUUAAUCUGAAGAAGACUGCAGUACAAAAGGCACUGGAUGCAUUGGCUGACAGUGGACAGGUUUCCUUCAAGGAGUAUGGCAAACAGAAAAUUUACAUUGCUCGGCAAGAUCAAUUCGACAUUCCAAAUGGGGAAGAACUCGAGGAGAUGAAGAAAGCAAAUGCCAAGUUGCAGGAAGAACUUGUAGAUCAAAAGAAAGCAAUUAGUGAGGUUGAAUCUGGUAGGUUCCAAACUUCCAAUUCUUACCUUGGUCUUUUUAGUGGUCUAUCAAAUGCAGUAUGCAAUGGUCAUGUUUUGAUGACAUCUAAAUUUAAAUCUUGUACAGAGGUACGAGGCCUGCAGUCAAACUUGACGCUGGCAGAGAUUAAGUCGAAGGAGACUAAAUUACAAAGCGAAGUACGUGCAUAUAAAUUGUUUCCUUCCGCUCCUUACUAUGAGUCUGUUCCUUUGGACCUGUUGUAUUUACAGGACCAUAUUUGUUUAGGUCCAGGAAAUGGAAGAGAAACUCAAUAAAUUGCGGAGUGGUGUCAUCUUGGUGAAACCUGAGGACAAGAAGAUCAUUGAGGAUUCUUUUGCUGAAAAAGUCAACCAAUGGAAAAAGCGGAAGAGGAUGUUCAAGGAGCUUUGGGAUAAUAUUACUGAGAAUAGCCCAAAAGAUCAGAAAGAAUUUAAGGUUUUUGCUGCAUUUCCCCUCUUAUCCUUAUACCCUUUGAUUGCACUUGGAACUUACCCUUCCUGUAGCUGUUAUGUGCCAUCUAGCUAUUCAUGACGCUGAUGAACAAUAUGCAUCUGCAGGAAGAGCUUGGUCUUGAGUAUGACGAAGAUGUCGACGUGAACCUGCAGUCUUAUACUGACAUGCUGGCAAGUCUCAACAAAAGGCGAAAAAUUUCUCGCUGAUGUAGCAUGGGAGUAUCUACAUCUCAAGUCAGAAGGAAUUUAAGGUUUCUGCUUCAUUCCCCCUCUAUCCUUUUACCCUUUGAUUGCAGUUGGGAUUUACCUUUCCUGUUGCUGCCAUGCGCCAUCUAGCUAUUCAUGAUGCUGAUGAACAAUAUGCAUCUGCAGGAAGAUGACGAAGAUGAUGAAGACAGUCUUACACUGGGCAUGCUGGCAAGUCUCAACAAAAGGCCAAAAAUGUCUCGCUGAUGUAGCAUGAUAGUAUCUACAUCUCAAGUCAAAAAUCUGUUACAGAAGUUUUACCAGCUACACGGUUCAUGGUUCUGCUAUUUCUUGCAGUUUCUGUAGCUGAGAUGUUCCAGAUAGAUGAUGUUGUCCUCUGUUAAUAUUUAAUCAUUUAUUGCCUUAGGAGUAUUCUAGUGGUAACUGCAGUCCUUAGCAGACUUGUUAAUCUUGUCAGCAAUGAGGUUUAAUAUAGCUUUUGUACCAGUUGGGUGACAGCAAAUUCUCCAUCCUCUUUAAUGUAUCUACAAAAAAAAUGCAUUCUUCAGCAAUAUACGCUGAUGAUUUUGCACCCUGCUUAUAAAUUGGAAAAGAAUCAAAUUUGUCCCUUUUCCUUUUUUUAAUAUCAUUUACAUUACAUAUAUGGUAUGAACGUAUACCAUAGGAUCCUACAUAUAACGAAAAUUCAACUAAAUAUAUUGAGAUCAAGAAACCAUCUCCUCUGUUGCCAUCUUGUUGCGCAGCUAAAAUCCCCACUUUGUUCUGACCGAUGCCGGCUUGCCCCUGGCUGGCUCCCGCUGCUCAUGGUGUUUCUGUUCUUUCACUGCAACGUCGCCAUGAUCUGCCUCGUCCUCCGGCAGGAUCUCAAUCUCUGAACUGUAAUUCCGCGCAUGUCCAAUCUUCUCAGAUGUCUUUCCAUCAAGCAUCUCACCUUCUUUCUUGCUCUCAUCAUCCAUCCGCGUGGUUCCAGUCUUCCCCCUGUCGCCUGGCCCCCUGGACUCCCCACGCGAGAGCUCCAUGGCUGCCUUCGCGGCGGCUGCGGCCGAGGCGGCCGACUCGAACGCGGCCUGCGCCGCCGCUUCCACGUCCUUGUACCUCUGCGCCGAGUCGCCAGAGACGUCUUCGUCCAGGUCAUCAGCUGGUGGCAUCCUGAUCAUCUCUUCGUCGUGCUUCGUCUUCCUGCGGUUGUGGUUGGAGCGUCCGGAGCCCUCGCAGGGUGGUGGCUCGUAGACGCUCACGGCGAACCCUUUCUCUGCGGCGAUCUCCUGGAGCACCAUCUGCCGGCUCUCGAGGCUCGGCUGCUUGGUCGACAGCUUCUGCACGAUCUGUUCCGUUCCGACAAGGGAAUCAAAUUUCGUUAGAGGCAUCCAAUUUUGAUUCGAGUGUCGAGUCAGAAGGUUCGUCUUCGUCGGUGCUCACCUUGGGGUUGAUCCCGCAUCCGCUGCGGAGCUCGGAGGCGGCGGAGACGAACCCCCUUCCGAACUUGGCGGCAAGGAUGCCCCGUACCUCCUGCAGCUCCGGCAGGUCCCCGCACCUUGCGGCGGCGUACACGAGCCCCGCCGCCGCCUCCCGCAGCUCCUCGGGGCACUCCCUGUGCGCAUCGACGAGCGCCGCCCGCUCGACGAUGAGGCCGCAGUAGGCCUCGAGCUCGGCGAGCACGUCGAGCGCGUUCUGCUCCCGGACGACGUGCUCGGCGCGUGCCAGCGCGCGGUCCGCGUGGCCCAGGCGGAGCAGCUGCUCGACGUCCCCGCGCGCCUGCGCGAACCGCACCUGCCGGUGGCCACGCACCACGCCCAGCCGCGUCACCGCCAGCCCCAGCAGCGACCGCAGCCGCGCCGUCUGCUUCGUCGUCCGCCCCAGCAGCACGUCCAGCCUCCUCCCCAUCGCCGCCCGCCGCCGCCGCAAGCGCCGAGCUUAGCUAGAGCAGCCGCCCCGUCGCUCUCCCCGAUCGAGUUGGUGUGCCUGUGAAGACCGGGCGGUUUCGCCCCGGUGUUUUAUACCCCCGGGCGCGAGCGCGGGCACGGUGUGGAAGCGUGGGAUGAAUGGAAGCUGCGCGGGAGCAAUUAGGGGGAAGGAUCCGAGGGUGGCGGUACGCUUCCUUGUGGGGGUGGGAUUGGGUUUGCUUUGUGGCGAAGGCGAGCGAGCGCGACGGGCUUUAAACGUCUGAGCGGACGCGUGGUGGGCCAAGCCGCCGCCGAUGAGCUGUCAGACACGGGGGCUCGUUCAGCGGUUGGGUUCAUCCGCGCGGAAAGGGUUCAGCGGCCAGUUUCUUUUGGGGGCGGUCGCGCGCUCGCUGGGCACGCGGGUUCUGGCCGCCCGACCGAGCAGGGGGCUUCGUCUUCGUCGCGGCUGGGAACCGGUGGUUACGGCGUCCGGAGUGUGAACCGCCACGUCCGCUCGGCGGGUGGCGCGGUUUUUUUCUUCGUCUCCGAUUAGUUUUGACUGGGCCCCGCCGGGAUCGUGAGCUUCACGAGUGAACUGACGGGGUGGAGUGGUGGAAGAGUCGAAAACGACGGCGCAGCGGCUGCGGUUGAAAACUUGGGAGCCUGGGAGGGAGUGGAUACGGAAGAGCACCUGUGCAGUGCAGGGAGCAACCUGGUCAGCAGGGAAAAGCGUCCGUGUACGUUUUCGUACGGCCCGAUCGACUGUAUGACUGUGUCUCCUCCUGCCCCAGUCGACAGAGUCAUUAUUGUGGAGUGAUGAACGGUUCGUCGUGAUGGCGACUGGUUGGUUACUGCGGCAAACGCGGUUUUCCCUUCCUCUCCGGAACUUGUUGUCAGUUUCUUCCGUGGUUGCUCGAGAUUAUAUAGCUCAUACCAACAGUUCUUUCUUAAUUUGCGUAACAAAAGGGAGAUCUAUUAAUCAAACAUAGGUAGUUUCCACGGUUCCAGCAUCGACCAGUCACAUCAAUCGAGAUACACGAACUUCAAACCGAACUGAUAUUCAAGACUAGUUUUAUCUCCACCAAUCCAGGGCGGAUCUAGGGCUCGGGCUGCCCAGGCUGCAGCCCGGGUGAGUCCAUAUAACCCCUUUAAUAUAUGUGGUGUUUAACUUACAAAAUUACGAUCUCAAUUAGAGAAAACGAGAUCUAGGAGACGUGAAUCAGCAGUUUAGCUCGGGCGUAGCCUCGUUCUGGAUCCGCCCCUGCACCAAUCCAAGAUUACGUAACUCUUGUGCUUACGCUACCUUAGAUCCCGUUUGGAUUCCAGCAAGCAGCAGCUAGCUAUUAGCUGUGUUAGCUGGGGCAACCAGGUAGCAGCUAAUUUUAGUAAGAUGGUAGAUAAAACACUAGCUAGCUGACAUAUUAAUUUUGAUCCAAACAGAUUCUUAAUGCUAACUAUUGGCUAGGUAGGAUCCAAACGAGCCUUAAUAUCGUAUAACGUCCGUCUCAUCUCUUGGAUUUCUCGAAUAAAUAUUUUGAUAAGAAAAAAGGGGACCUACAUAAAAAUGAUGGAAGGGUGACCAACAAUUAAUGGUACAUAGAAGUACCUAUCUCGGUCUGUUUCUAGGUAGAGCCAUCGACAUACGAACCCGCUGCAAUGUGAAAUUCUUCUUAAGUUCACAGACGAACAAAAACAGGGAAGAACUGCCUCAAAUCAAAUGUACGUAACAUCUUCAAGCAAUCAAAUGCUGCAAUUACCUUGCUACACAUGUGUACUAUGCUAUGAUAAUAUGGAGGAAUCAGUCUUACACCUAUUCCUACACUGUCAUUUCUCCAAACAAUGUUGGAACUUGAUUGGCCUGCAGAUUAUUGACACAAUUACUGGAUAUCAAAUUCUAGAAUCCUUUAAGCUUCAGAUAGCUCAGUCCUUUUUCAUGGAGGCUAUAGCCAUCAUGUCCUGAGUAUUUGGACAACAAGAAAUGACUUCAUAUUUGAGAAUCAAGCAGCAACAUUAUAUAGGUGUAAAGAAAUCUUCAUAUUGGAGAGUCAUAUUGGAAUUCUCCAGAGUUAUAUACUCAGAGCAAAGGCAAAAUAUCAUUCGGUGAUAGGCUCUUGGUUUCAGUCUCUAUUGUAAUUGUUCCUUUUAUUUUCAUGUCUUCUGUAAAUACUUCUUAUUUUAUUUAUAUAUAAUCAGGGGUCACCCUCCUGUAUCAUUAAAAACAAAGCAAUCAUUAAAAACAAAGCAGUCGCCCUCCAUCGAAGAAAAACGAAACAAUAACCUAGCUACUGUUCUGCCUGGGAUCGGUUGAUGCGUGCGACGAGCCUAUCCAAGAAGGCAAGCACCGUACGGUUCCGUGCACCACCACCACGCACGCACCACCGGACGGGAAAACCAGCUCUAGCUCGUCUCCGCCUCUCCGGUCAUUCUCCGAGGAAGGUUCGGUUCUGGCGGCAUGACCAUGGAAAAACGGCGCUCGACGCGUCGAACGAUUUGCACGGCCACAUCAGGCCAGCAACUCGUCUCGUGCCUGCCCUCCUCCACCGGACGGCGACCACACCACGCGCACGUGUGACCCGAUGGGCCGUGCCGUUCGGCCAUUACCCUGACUACCUGAGCGUAGAUAUCGUUGACCAGUUCAAAUCCCGAGCCCAAAACGACGGGAAACCGAUCGUCAAAGUCGCGAGUCAUCUGCGUUUUCCCCGCCCCAUUUUUGGACGUCCGGAACUGAUUUUUUUUCACCGUUGGGCGAAGUUUUCAGGGGGCAUGCAGAGCAGGACUCGCAGAGACUACUGAUUAUUCACCGCUCAACGCCGGCCCUCGCAUUCUUCCAGAACGCGAGUACGCGACGCGUCAACCGCGUGUAGCCGUGUCCGUGUACUGCGUAAUACCCCGCAUGGCAGCGUGCGCUAGCGCACAUGAGGUCAGGUACAAUACAAGCGAUCACCGCUGCAAAGCAUCCUAUCGUGUGGCGCCGCGCUCUGCGUUUCGCGCUCGCGAGCUACUCGUAGAGGUCAUGGAUCGAUGCGGCUUUGUUGGCCAGGAGGGCAUCCUUUUGAAUUGCCUAGUUGCUCCCAGCUAAUUGAUCGCUUUUGGAUUGGAAGCACUAAUCCGUGUGCUCUUUCGGUUAAAGAUAAUUCCAACCAGGCUAGCAUAUGAAUAAUAAAGAUAUGUCAUAUAUACAUGCGAAUGCAUAAGAAACUCUUCUUUAAAGGCCUCGCUAUAAAGACAGUUAAAAAAAAAGAUCAAACCGCGCCAGGUUGCAUUAUUGAUUACUUUCAAGAAGAAAGAAAAGUAGGAGGUUUUAAAUUGUUUUUAUUCAGAGUCGAUUCCAGUCGCCGCUUUUGAUGAGCUUUCGUUCUACCUUGCAUUCAAUUUAUUUUCCUCAACUUGAUUUUACAACCAUUUCUUCUUCCACUUCUUUUUCUAUGUUUUUCUUGAGACUAAAAGAAGGAUCAUUUACUUAUAGGGACAACUGAUAAUUUAUGGUCGUCUAAGAAACAGUGCCAACGAUAGAUGGAUCUUCGAUCGGAUGUUCAUUUCCUUUUUCAUACUUUCUAUGUACUCCAAUUACCGACCGCGUUCCCAUUCCCCUUUUGGGUUUCGCUUGUGCAGGUGCAGCGCGCAGUCGGUCUGCAGCUAGCGGAACUGCGUCCGUUUGCCCGUUUGGAGAUACAGGCUAAAAAUUAAUCCGAUGUUUGAUAGCAAUUAGGAUGAUUAAAAUUAGCGACAUAACCUAAUUGUAAAACUAAUUGCAUAAGUCACCGGGGAGAAAUCCUAAUUAGAUCUUGAUUAGUUCAUGUUUAAUGGGUCAUUGUGGCUCGUCCUGUCCCCAUCGAUGCUCUGUGCUAGUACUGAUAGAGAGGUGACCGGUUCGUCGUGAUCGCGACUGGAGGCCGGUUGCUACGGAAAAUUAAACGCGCCCGUUCCUUUUCCGCUCCACAAUUUCGUGUCGUCUCCAAUCGUCGGUUAAUUGCUUGAGGAUCAGGAAGCUCAUACGCACGGUUUGCUCCUUUUUUGCAAGACGAAGACGAGAACGAUUUGUUCUGUACAAAACAGACGGUACCGUUCCAAUACAGUCGUCAUCGGCUAAGUAACUCGUGAGUCGCGAUCAUACACGAGUGCACGAGUACAGUGCUUACGCUACCUCAAUCAGGGCGGAUCCAGCGCGAGCAGCCACAGGGGACUGAACUCUUCUUCUUCCCUCAUCUCUUCUCUCUCUUUUCUUUUUCUCCCCUCAGCUUUCUGCUUCCCUUGUUCCAAUGGAAGUUGCAGCCAGUAGGGGCCUGCAGCCCCCCAGCCCCCUUUGGAUCCGCCACUGACUUCAAUUGACAUUGUAUGUGUUCGUAAACGAGAGAGCAGGAAAGAAGUGCUUCAAUUGUACGCCGCUUCAGCUGUAAACAUCUAGGACUAGGACUAAAUCAACGCUUUGCCAAGUAGUCGCCUUCCAUAGAAGAAAGACGAAAACAGCCUAGUUAAAUUCGUGCUAAGGAUUGAUUGAUGCUCCAGCGCCUCCGGCAUCAUAUUCUUCUUUCUUUCGUUUUCUUUUCUUUUUUGAUGAAAAUUCGCUUCCAGGCAGUAUCCCAGGAACAGGAGCGUCAAACGAUCUGCACGGCUUCGCACGUCAGAUCGUUAUCUCGUGCGCCGAGUUGCCGACCUGGCCGCCUACCCGCUCCCGCACGGCCCGUACUUAUCCAGGCCCAACAAGCUUCCGAGAACCCACCACACCCACCCACCCACGUCGUGAUCUCCAUCUGAAUGGACCAUGGGCCGGUGCUGGACUGCUGAUUCGGUAAUUUGUCAGAAACACAGUUUCUGAUGGCUCAUCUAAAUAUCGAUCUCCCCCUCAAAAAAAAUUCUAAAUAUUGAUAAGCUCAUUUUUUUAAAAAAAUAUCAAUCAGCUCAAAUCCCGGAUCCGAAGCGAAAACCACUCGUCACAGAGACACGAGUUGUACGCGUUUUCUCCGCCAUUUUUUCUGGACGGGCGCCGGGCCUGAUUUUUCACCGUUCGGUGGGUUUUCAGAGUCAGCGAAAGACAAGACUUGCAGCUGCUUCAUCGCUCGUCGCCGCCCCUCACCUCUUCCGGAACGCGACGCGUCAUCGUCAACAGCAUGCGCCUCUGCACGACACGAAACGAGACUGUUCCGCGGCGAGCGAUUCUCUCGUCCGACGCCGCGCUCGCAAGCUAGCUGCGGGGGCGCGCAAACUUUUGUGUUGGGCAUUUGUUGCUGCCAGCUAGGUCGAUCGUUUGUUGAAAUGGCAGCACAAACUCCGUGUGCUUUCGGUUAAAGCUCCAACCGAGCCAGCAUGAAUAAUAUGAUUAUUAAACUCGGCUUUUAAGGGAGAUCGUCCUUUGCAAAGGCAGGCAAGGUAGGACUAAGAGAAGAUCAAGCUAUAAAGUCGAUGAGUUCCAACAAGAAGGAAAUAGGAAGUCCACAAAAUUGUUUUGUUUUCAAAAUGGCAGGUUCACAAACUGUAAAGUUAACGAGAAAAGAGAAUUUGUCUCCUUUUCUCGUAUCCUUUCUUCGAGUCUUUUUUCUUCUUUUAGUGAGUAUUAAGCUAUGUUCAUCAGCUUUGCUUUUACGAUCCUUUAUUCUUCUUCGAAUUUCCCUGUUUCACUUGAGGGAACUGUUUAUUUGCUCUCCCCAACUUGCUGUGGUACGCCACUGACCCCUACAGUAGCUGGCUAGCUGUUGUCUGACGCCGCGCGCCGCAGUCGCAACCCGCCAGAGCUUGGAAGGGAGGGGAUCAUCUCUCUCGCGAACGGCGUUUCUCCUUCAAGAAUCAGCCCAUGGAUUUUUUUAGAUAAAGCCUCUGUGGUGGAUGUAUACAGCCCAAAGUUAGAAGAGUUUUAGACUCUAAUCCUCAAAAUUGUGGGGUUCAAAAACACAAGAAAGAAAGCUCUAAGAUAGAAAAAAAUAGAAGACUAAGCUUCAAUCUUCUCCAUCCAUAUUUUAACCUUGCAUUAUCUUUAUGCAGUAUAAUCCAUCACAUCUCUUAAAUAUUAUCUUUAUGCAGCAUAAUCCAUCACAUCUCUCGUCUGCUUAGAAACUUUGACAGAAGGUGUUGUUCGCCAAAACAAUGUCAGCAAGCGAGCAGCAAGACUCCGCGCACAAGCCAGUAGCUUCCAUCGCUGCCUAGAAGAGGCAAGGGCCUGGGAAGGGAUCAUAUCUCUCUCUGCCUCUACGGGCUGAAUUAACGCCUGCUUCGCGGCCCUUCUUGAUGGCGGCCCGGUCCAUCCAUCAUGCCGUAGACGGCCGACAUCGCAAAUUGGGCGGGCCUCGGUGGCUGCUAGUUUCUGUUUAUAAUGGGCUAAAUUCAGUAUGGGCUGCUCCGCCCACUCGACGCGCUGCGGAGCCGCCGGGUGGCUUGAACAUCAAAGCGGUUGGCUUGGAGGUGCAUGUGCAUCUGUUUAUUCGUGCCUCUCGACACUGCCACACUGGCCUCCGGAUGAGCAACACCCCCGCGUCGAGGCUGGUCCUGUACCUGGCCUCGAACACGAGGCGUGCGCACUGCGCAGCCGUGGAGGACGACGACGAGGUUGUGGUCGCGGUAACCGGCGCAGCAGGAGGCGGAAGUCCAUGACGUCGGUGAGCACAGCGUCAGACGGAGUCCACCCACCACGCGUACUCCGGCCGCCUCUAGGUGCGCGCGACCAUGGCGGCGCGGUUCACCGGUGUCUUGGCCCAGUAGUACCUGGUCCAUCGACGGCCGCAGCAGCGCCGUGUUGUACAUCAGCUGCACGCCGUGUUCUUCAGCAGCCGCAUCAGCGUGUGCGUGUGCUCUCUCCGCCCGGGGCCCCGCACCGCGCGCACGGCGUCGGCUGCGAGCCGGACACCAUGAUCAGGACGCGCAUCUGUGUACGUGGCAGCAUGUGUCGUGUGUGCCGUACUCGUACGUGAUCAUGACGCACGGGCAGCGCACGCCCCCACCACCAAACAGAGAAGCUCGCGAGCGAGCGCGAUCACGACGUCACGGCCCCCCCCCCCCCCCCCCCCCCCCCCCCCCUUCUCACGUCUCGCUGGCCCGGCCACUGCGACCCGACCACGGGCACCGGCGCACGCCACAUGUCCGUCCUGCUGCUGCACACGCGAAAUUAUUAUUUAACAAUGCGCGAACACGCACCCCUCACCGAACAAGCCCCCCCUCCUCCACUACCGUCCGAUCACCUGCGCAGUAGCACGGCAUGAUUGCGCCGCGGCACUGGCGUCCUCGACCGCUCGCGCCUUUUCUCUGCGUUUCGUUUCCUCCGGGCAAAGCUGACGACGACGACGGCCACUUGGACUUUGCUCUCCCCUGGUAGUGCGCGCGCGGGCCAAAGUGCGUGUGAGCAUACGUACUUUCUCCGGAGAUCGCGUGGGGUUCGGUGAGACCUUGGUAUUGGCGUCGUCGAGCCCGACGUGUCCGGCAGCGGGCGUGGCGGCCUCGUUCGCUCGUUCCCCCUGGCUAGUGCGCGCGGCACAUCAUGCACCAGGGCACGUCAGGAAGCGUCUACACGUCGCGUUGCUGGCCUGGAUCCGCGGCGUGUUAGGUGAACGGGAACCCAGUUGCGCCCCAGCUUUUGCUAGACUUUGCACCAGCGGAGGCCGGCCACGGAUUAUAUAUGCUGACCUCGAGCUAGCUUUCGCGGGUGCUAGUAAUAUAAUAACGCUACGUGAGAUCGAUGGGCAUGGGCUCGAGGAACCCGCACAUGAGGUGAUUGAAUCGGAGCUAGGGGACAUACGAAACAUGGAAUGGUCCCACAAUCUCAGUGUGAGGCCAAGGAUCAUAGAUUCAUGUAUCUGAUUGUUUAAAUCAGGUGCACUGCCAGUGUAGCCUCCUAUAUUGUAUCGUAGCUUGUGGAUCAGAUUAGAGACGAGAGCACGUAAAGUAUGGGACGCCUCUAAGUACACCCGUAAACAAACAGCGAUGCUAGCUUUUAGCAGUGUCUAGAAUUCCAGCCAUACAUCUGGAAUACAUUUGGGUAGUGCGCAUGCAUGUAGACAUCUGGUAGUUAUCACCUAGCUAUAGUUUAUGAGCUACCUCAUCCAAAAUACUAGAUCAUCAUUCAUCAAGAGCACUGCCUACUAUAAACGAGGACGGGGGCCUGCCUGCCAUUUACAUGACGUGCUGGACCGAUGAUCACAUCAAUCAGAUAAACGCUGGCUUUGAAUUUCCAAUUUCUAAAACCAGACGAAAUCUCUAAAUUCACCAAGAAAUCCAUAGCCCAUAUAGGAGACGGAGGGAGAGCCAGUAGCUUCCAACACUAAGUACGCAACAUGUUAGGCGAAAUAUUUACGAUCUCAAAUGUUGUUCUUCGCCGACCUCGUGUAUACAUCAUUGCAUACUUCAUCAUUGUUGCUACCGGGUUGGCACCGCCAAAAUAACCGACACUACGAUGACUUCGCCCUGCUCUUGCGAGCAAGGGUUCUACGAAUUUUGUCGCCACGCACGACACAUUUCGGUUCUUGCGCAUAACAGCAGGGGAUAGGGCUCCCAAAGUUCAGACAUGGCCGAGUAGUGACGGAGCUGUUUUUCUGGGAGCCAAACUUUCGUCAAGGUUGGACCAACCGGCUGGCAAGGCGUGGAAUGGAAGCGCGCCCAACCGCCCGUCUUCAAUGCGAUUUGGAAAUUUGCACUCCAAGCUUGGACUUGGGCGACUCGAGUUAAUUGACUUUCUUUGGCAGCUUCCCAUUACGACGAACAUGCAUGCACGUUGCAUGGCAAGUGCGCAGAGAAGAAUUGCUUGGUUGAAUUGAAAAUCAUGAGCUUGGAAUGGAAGGCCUAUUUUCUAGAAGGAGUAUUAGUCUUCAAGGUCAGUCAAUUUGUGGUGAAACUCAGUACCAUUUCCAGCGUCUCUAGUGCGUGAUAAUUAAUAAUCCAUUUCACUUAAUUAACAGCGUGUUUGCAUUACUCGUUUUGUUUUCUUUGGAUCAUCAGCAAGUCAACCUAAAAACAACCCAAAUGAACUAAUUUAAAUUUUAAAGAAAAAUAAAAAACGAAAAUGAACUAAGAGAGUGGCAUAAAAACUAAUAAAUAUUUAAAUCAUUCAGCAACGACGAACCCCGCCCGCACCUACAAAAAUCCGUUCCUCUUGUCCACGUGCAAUCGCAAACACUGAAACACCCAUUCCCGGCAGCCUUCGCCGAACAGCGGCCACAGCACUCGAUACACAUGCACGAACAAGGAUAGAUGAUGUGCCGGCUCAGUAAUCAACUUGAGUCACCGGUCAUUGAUAAAACGUCUCGAACCAGUUUGGGCGGGUUGGCGCGCACUUUUGAUCCGGUCCGUGACUGGAGGGCCGAUCACUGAAAUGAACGCACACCGGACGGCCUCCGGCAGACAGCGAAGCUGCCCGGCGGCGUCCUGCCCGGCAGCGGGCUGUCUCCCCGUUUCCCAUCUCGGCGGUGCCCACUGCCCACUAGUACUCGUCGCUUUCCGCUGACUUGCUUCGCACACACGCCCGGUCUCCUCCUGGUCCAAAGCCUAUGGCCGCGCCCGUCCUCGUGGCCUUGUGGGUGGGUGGCCUCUCCUACUCCUACCCCCAUUUGGCCAUUUCCACCAUCCGUGAACGUAGAAAUUCUACUGCGGCGGCGAGCCUUCCCAGCUAUACUAGCAGCUGAGCUCGGUGUGGGGCGCCACUUCCGGUAUCCCCCGGAACAGCGCCGGUGAUCCCGUAACAAUUUCUCGCGCGCCGCGUUGCGAACGCAGCAAGUCGCGUUCACACGGCAGCGUCGCCGCUAGUCCACUGCACUGUCCACUCUCGCCGUGUUAAAGUAAACGUACGAUAUUUUCAGCAUUGCCCGAAUUUCAUUACUAAAAGUAACGAAAUUACAGAGUUUUAGAGUCAGAGUUUACAUUCAAGUAGCUGAAUGAAGAUGCAAGGAUGAAAAAAGAACUUCUACCGAAAGGCACACAGGGCCUCCAGAUGAAGGACGAAACGAAUGCGUCUAGCAAAAAAGAGGAAAACACCAAUUACAAACUACUGACGACACAUGUAGACUUCAGCUUUUAACUUCAACAGCUCAAAAAAAGACUGCUAGAGCUGCUCUUCACUGCAACAGCACUACUCCCGCUCCUGCUUCCUCCGUCGCUUCUCCCUGUGGAUGGAAGUGAAGCGCCACCUGCUUCAUUGCUUCUGCUCCUUUCUCCAGGUUCAUCUUUGCUUCCUGCUUCUGGAGCCCUACCCAAUAUGUUAUGAAAGAAGAUGCUAAGCAAACAAUCUCAGAAGGAGAUUUAACUUGUUUUGUCAAAGCACACUGAAUUUCUCGCUCUCCAUAGAGCCCAACAGACUGCUGAUAAACCAACCAUGUGAGCAUAUUUUACUCGGGGUAGAUAACAAUCACACCACACCCAAAACUGGUCCACGGUAGUUGGUCUACAGGGAGCCCCAAUAACCAUAGCUAUCAGGCUCCAGAGAUAUCUUGCUAGGGGUAGUCGAAAAAGAGAUGUUCUACAGAUUCGUCCAUAUUGCAAAGAUAGCAUCUCUUGUCUCCCUGCUAAUUACGUUUUACGUUUUAGGAGAUUGUCUUUGGUUAGAAUGGCAUUUUGUUGAGCUAGUCACAUGGAAACUUUUAUCUUCAAGGAGAUUUUAGCUUUCCAUCUUUUUGUUUGGUAUCUCAAUGUCUUCACAGGUGCUUGUACAUGGAUUUAUCAGAAAAGCUUCUAUUCUUUUCCCAACUCCAUUGGGGUUUAUCCCUGUCAUCAGAUAAGGCACAAGUAGUUAGAAUAUCUCUCAUCUGUCUUAGUUGGGUUUGAGCUCUCUCGUCCAACCACCUUCUAAAUGUUAAUCUCCAUCCUCUUGUAGCCAUAUUUGCUACACAUUCUGUUUGCUCAUAACAGAUAGCAAACAGGUCCUGAAACUUAUCUUUAAGAGGGACAGAGCCACACCAAGAAUCUCCAAAAAUCUGUGUUCAAACCAUUACCAAUUUUGAUGAAUCUACUUUUUAGAUAUAACUCUUUGACUUUUAACAGAUCAUUCCACAUAGGGGAAUUAGUUGGUUUUAUUUUUAAAUGUGAUAUUCCUCCUACAAUUUUAUACUUUUUCCUCACGAUUUCAUGCCAAAAGCCUUCUUCAUUUUCAAUCCACCACCAUUUACCUAGAAGACUCAGAUUCAUUUUCCUUAAAUCUUUUAUUCCCAAACCACCUUUCCUUUUUGAUCUUGUUAUUUUUAACCACUUAACCAGAUGGUAUUUCCUCCUUAUUCCUCCUCUUGCCAAAAGAAUCUUUUCCUAGUUUUAAACGUACAAUAUAAUAGCCACAAGUUUGAUUGAGGCUGGCGUGUUAGGCUGCCUAUAAAAGGAGCCCCCCGGGAGUGCACCGAGCACUACAGCUCGAUCAGCUCACUCACUCAUCACUCGCCUCGGCUCACUUUGCUCGAGCACUUCCCUUCCUGAGCUUUUUUGCUAGCGAGGUGUUGUGUUGGUUAGAGAGAGACAGAGGCACAGAGCGGCAUGGCGGCUCAGGGAAGGGGCAGUGCUGCUCGUGGCAACACCGCCGCCGUGGUGGCGGUGGUCCUCCUCUGCGUUCUCCUCCACGGCGAGGUCGCAGAGUCGGCGGUGUACACGGUCGGCGACCGCGGCGGCUGGAGCUUCAACACCGCCAACUGGCCCAGGGGCAAGCGCUUCCGCGCCGGCGACGUGCUGGGUGAGUAGUGGUAGUAGCUACCUCAAGUCGCGCAUACAUGAUGUACAGGUGUUUCCUAUGCUAGGCUGUUCUGAAACGGCGUCUGUGUGCAGUGUUCAGGUACAGCCCGAAGGCGCACAACGUGGUGCCGGUGAGCGCGGCGGGCUACAGGUCGUGCAGCGCGCCGAGGGGCGUCAGGGCGCUCACCUCCGGCAACGACCGCGUCACGCUGAAGCGCGGCGUCAACUACUUCAUCUGCAGCUUCCCGGGCCACUGCCAGGCCGGGAUGAAGGUCGCCGUCACCGCCGCCUGAUCGAGGGUCUACGGUCGCAUCGCAAGCGUCGACCGCUUUUGCUUUAUUUCCUUUCCAAACUUAAUUAAUUAUGUGCUGCAACUAAUUAGACGGUGCCUGUUGUUGUUCAAUAAUAAUCCCGUGUCGUCCGUGUUGCGUACGUGCGUGUGUUAGUUGUUAGGUGUUGCCGUGUUGCAGAUUGGCACUGUAGAGAAGGGACAGAGGUCGGGUAAUGUACGUACGUACUGAUGUGUUUGUGUGAUGAUGUGAGGAGCAAUAAAAGCAUAUAUACAUACAGCCGCGUUUGUCUGCAAUGUAUCUUGUAUCCUGUGUAUCCAGUAGAUGUGUGAAUACGUCGGUCGUUUAUGGUCGCCUCUGCACUUAUACUUUCGUUCUAUCGGCAACUCCAGCCGAAUGUUCUUCCUGUGUCGACGAGACGAUACGAUAUGAUGAUAAGUUGGUAAACACAGCCGGGAAAUUUUUUACCAAAGGUAAAUUUUCUAACAAGUAGCCACUUUCUCACCCGAUAACUCAUCAAAUUGGCCAGGCGGGUCUAUUUGACAUGACUCAAGACUGCUUGACAACAAAUUUUAAGUCACACAAAUCCCCUUGGCAUAAUUAUUCACCUUUUUUAGUCACGCCAAAAACACAUUUGCGUGACCAAGUUGAGUCACACCAAAUGAAGUUGAUUGGCGUAACCAAAAUAGUUACUCCUUAAAUUUUAAUUUGCACAUGAUAUUAUUAAUAUUUACUUCUAGAUUCAAAAGUCUAAAUCAAAACUACGGCCCCUCUCACUCUUACUUGCUAGAACCGCUGCAAAGAGAGCCGUUGAGACAUCACGGGUUAUGCAGCCCAUCCCAUGCGGCCUACUAUGGCACUUAGGGGCGGGGUCCAUUUGCAUAGUGCAAUUUGCAAGAGAGGCCCAUGUAUUCUAGCACGAAGCCACAUACCGUAGGAAUCAAGGUGAAAGGCCGAAAACAUAAGAGGUUUUUAUUCCUUCAUACAAACCAACAUGAUGUAGAAGCAAAUAUUCACAAACAUGUAUGCAUGUUAGCUCCUAUGAACGUACAAAUUUGGAACCUUGCCCUCUGCCACUGCACACAAACCUGUCCUAUGAAUGGCUUUAAAGAGACUAGCCGAACAUGCAGGUCUUGAGAUGUACGAGGACAAGCAAUUGAUGAAGGCACCCGGCUAGUUCCUUUGAACACUACCAUUUCUAGCUAGCAUAUCCGAAUGCAGGACAAUUGAUAAUACAUUCACGUUAACAUCGUGUUUUCAUUACUCUGAGGUAGGGAUGUAAGGUCAUGAAGUUGAUCUCAACUUCGUCCACCGGAAGUAAUCCAUAUUUUGAAAUACCAAAUGUGUUAUAAAUGUACGUCAGCUUGGAUCCUUGAUCCGGCUCCCGUUCCUCAUGGUAGCUCGUGAGGUGUGAGAGGUUGUUGAAGAUCAUCCCAUUCGCUUCCUUCAAGCGCACACACAAGGAUAGGAACACGAAAGGACACGUCAUUAUAACGAGGAACCCAAUUCUCAUUCACAGAUGAAGAUGUAUAAAUGGACUUUUUUCACUAGACGAAAUCGGUAGAAAGCUAAUAGUUUAUCAUCGUAAGUUAUCAUGAAUAGAGCCUUCGAGGUAGAUAGUUCCCUACCCAGCCAACUAGUGCCCCACACUAAUAGCCGUUCCUGUUGCUCACAUCAAAGACCCGUUCCUGCCAACUUUUGCCCAACAACAGCCACAGCAAUCGGAUCCCCGUACCCAAAGGAUAUGGACGACGAUGCCCCGGCUCAACAAUCAACUUGAGUACCUGACCAUCAGUCAAACAUCUUGACCCAGCUGGCGCCUGGCAUUUUGAUCCGGUCCCUGACAGGGCCGAUCACCGAAAUGGACGCACACCAAACGAGCCUCCGGCAUACAGCGAAGCUUCCCGGCGACCUCUUGCCCAGUAAUGGGUUGUUUCUCCGUUUCCCAUUUCCGGCGGUGCCCACUCGUCGCCGUUGAUCUGACUUGCUUCCCGGUCUCCUCCGGUCCAAAAUUCUGGCCUUUCCCGUCUUCAUGUCCUUGCGUAGUGAUUUGCCUCCUAACCCAACCGAAGAAGUCGUGUCAGAAAAAAAAAAGUGAGCUGAUAAACCGAAGUAAAAUUUUCCUGGAAUUCCUCUGCGCUUACGAGGCUACGAGCUCCCACAGAUAUGAUAGCACUGGUAGGCGGUAGCUGAUCGGCGUUGUGCGCGUGGUGCGCCACUUCUUUCCCUGCCCUGGACACCGGCACACCGCCGCUGAGGCGCCGAUCCUGUAAAAUGUUUCUCACGCACCGGCAUGCUCAUGCAGUCAUGCUCAACCUCGAUCUGUUGUAUUCUCACAGCAGCGUUAGACCGUUUGACCGUGUUAAAGUAACGUACAAUAGCCACAAGUUCGAUCGACGACUGCUCGUGUUGGGUUGUCGCCUAUAAAAGUAGCACCGAGCACCACAGCUUAACUCACACACUCUAUCACUCGCCUUCGCCCUGGCUCAAGACCUUCCCUUCCCGAGCUAGCUCCGCAACUGCUAGCGUUUAGAGACACAGAGACAUGGCUCAGGGAAGAGGCAGUGCUGCUCGCGGCAGCGUCGCCGCCAUGGUGGCGCUGGUCCUCCUCUGCGUGCUCCUCCACGGCGAGGUCGCCGAGUCGGCCGUGUACACGGUCGGCGACAGCAGCGGCUGGGGCUUCAACACCGUCAACUGGCCCAGGGGCAAGCGCUUCCGCGCCGGCGACGUGCUCGGUCAGUCAGUGCUAGCUACAGAAUAUAUCUUCAGCUUUAAUCUUUUGCUGAAACAAACGGCGUGUGCGCGUGCAGUGUUCAGGUACAGCCCGAAGGCGCACAACGUGGUGGCCGUGAACGCGGCGGGGUACGGCUCGUGCGGCGCGCCGAGGGGCGCCAGGGCGCUCACCUCCGGCAACGACCGGGUCACGCUGAAGCGCGGCGCCAACUACUUCAUCUGCAGCUUCCCGGGCCACUGCCAGGCCGGGAUGAAGAUCGCCGUCAACGCCGCCUGAGGCCGGCGGCCAACCUUAUUGAUUUCCCCUCCAAAAGAAGAAAAGGAAAUAAAGUUCUGUAACUAAUUGGACGGUGCCCGCCGCUGUUCGGGCACGUACGUACGUUCGUGCUACGAGUUGUUGAAGAUUUGGCGGAUUGGCACUGUGUAGACUUGUAGAGUUGUAGAGAGGACGAACGCGUCGUGUGAGUGUGUGCUGGUGUGAUGUCGUGAGGAGCAACAAAAGCGUCUGUACGGCUGCGUUUGUGUGCGCUGUUUUCAAUCAUUCAAUGUGUGAUACAAACCACGAGUUCGGGGGCGUACGUUGGCGAUUCAAUACCGUACAAUGUCUUUGCAUCUUCGGCUCGCACGACAUGUAGAUAUAGUACUUCCGUCCUGUUAGAAAUAGGAUUGCAUACUGAUUUCAUUAGACGUUGCUAAUAACGGAUGCCUUCUCACUGCGGCAUCCAAGAUCAAUGAAUACAAACCACGAGUUCAUCUUUUUCUUUCUCUCAUUAUUACCUUCACGGAAAUCCAGUCGCGUUCAUACUUCUAUACGAAUUUUAACUUGGCGAUCGGCGGCCUAACAAGCAGCCUAACGUAGCCCAAAGCCCAUCCCAUGCGGUCUAGUUUUGCAGUCGGGCCGGGUCCAGCCUAUCUGCUUAUCUCAAGAGCGCGGCCCGCGCGUUGGCGUGUGCGAUGAUGAUUGCCGAACUCCAACAUCCAACCAAAUUGCUAGGAAAAAUGCACUAUUUGGAAGCGCUAUUUAUGGAUGAUCUACUCGUCAGUGACCUAAAACGAGACAUGACUUUUACCUACAAUGUGUACAACGUCAGUACGUCCAGAGUGGAGUACUCCGCCCGCUUUAGAAUAUAAUCUUCACACAAUAACAUAAACUUCAGAUACAGUCAUACAGACCAUCGCGCCGUCGGCCGUAACAUCCUGCUGCGCGGUUGCCCCAACCGGCCCAACUCCACCCUGCCGCUCCGAUUGGAUUUGCCGAGGUGAAGCAACUAUGGAGCAUGAUUGGAUUGGAUUUGCAUCUGCCAUUUGUUUUCCGCGUCUGAUGCUCCGGUUACCUCAACAGCUGUGCUUUUGCCAUCGAGUAGUGGCAGGUGUGAAUGUGUUGCGUACUGGAGGAUGGCAGGGUCCAGCUGCGACAGCAUGGUCUACCAAGUGAUGCGUCGCAGCGUGGCGAUGGCAGCAUCGACCACGAUUUGAAUUCUUCGGCGUCCUGCUCCUACCCAUGGCAGCCGGAGUAGUAAACUUGCUUGCCAGCUGCCACAACUCAACCACGAGGGCUCUACUGAGUUCUGUGCAUUUACCGUCAUCUUCUGAUCCAAAAGAUCGUGGCAAGGCAUAACUUGCCUUUUUAAGCCUGAAGAUUCCGUAACAUCAUAUCAUAUUAUCAUGUACUACGGCAUAAGUGGGCCAGUUUGGCAGGGCUCCGGCUCCUUCUAAAACGGUUCCGGCUCUAGCUCCUCUGGUGAAGCAGCUUCUCUGGUGUGGACGGAGCUGUUUUAGAAACUGUUUGGCAAACGGCUCCUCCUGUAUUUUUAGAAAUGGAUGUAAAGAAAUGGAUGUAAGAGGUCAAAUGUCAUAUAUGCCCUUGGAUAUAUUUUUUUAAUAGAUGAAUUAAAUGUUUAAUAUUAGUUUAUAAUUUAGGUCCAUUUGAAUUAAACAAACAAAUGAAAAGGGACUCCUCUCCUCUUUUCUUUUUUUCUUUUUUCCUUCACCUUUUCUUCUUUCUUUAUUUUCCUUCUCCCUUUCUUUUUUCUCCACGUUCUCCUUCUGCCUUAUCUCAUUUUCUGCGUCUCCUUUCGUCUUCCGCCGCCCAUCUCCCGACCACGCGCGCCCCGCCGCCCAGCUCCCCGUCACCGGCCGGCCCUCAAGUCCCCCGGUGCGGCGCCGCCUUGGCUCGCCGCCACCUCGGGCUCCUCUGCCAUCCCCGUCGCCGCGCCGUCUCGGUUCGCCGCCCGGGGCCCCAUCGCCCAGCUCCGCGUCACCUCGGGUCGCCGCCCGGCCUCGUCGGCCGCCUCCCGCCCGUCUUCGCCGGCCCCGUCGGCCGCCUCCCGCCCGUCGCCGCCGGCCCUGGUUCAUGGCACCGGCGUUCCUGCUGAGGCCAUGCGAGGCGAGGAAAGAAGCGGCUUGUGCGAGAGAACGCGUGCGGUGCGAGGAUAGAAGGGGCGACAUGCUUCUGUUGCGGUGGCAUUUUACCCGUAAUAUUGACCAACUCGGUGGGCAGUUUCGUAACCACCGGCCUGGGCGUGCGGGAAGGAGCCGCUGGAGCCAAAAAUAACGGCUCCGUCGCUCACGUUGAAAAACAGCUCCGGCUCUAGAGGGCUUCUCGCUAGGAGCUGUUUGGUUUUUACCCUUUGGCUCGGCUCCGGCUGUAGCUCUACCCGCCUAUGUAUGAAUGCCGUGAGCUCUGAAACGGCUCAACUUUUGCAGUUUUGCUCGUGUGAAUAGUUCUGUCCUGGCAGAAUCUGCUGCCUGGCCUGCGCUGCACCGGCCUCCGGGCUCCGGGAGACUCUCGUCCCGUCGUCCGUCUGUCUCGUCUGGCCCGUCAUGUGAUCACGGGCCCGUGUCCUAUGCAGCAGCAUUGAAGUUGCACAGCCUCCCUGCAGCUGCAGACCUGCUUGCCCUCCCUCUCUGCUCGUCAGCUCUGCGCAGUAUUCAUUACCUCGGACACCGUGCUCCCCCGAGCAACCCGCCAGCUAGGCAGGCAGCUACACUCCCCUUCCCAGCCGUUCUAUUUCACUCGAGCCCUCGUGUGGUGCCAGGCCACACUGCCAUCCAGCCAGGUCCAGGAAUUUCUUCCCUACCCAAGUACCCAGCCCGCAGCACAGCGACAAGUCACAAGUGAGCGAGAUGGCUCGGGGAAGAGGCAGUGCUAGCGCAAGCCGCGCCAUGGCGUUCGCCGUCGCCUGCUGCAUCCUCGCCGCCGACGCAGGCACCACCUACUACGUCGGGGACAACAACGGCUGGUCCUUCAGCAGCCCCAACUGGCCGAACGGCAAGCACUUCCACGCCGGCGACACCCUCGGUACGUCUCGAGUCAGCGCCGCCCGCACUUCGCGUCUUGCAUUGGCCGUGUUCGGCACUGAAAAAAAAAAUGCCCGUGCUUCUGUAUGCCGGUGCAGUGUUCAGGUACGUGCCCUGGAUCCACAACGUGGUGGCGGUGGACGAGGGCGGGUACGACGGCUGCACGACGCCGCCGGGGUCGCGGACCUACACCUCCGGCGACGACCGCGUCACGCUCGCCAGGGGGGACAACUUCUUCAUCUGCACCCGCUUCGGACACUGCAACCUCGGCAUGAAGCUCGUCGUCUACGCCGCGUGAUUCACUGAUUUGGUGCGGCUCUGUGUGUGUGUGUGUGUGUGUGUGUGUGUGUGUGUGUGUGUGUGUGUGUGUGUGUGUGUGUGUGUGUGUGUGUGUGUGUGUGUGUGUGUGUGACUGACCGGACGUGCUUGCCCUGGAGUGAACUGCUUUGAUUUCUACACUACCAUUUCAUUCAUGUAACCGUUGUGAUUUAUGGCAUAUUGUGUCUGAACAUUUGCUUCCCGUGACAAAUCGUUUGACAUUUUCGCUGACGUACCUCUCGAGAAACACCACCACGGUUGAUUUCUCCGCUUUAUUGCAGCUACCUUGUUUAUCAAUCAUCAGAAAAGGCGCAUUUUGUGGAUUAUGAGGUUUGGUGUUAUGCAGAUCCCAUUCUUUUCAUUUGGGUGAUUUGAGGGCUUCCAUCACCUAUGUGAUUUGACAAGUCAAAUCAUCUAAAUCUAUGAGGAAAAAAGAUUUGAGUGAUUUUUUGCUUGCCCUCACACGGGUGAUUUUGGCACCCAAAUCACUCAAACGUUCUGGUUACUAGAUUUCGAGUGAAAACAAAUAAGUUGCUACCCAAAAUUCAGUACACGUAAUUAGAUCCAUAAAUACAGAAAAAAUAUCAAAUAUAUAAAGAAAGAUAAAAUAGAAAAUUUUCGAAAGCAGAUGAAAGGAAGAAGUAACUGAAAGAAAUCAAAAUUUUCAAAACUGUUGGUCAGUGAGCUACUACAGCCUGUCCAAUGCAAAAUAAAAAUAUUCAAAGGGGCUGUCUAUUGGCAACUCGAGUGGUUUGGCAGCAUGUGGCACUCAAGUGCCAAAUCUGACAAAUCGAGUGUCUUGGUAGCUGCCGCCACUGGAUUAUCACAAGCACCUGAUUUAGAUCUAAUGACUAAAAUUUGUGCACAUCUAAUUUACUAUUUGAGACACAGAAUUCACAAACAAAACUUAAACAAUCAGAGUCAUACAAAUUAAGAUACAGAAUUGAAGCAUAAAAUUGGCAGACAACUUAAAUGAUCGAAGGACAAAGUAUACUUUGAAAUAACCAAAUUCAAAUAUUACGAACUGGAAUUGCAGUUUGAGAGUAACAUUACAGAGCCUAGUAGCCAACUAGGCUGCACUUGACAAACUGUGGCUGGAUGAAACCGCUAAAGACCAUGACACAAGAAAAGGAGAUACAGAGAUAAAAACAGCUGGUAGCAGUAUAUCUGUGAACAACAAUUGAUCUACAAAUGAUGGAAUAUAGAGUUAGAAUAUAAGUUGAAGAACAUAUGAUAAGUUACACGUCAGGAAGAUUAAAUUUACAUAUAAUUUCCUAGUGUAAUAAAAGUGACAACAGAAAGGCUAUGUUGUUGUUGUAAUAAAAGUAACACAACCAUGUAACUGAAACUAAAUGAUAGAAUCUGUAUGAAAAAAACUGAGAUUGAGACAAAAAUAAUAACCAUGUAACAACUAAAUAGGAACGAUCAUGACAAGAACAAGGAGAUAAAAAAUAACCACUAGCAGCUGAUCCAUGGAUCUACAAAUGAUGCAAUCAGAUGAAGUCAUCAACACAAGGCUAGCAUAAUAAUAAUGAAAUAUGUAUUUCCAUGUCAAUUAAUAAUGUAACCAAGGGCUGUUGUAUGCGUAUAGCAUAUUUAGACACAACAAUAGAACACAUAGAUGACAAAACAGAAGUUAUUAGCUGCAAACACCCACAUCAAAAAGAACUCAAGAUAUCCACUUCUAAAAAAACAACGAGGCUUAUGUACCCAAUGCUACAACAUUAUUUUUGAUGAAGUAAAACUUAGCUACAAGAAAGCCUCUAGAGCCAAAUAAAAUUUCACAGAAAAAAUAUCUUAUCACAUUAAUUAUAUGGACAAAAAAUAAGCUAUAUGUAGCAGACAAAAAAUAGGUAUUCGACAUAUAUGAAUAAAACCCGAAAUGUGUUCAAAAAUCAUUGAAACUUUGAGAUUACUUAAAAAUACAUGUGAGACCCAUGCAAUUUAGAUGUCAUUAGCUAAUGUAAUAUGAGUAAUGCCAUCAUGUAUCUUAUCCUAAACAUGUAGGAGACAAAUAAAUACAAGAUAAGAAACCAAGCUUCUUCAACAGGGGAACACCGAAUGCAUCUAAAAUGAAAAUAAAAUAAAUUAUAUGUAAAAUAAAUGAUUAUCGUUAGCUGUCUACAAGAUAAAAGAAAUUGAGCUACUGACCCAAAUUAUUUAGAGAAAUGUACAUAUUAGCAAAUUGACAUAGGAAUUGUGCAGAUGGAAAAAAAGUUCAUUAACUCACAGGCUAAAUCUGACUAGCCAUCGGAAACAAAGGGAUCAAAAUCAAAAUACCCAGAAAACAACACCCAUCCAUCUAACCAGCAGCAACUUAAAAAUUAUAAUCUUAACAAGGAGGGAGAGGGGGAGGUACCAAUUGGAUCAAAAAAAAGGCACCAAACAAAUCAGGCAAUCGACUGACAAAUUCAACCUAUGAAUCGAGGUAAUCACCCAAUCCAACCCCAACUAACGAUACACUAGCAACCUACAGGAAUUAUUUCUGAUCUAAGGGUGCGAAUCACAAGUCAGUGAUAAAAAAAAGACAAAUCACAACUCAUCGAGCAACAGAUAUCAGAUAGUUAAAGUUCUGGAUCUGAUAAGAAGAAUAUAAAUGCAGCUAAGCAGAUUCUUAAGAUUUCCCAAAUAUAUAUAGCUAGUCGAACCAACUAGGUAGUUGGAAUGUAGGGUCUCUUACAUGUAAAUUAGGAGAGUUAGUUGACGUAUCGACUAGGAGGCGUGUAAAUAUCUUAUGCAUUCAAGAGACUAAAUGGAAGGGUCAGAAGGCGAAGGAGGUGGACUACCGGUUUCAAGCUUUGGUACACAGGGACAACUGCAAAUAGAAAUGGAGUCGGAGUUUUGAUUGACAAGAGUCUCAAGGAUGGAGUGGUGGACGUGAGAAGGCAAGAGGAUAUAUCCUAGUUAGGCCUGUCAUUGGUGAUAUGGUUCUGAACAUAAUUAGUGUGUAUGCCCCCCAAGUAGGCCACGAUGAAAGUGUUAAGAGGCUUUUCUGGGAAGAUUUAGAUAGACUGGUUAGAACUGUACCUUUUAGCGAGAAGCUUUUCAUAGGAGGAGAUCUUAAUGGGCAUGUAGGGCAGAACAAGUGCAGGCUUCGAGGUGGUUCAUGGAGGUUUUGGGUAUGGUAGUAGGAAUCAGGAGGGAGAGGAAGUCUUGGACUUUGCAGUAACUUUUGAGUUGAUGAUAGCGAACACUUUCUUUAGGAAGAGACGGUCCCAUUUAGUGAAUUUUAGUAGUGGCCAACACUAUAGCCAGAUUGACUUUAUCCUUACAAGAAGAGAGGAUAAACAGGCAUGCUUGGAUUGCAAGGUGAUACUAGGGGAAUGUGUUGUUUCUCAACAUAAGCUUGUGGUGGCGGACUUUCAUUUUUAGAUGCGCGCACGCAGGGAUAAACAAGCUAAGAUUGCGAGAACAAAGUCAUGAAAACUGUAAGAGGAGACGUCAGAGGUCUUCAAGGAAAGGGUAAUCAAAGAGGGCCCUUGGAAGGAAGGAGAGGACGCAACCAACAUGUGGGAGAAGAUGGCAAACUGCAUUCGGAAGGUGGCCUCGGAGGUGCUUGGAGUGACCAAGGGGGGUAGAGGUGUAGGUAAAGAUACUUGGUGGGGGAAUGAGGAAGUCCAAAAGAUUAUUAAGGAGAAGAAAGAAUGAUAUAGGCGCUUGUUCCAUGAUAGGAGUAUGGAAAACAUAGAUAAGUACAAGAAGGCAAAGAAGAUCGCAAAGCGAGCUGUAAGUGUGGCAAAGGGUAGGGCGUAUGAGGAUUUUUUUACCAACGAUUAGGUAUGAAAGGAAGGAGAGAAGGACAUCUAUAGGAUGGCUAAGGUUUGUGAGAGAAAGAUGAGGGACUUCAACAAAGUUAAGUGCAUUAAGGAUGAAAUGGAAAACAUCCUGGGAAAGGAGGAUGGGAUCAAACAUAUAUGGCAAGAGUAUUUUGACAAAUUGUUCAAUGGUGAGAAUAAGAACACAACCUUGCAAUUGGAUGACUCUUUUUGAUGACACCAACAGGCACUUUGUGCGGAAGAUCCAAGAAUCUGAGGUCAGAGAGGCGUUGAAAAGGAUGAAAAGUGGUAAGGCGAUGGGUUUGGAUGGUAUGCCAAUUAAGGUAUGGAGAUGCCUCGAGGAUACAACCAUAGUAUGGCUAACCAAGUUGUUCAACCAGAUUUUUCAGUCGAACAAGAUGUCGGAAGAGUGAAGAAGUAUAUCGAUACCAAUAUAUAAGAAUAAGGGAUAUAUUCAAAGUUGUACUAAUUACCGAGGAAUUAAGUUGAUGAGCCAUACUAUGAAGCUAUGGGAGAGAGUUAUCGAGCAUCGUUUGAGAAGGAUAACACGGGCCUCUAUGAGCCAAUUUGGUUUCAUGUCUGGAAGGUCAACCAUGAAAACUAUUUUCUUAAUAAGACAAGUUGUGGAGCGGUAUAGGGAGAAGAAGAAGGACCUACACAUGAUUUUCAUUGACUUGAAGAAGGCGUAUGACAAAAUACCAAGGAAUGAUAUGUUGUGGGUUUUGAACAAACAUAAAGUUCCAAUGAAGUACGUUGGACUUAUUAAGGACAUGUACAACAAUGUUGUAACUAGUGUCCAAACAAGUGAUGGCGACACAGAUGACUUUCCGAUUAGAAUAGGACUGCAUCAAGGGUCUGUUUUGAGCCCUUAUCUGUUUUCCUUGGUGAUGGAUAAGGUAACAAGGGACAUUCAAGGGGAUAUCCCUUGGUGUAUGCUCUUCGCGGAUAAUGUAGUGUUAGUUGAUGAAAGUCGAGCAGGAGUAAAUAGGAAACUGGAGUUGUGGCGGGAGUCCCUAGAGUCAAAAGGUUUUAGACUCAGCAGAACUAAAACUGAAUAUAUGAGAUGUGACUUUGGCACUACUACACAUGAGGAGGGAGAUGUCAGUUUGGAAGGCCCAGUAGUACCCAGGAAGGAUACAUUUCAAUAUUUAGGAUCAAUGCUACAACGAGAUGGGGAUAUUGAUAAGGAUGUUAGUCAUAGAAUCAAAGCGGGAUGGAUGAAGUGGCGCAAAGCAUCAGAAAUUUUAUAUGACAAGAGGGUACAUUGAAGCUAAAAGGCAAGUUUUAUAGGAUGGCGAUUAGACCUGCAAUGUUGUAUAGCGCAUAAUGUUGGUCUAAAAAAAAUAACAUGCCCAGCAGAUAAGUGUUGCGGAAAUGCGUAUGUUGCGUUGGAUUUGUCGUCAUACGAGAAGGGAUCGAGUCCGGAAUGAGGAUUUACGUGAUAGGUUAGGGUUAGCACCAAUUGAAGAAAAGUUUAUCUAACACCGGCUGAGAUGGUUUGGACAUGUCCAACGAAGGUCUACGGAGGCACCGGUGCGUAGCGAAACCUUAACAGUAAUGUGAAGAGAGGUAGAGGAAGAUCAAAAUUGACAUGUGAAGAUGCAAUAAAAGGAGAUUUGAAGGGAUGGAAUAUACCCAAAGAUUUAGCCCUGGAUAGGAGUGCUUGAAAAACAGCUAUGCAUGUGUCCGAACCCUGAUUUGUGGCUCUUGUUGGGUUUCUCAACUCUAGCCUACCCUAACUUGCUUGGAACUGAAAGACUAUGGUGUUGUUGUUGUUGUUGUUGUUGUUGUUGUUGUUGUUGUUGUUGUUGUUGUUGUUGUUGUUGUUGCUGCUGCAAACAGUAGAAUUAUUGGGUUGAAUGAAAACCCCCAAAUGAACACAGAUUACCUUGCAGAACUGCAAUGGACUUGUAGAUUGCAAGUUCAAAUGAUUAAUCUAUAAUUAAUAAGAAUACCAAUAUGAUUAAAUCAUUAUGCACAAAAGGAAUCAUCUUAAAACAACUACACUCAAGUAGAGUGAUAUUAGAUAAAUAUUACUGCUAUCAAACUGCUUACUAACUAGCUAACAUGAGAACUUACUACUGCAUCACUAAAACCACCAGCCAAACAUGCAUGAGAUAGCACCUAGAAGGAUUAACCUAAAUAUGCAUGCAUACAAUUUCUAGUCACUUCACUGUAGCUAGAGACUAAAUCGAAAGAACUCACGCUAUCGAAAGAAGGUCCUAGCAUGUGUAACGGCUAAGCUACUAUAUAAUAGAUCAAGGCAAAAAGAGAGAUUCAUGCUUGAAAGAUUAAACAAAGAUAACUGCACUAUAGCAUGAAAGAGACAUUUCAAGACAUAUGAGUUAGAGCAAAACUAAACUCAAAAGGCUAUCCAGUAAGCAAGUAUUAGCACACUGGAAUUUUGGAAUAAACAAGCAACUGAACUGCACCUUACAAACUUAAUGAUGGAACCUUGUUGCUCCUCAGGUGCUUACCUGCACAAGCUGGUGAUAGAAGCUUCAUCAAGUAGCCUGAACAUACCUGACGGCUGACCAAUGGAGAAAUAUCGGCGCUGCUUGAAAAACAAAGAAGCAAGCAACUAACUAGUCUAGUGUCGUUGAAGAGACGAACAAGAGAAAAAAAAUUGUGCAAUCACUGCACAAAACAAUAACCAAAAGCUGCUGGCUGGACGAAUCACUGCAAUGCUCGAGAGUACCUCCGCAAGUGAGAUCAUUUCGCAGACUGAACAGAGAACGAAACAACAUGCUGGUUUUGCAAGGAGAUUAGUCAAAACACAUCGAGACAAAUCCGAUCCAUUUGAAAAUAGAGCCACAAGCUCAUAUCCUCAAGGAUAAAUAGACCCGGGAAGAAGAAUCCUAAAAGAUUAGAAUCCAACAUCAAUUUUGAGAAUUUUGGUAAACCCUAGGGGAGGCAUAAAUUUGGGAAAAACAUCAAAAUUAUAAGGGAAAUUGACUCAGUACAACCCAUUGCAAUAAUAUAGAGAUGAAGCUCAUCAUAGGUAGAUAUUAAAUAAAAAAAAUGGUAGAGCAACCUCACAUCCCACCAAGGGAAAUGAACCACAACGACAUAAAAUGGAUACAAGAAUCUCAUUCCAACAUAAAUGAACAAAGGAAUCAUCACCUAUCGACCAGCGAGUCCUAGUUGCAAAAUUGAUAGGAGAAAUUUCAAAAAUUAUCAUGAACAAACCUAAGACACGGAUCACAAACACAUACAAAAUCAUACCUCAUAAAAUCAAGACACGAGGAAUCAACAAUAAAUGAGAAAUUUAGAGAGGAGGAGCAGGGGGGAGGGGGGAUAGACCAUGGAGUUGAAUCGAAAACGAAUAUUAGGCAACGAAAACUAAACAGCAAAAUCACACCGCAACAUACCUUGCAUAAUGCAUUCAUGAACAUUGCGGCUAGACAAAUCGAGACAACAGAUAUAGAACAACCCCACCAAGCAACAAGCAUACACAAACGCAAGGGCAAAAAUUAGCGCAAAUAGCCAGGGAAAUCAAGCAAUCAAGCUCCUUACCGAUGAACAACACAAAUCAAAUACCCGAUCUAUUGGUUCAAAAUCACAAAAGUGUGAAGAACUCACCGGGACGGUGGAACCCUAGGGGCCCCUCGCCUGCUCGCUGAGCUCGAUGGGAGAACGGGAAAGGGGGACGAAAUCAGAAACGGAAGGGACGGGAAAUACUUCGGCGCGAUUCCCAAGAUACAAACAGUAGAGACCGUCAAAGUGGACCCAGCCAUCAGUGGAAAAAAAAUAGUAGCUUGUGUGGACAGGUGGAGCAUCGAGAUCGAGCGAGAGAGAAAUUGAAUGGUCGACAAAUUGAGUGAGCGGAGACCACAGAUCACAUGGGUGAGCUAUAGCUUUCCCUUUUUAUUUUGGUGCGUGAUAAAAUCAUCUGGUAACAGGACUGCACUAUCGGCGGGAUGAGUUGGUUGAUGAGCUAUAGCUCGUGUGGACAGGUAGAGCGUCGAGAUCGAGCGAGAGAGAAAUUGAACGGCCGACAAAUUGAGUGAGCGGAGACCACAGAUCACAUGGGUGAGCUAUAGCUUUCCCUUUUUAUUUUGGUGCGUGAUAAAAUCAUCUGGUAACAGGACUGCACUAUCGGUCCGAUCAGUUGGUUGAUGAGAUCAGCACGACAUACAUGUUGACAACCUGGUUUAAGCCCUGUGUUGACGCCAGAUUUCGUCACUAGUAAAAUCGGCGCCAAGAAGAGAGGGAAUGGGCAAAGUGCAGUUGGGAAUCGGCCGAAUGGUGCUACAGUACAAGAUCGGCCGAUGACUUCUGCCUCGCUUCGGAUCGAACGCGCCGGGUUCCCAAUCGGUUGCCUUUUGCCGAUAAGGAAUCGGCCGAUUAGGGGGUUGGGUUAAUUGGGCCUGUAUGGGCUUGGAAAGGAAUAGAAGGAUAAGGGGGAGAUCAGCCCAUGAAGCAUAUAAUAACCAACCUAGCACGAAUCGUGCUUGUAAAUAUUCGUUUUCUAUUUGAAUUAGGGAUAGAAUUCUAGUCAGUUAAGGAGUCAUCUGUACGGGGCUAUAAAUAGCUACCUUUGUAAAUCUGUAAUCAUCAACAAAUCAAUACAACCAACUACUUUUUCCUCGUACUUACUUUCAAGCAGGCGACUUCGCCAAAUACUUUCUCUUUUCACGAGUUCGUACGGGUUGGCAGGGCUGCAUCAACUUGAUCUCCGGCCGAUCUUGUAAGUUCCGUUUACCGAGUAAAUUCUAAGCUUUAACUUCGGGCGCAUCGCUGUUGUUUCGUUUAGAUUUAUUCACUAGUUAUCGAUAUUUACUAGAAUUAUAGGUUUUACCUGUUUUUCUAGUUUUAUCACCAGUUAUCCAGCUAGGAAUCGAUAGUCUCGGCUUUCUUUACAUUCAACUAUUAAAUUCAUCUAUUUCAUAUAUUGCCGAUUAGAUCUAUUCCUAGUACUGUUACCAUAGCAUUGUGUCGAUUACUCUAGUAGUUUUUUGUCUACAAGGCUAUAGUGAUCGGCUACCUUAUAGCCGAUUUCUUUUUUACGGCAAAUCAGCCGAUUCACUGAUAAGCUCUCUCGAGAUCGGAAACUUAGCUGAUCGCGACUUCCGGAUCUGACACGUAUUCUACCUUGCCAAUCAACAGGUCAGAUUGGCUGGCACGCCGCGCGAACCGCACCAGGGCAAUCACCCGAACAGGAGCUAAGCAGAUUCUCCCGGGUCGUGUGUCAGACGCUGGGGAUUCGGUUGACCGAUUUCUAGCGCCAACACACUUUUGGCACGCCCGGUGGGACAAAUACAACCGCCGCCAUGUCGAAAGCUGCCGAAGUCUCCGAAGAUAACGUCAUCGAGGUGACGGAAGCAGAUCUAAAGGACUACCAGAAGGAAGAACUGGAUAAGCAUACGGCACAGUUCCGGAAAACUUGCCUACAGUCUUUCAGUCGCUCCAGAAGCGGGGAGACUAUCAAGAAAACUCCGUUUCCAAGUCCCCGCCAGAUCACAAUCUCUGAGGACUCGGCCAAGAUGGCCGAUAUGGUCCAACAGUCCGUUUACCACGCCUUCAUUGAUCAAUCCCCAGUACUUGCAAAUACGGUGUACAACGCCGUGGUUAACUCCUUCGCUGGUGGGGUACCUCAAGGAUAUAGGGGACCGGCAUAUACUCAGCCGAUUCCACCAAACCAGGGUUAUUUGAAUUCAGUUUCUCAGCCGAUCCAAUUCUCUGUUGGGGGUUCAGGCGCUUCUUCAUCAUCAGUUCCUAUGGGAUAUAACUCCAUCCAGCUGUCCUCUGCGCCGUUCCCUCCGGUUAGCCCAGCGCCUUGGGGGGCACCAUCAGCCACGGCCGGUCAGAAUCAAUCGGCCAGUCUAGGAAGCCCACAAUUCCAGGCAUCUUUCCAGGCGGCCACUCGGCCAACCAUGCCGUCAUACCAGCCUGUCGCACCGGAGAUCAACAAGACAGCAGAGCUCGUACUGUAUGAUGAAACGAGUGGCUCAUUCAAACAGCCGACCUUUAAUACACAGUCGGCUUUCACUCAGAUGCCACCUGCUUUCACUCAGCAUCAGGCUAUUCCACCUCCGGUUUACCAGCACGUGCUGAUACCUCAGCCAACAGUUCACCAGCAACAGCCGGAUUGGUCAGCACGUAUCGCAGAGGUGAUUCAGGAGCAAUUCGGCUUAAAGCCGAAGGUACAAACUUACACCUAUAGGACACCAUACCCGUCUACAUAUGACCUACUGCCGUUUCCCCAUCGGUAUAAAGUUCCUGACUUCACCAAGUUCUCGGGGAUGGAUGAUACUUCAACCGUGGAGCACGUGAACAGAUUCAUCAUCCAAUGCAGAGAGGCAGCUACGCAAGAUGCUCUACGGAUGCGGUUGUUCUCGUCAUCUUUGUCUGGCUCGGCCUUUCAGUGGUUCACGACAUUGCCGCCAAACUCGAUUAUCACGUGGGCCGAUUUGGAGAGACAGUUUCACAAAUACUUCUACGCCGGGGUGCAUGAGAUGAAGCUAUCCGAUUUGACCAGCCUCAGGCAGAGAAGCGACGAGCUGAUAUCCUCAUAUGUACAGAGGUUUCGGGAAAUAAGGAACAAGUGCUAUUCCCUGGCCCUGAACGACGCGCAGCUGGCUGAUAUAGCCUUUCAAGGCCUCCUGCCCCACAUCAAAGAAAAAUACGCCUCACAGGAGUUCGAGAGUUUAAGCCAGAUCGUCCACCGAUUUUCUGGACAGGAGGUACGUUCUUUUGAUCCACGGAGGAAUUUCCAGAAGAAAGUGGCGUUCCUGGAAGAAGUGGAGGACGAGGAAGACGUCGAGGUCGGACUUGCGGAGUGGGUCAAGGGAAAGAAGCCGAUAUCAUGCCCGUUCGGCAAAAAGGAGCCAGAGGCGUUCGGUUUUGACACGACGAAGGCCGAUAAAAUCUUCGACCUUCUCCUCCAGGAAGGGCAGAUCAAGCUCUCGCCAUAUCAUACAAUACCUUCUGCCGAACAACUAAAAAAGAUGAAAUAUUGCAAGUGGCACAACGCCACAUCUCAUGAUACUAAUGAGUGCAAAAUCUUCAGGCAGCAGAUACAGUCGGCCAUUGAGCAGGGCAGACUCAAAUUUGAAGUGCCGACAAAAUCGGCCAAGCCAAUGAAGAUCGACCAGCACCCCUUCCCCACCAACAUGGUCGAUACGGGAAAGAAUUCACUCCAAACAAAAGUGCUGACGUCUGAAUCGGCUAAAAAGAGUGGCGCCGUAGACCCCAGGAAUCAAGCUACACCUGAAGAUGUCAAGGGAAAGCGGCGGAUGGAGGACGACGAUGGCGAAUCGGAAGAACCACGCAUUACUUCCCAGUUCCUGCUCCAGAAAUAUCAGCGUCAGCAUGAACGCUCAAGAUCCCGGGAAGAAGCGAUGCGGCGGCACGAAGAUCACUGGAGGUGCCCGUUCUUCAUCCACUGUUGGGAAAGCAACCUCAGGCUACCUUCGGCCGAUAACUGCCCAGAAUGCAACGGCCCGUAUCGCGGCAAUCGACCGUUCAACAGGUCUCGCUCCAGAGACGGAAGACCAGAACCGAUCAGCAGGAAUUGGCGCGACCAAGAUGACCAGCGCCCUCCCGUGCGUGAUCGGCUGGGGGGCAGAAGUGACCGAUAUGACCGGUCGGAAGAUAGACGCCAUAACAGGCAGGGGGGUAGGACUGAUCGACAUGACCGACCAGAGAACAGAGCCAACGUUCACAGUCGGCUUGAAGAGAUGGCCGACGCUCGGGUGACAGACGAGAACUCUUUAGGACGCGAACCGGAGUGGGAACGCGCGAAGUCAGGGGGCAAACCAAUAAACCCCAGGUGGUGUCCCGAUGGAUUGACCAAAUCUCAAAAACGAAGGAUCCAACGUCUCCGCCAAUGGGAACAGCAGGAAGAGGAACAACAGAGCACAACGGACAAGAAGGAAAGCAGGCCUCGGGUAUGGCGCCCCAAAAGAAACGAUAAAGGGGACGACGAAUCGGCGGGUGAUGAAUCGGCAGCCGAUAUCGGCAUGGUUUUCAUACUGCCGAUGGAGUUUAUGACUCCCGCCGACCGACAGGAUGUGUCGGCAAUAGAAGAACAGAUGGCACAGUUGGCUUUGGAGCCAAUGAUGGCCACGUUCGAGAAGCCCGAGGAUGACAAACGACAACACCUGAAAGCAUUGUUCCUAAAAGGGCAUGUCAAUGGCCGCCCCCUCACUAGAUUAAUGGUAGACGGAGGAGCUGCAGUCAAUAUCAUGCCAUACGCCGUGCUCCGGAAACUGGGAAAAAGCGACGACGACUUGACCAAGACAGACAUGAUGCUCAAGGACUUCGAAGGCAACGUGUCUCUCGCUCGCGGCGCCCUCUGCGUCAACCUCACCAUCGGCAGUAAGACCCUUCCCACCACCUUCUUUGUUAUUAACGGCAAGGGGUCCCACAACAUGCUACUCGGCCGGGACUGGAUACACGCAAAUUGCUGCAUCCCGUCAACAAUGCAUUAAUGUCUUGUGCAAUGGGUCGGCAACAACAUCAAGGUAGUCAACGCCGAUUCCGCAUACAGCAUCGCGGCAGCCGACACGCAGCAGUGGAGCUGCGAAACCGUCAGGUGCAUAUCCGGCAGAGUAUGGGAGACCGAUUUCCUGAAGGUGAACGAUUUUGGUCUACAGCCGAUCCGAGCAGUCGGCUCCGAAGACUCAGAUUAAAUGGAUCAGUUCGCCCGAGAAGAUGGGAAGCUAGGGCACGGGUUCACGUCGGCCGAUUCACUAGAGAUGAUAGACUUAGGCAAUGGUAUCAAACCAAGGCCGACUUAUAUUAGUGCAAAUUUAGACCCAGAAUGCAAAUGUAAAUUGACAAACUUGUUAAAAGAAUUCAAGGAUUGUUUUGCUUGGGAGUAUCAUGAGAUGCUCGGUUUAGAUCGAUCUAUUGUUGAACAUCGGCUACCCAUAAAACCAGGGUAUCGGCCGUACCAACAGCCCGCAUGGCGCUGCAAUCCUAAAAUUCUACCAGACAUAAAAGCCGAAAUAACUCGGCUAAUCGAAGCAAAAUUUAUUUGACAAUGCCGUUAUGCCGAAUGGAUCUCCAACAUUGUACCGGUGUACAAAAAGAACGGAAAGUUACGCGUAUGCGUUGACUUCAGAAAUCUUAAUCAGGCCACACCGAUGGACGGAUACCCCAUGCCGACAGCCGAUGUGCUAAUAGACGCGGCCGCGGGACACAAGAUUAUUAGCUUCAUGGACGGCAACGCUGGGUACAAUCAAAUACUUAUGGCCGAGGAGGACAUACCCAAAACGGCCUUCAGAUGCCCAGGCCACCUUGGUUUAUUUGAGUGGGUGGUGAUGACUUUUGGCUUGAAGAACGCUGGCGCUACGUAUCAGAGAGCCAUGAAUUACAUAUUUCACAAACUCAUUGGCAUUCUGGUAGAGAUCUACAUCGACGACGUCGUAGUCAAGUCCAAAGGUCACGAAGAGCAUCUGGCCGAUUUGCGAAGGGUGUUGGAGUGCACCAAGAAACAUGGGCUGAAGAUGAACCCCAAUAAAUGUGCCUUCGGCGUGUCCGCCGGACAGUUCUUAGGAUUCAUGGUGCACGAGCGGGGAAUAGAGAUCAAUCGGAAGACCAUAGCGGCUAUCAACAAAGUCGUGGCCCCGCAGAAUAAAACUGAAUUACAGUCUUUAAUCGGCAAGGUGAAUUUCAUCAGAAGAUUCAUAUCUAAUUUGUCCGGGCGGAUUCAGGCGUUCACGCCACUGUUGAAGUUGGAGCCUGGCCAGGAGUUCAUAUGGGGGGAAGAACAACGCAAAGCAUUGGAAUAUAUCAAACAGUACUUGGUCUCGCCACCGGUAUUGGUUCCUCCUCAGACUGGUAAGCCAUUUAAACUAUACUUAUCAGCUGAUGAAAAGGCUAUUGGGUCGGCUCUAGUCCAGGAAUUCGAAGGAAAGGAAAGAGUGAUUUAUUAUGUCAGUAGAAGACUCCUGGACGCUGAAACAAGAUAUCCUCCAGCGCAACGGUUGUGCCUAUGUCUUUACUUCUCAUGCACCAAACUCAGGCACUAUUUACUAUCGGCAGAAUGCGUGGUCGUAUGCAAAGACGACGUAGUAAAAUACAUGCUGUCACUGCCGAUCUUGAAAGGUCGAAUCGGCAAAUGGAUCUUAGCUUUGUCAGAGUUUGACCUGCGGUAUGAAUCGGCUAAAGCCGUCAAGGGUCAGGUCAUGGCCGAUUUUAUCGCCCAACACUGCGGACCAGAAGUUACCCUUGUAGAGCCGGCGCCUUGGACUUUAUACUUUGAUGGGUCGUCAUGUGGAGCCGGAUCAGGAAUCGGCAUCGUUCUCAUAUCGCCUCGGGGGGCAAGCUAUGAUUUUUCUCUGCCGAUAGAAGCCACCGCCACUAACAAUCAAGCGGAGUACCGAGCUGUAUUGAAGGGCUUACAACUACUGAGAGAAGUCAAAGCCGAUUCUAUCGAAGUCUUCGGGGAUUCCAUGCUUAUCGUGGACCAAUUAACCGGAAGGUCCGAAUGCAAGGACGAUGUAUUAAGAAUCUAUUAUGAAAAUUGCCUACAGCUCCUAAAAGAUUUUAAAUCGGCAGUAAUUGAGCACAUCCCAAGGGACCACAACGAGGAUGCCAACAAGCUCACCCAGCACGCAUCUGGAUAUCGGCCAAUUCUAGGCGCUAUGGCUCUGGAACUCGCGGUCGAUGACUGGCGAAAAGAAAUUGCCGACUACUUGAAAGAUCCGUCUAAGAAGGUGGAACGACGAGUACGUUUUCAUGCUACUAAGUACGCACUGCUCGAAGACGACCUGUUCUACCGAACGAUUGAUGGCGUCCUACUCAAAUGCCUGGGAACAGAAGAGGCCAAGACGCUAAUGGGAGAAAUUCAUGAGGGGGUAUGUGGAGCGCACCAAUCGGCCCAUAAAAUGAAAUGGAUGAUCAGGAAUAAUAGGUAUUACUGGCCAACGAUCCUCGAAGAUUGUUUUAAAUAUUAUAAGGGGUGCCAGGAUUGUCAGAAGUUUGGAAAUGUCCAACGAGCGCCCGCAUCGGCCAUGAAUCCCAUUAUCAAACCAUGGCCAUUCUGAGGAUGGGGAAUAGACCUUAUCGGCCAAAUUUACCCACCAUCAAGCAAAGGGCACAAAUUUAUUCUGGUGGCUACCGAUUACUUUACCAAAUGGGUGGAAGCAAUUCCGUUAAGAGCUGUGACAUCGGCUAUCAUGGCCGACUUCGUAAGGGAUCAUAUCGUCUAUCGAUUCGGCAUCUCCCAGACUAUAACGACCGAUCAAGGAACAAUGUUCACAUCGGGGGAAUUUGAAGAAUUUACAACCAAUAUGGGGAUCAAAUUGUUGAACUCUUCUCCGUAUUACGCCCAAGCCAAUGGUCAGGCCGAAUCCUCCAACAAAGGGAUAAUUAAGUUAAUCAAAAGGAAAAUCGAAGAGCAGCCAAAGAAGUGGCAUCUAUGUUUGACUGAGGCCUUAUGGGCGUAUAGGAUGGCUUGUCAUGGGGCCACCAAGUUAUCUCCUUAUCAGUUGGUGUACGGUCACGAUGCAGUACUACCAUGGGAAUCAAGGGCGGGAUCGAGGCGCAUUUCGCUCCAGGACCAGUUAACGGCCGAUGACUACUCAUCGCUCAUGAAGAGGGAACUCGAUGACUUGGCUGGCCAGCGAUUGAGAGCUUUAAUAAGCAUCGAGGAAAACAAGAAGAAAGUAGCCAGGUGGUAUGAUAAGAAGGUUAAAGUCAAACAACUUUCCCCGGGGGACCUGGUUUGGAAGUUGGUAUUGCCGAUUGGGUCGAAAGAUCCUAAAUUCGGAAAAUGGUCUCCUACAUAGGAAGGGCCAUAUAAAAUCGGCAGGUGCGCUCCAGGAAAUGCUUAUAUUUUGGAAACAAUCGAGGGAGAAGAAUUUACUAGGGCUCUGAACGGAAGGUACUUAAAAAGAUACUACCCUAGUAUAUGGGUCGGAGCAUAAGGCAUCGACCGUAAUACAAUCGCACACAACCGAUACAAAACGGUUCAAACAUGUAAUCGUCCAAAUCGGCCGAUGUAUUCAUUCGGUACGGACGGUGGAUUACAUGGCCGACAAGAUACAAGUCGCCCUUAGAACAAAAAUAUACAAUAACUAAUUAUUCUUCUUCUUGCGCUCCCUCUCAGCCCGACCUAAUUCUAUCAUACGGCGGAUGUACUCUUCGUCCAUCUCUGAAGCCUCACCAGCCUUUUUCUUACGUUCUCUCUCAGUCUGACCCAACUCUAUCAUAAGACGGAGGUACUCUUCUUCUAUUUCUUUCAUUGAAGCCUCCGCUUCGACUUGACGGGGGAGAGGAUGGCUCCGGUCCACCGCCGGGCGUGAUGUUCCUGCCACCGCAUCUUCAAGGGCGACUCGCGGAGGAAGCGGAUGACUUCUAUCGGCUGGAGGUCGUCGGCGGCCGUUGCUCUCCAGAAAGUCCAAGACCCGACGGGCCUCCGCAGUGACGUGUUCUUGAAGUUCGUCACGAUGAGCCCUGAUCAGAUCCUUAUCCUCUAACAACAACGGGUCAUCAGAGUGUAUGAGCUCGAUGGCGCGUUCGAGCUCGGGGCUAAGACGCCGUGGCUAAAAGAAAGGAAGAUUAAAAAGGGUCAUCUUCUUCCCAAGAGUUAAAAAGAGAGAGGGGAAUCAAGGCCAGGGUUUCACCUGGUUGACAGAGGAGGAGGAAGUUGACGAAGACAUGACAGGAGGUCGCACCGAUGAGAACAAGUUGAGAAAAUGAGACCGAAGCUAAGCUGGUGCUCUCGAAAGGAAGUGUCUAGGCCGGUACUUAUAGGAAAAAGAGGCGUGGAAAUUUGGUAAGGGUGCGUCCCGUCGGGAAUAAGAAAGGCAAUAAAUAAAGGAGGCGUCGCGAAGGACGGUCAAAGCAGUUAUUAAAGGUUCGUACAAAUAGUCAGCGCCUUUACAGAUUACCCAGAAGGGCAUCGAUGGCCGCAAUCGCCCGGCGCUGGAUCUGAUCGGCAGAGUCCAGGACCCGUUGGUCUUCAUCCGCCGAUCCGGGGACUUCUGAUGCGCUUCGGUGGAGCUUCAAGGCUUCGUGGGCCAAGUGCUGCCUCUCCUGUUUCAAAUCGGCAAUGACAGAAGGGAGUUCUUGGAGCCUUUUCUCUUCGGCGCUGAUGGCCUUGGUCACCCGCUCCAUUUCCUUGGCAAGCUCCGCCCUUCGGCGUUUGAGGCGGUCUAUCUCACCGACGAUUCCUGGGCGGGAGUCCUCCAGAAAAUGGAUACGCUGGUGCACCUCUUGAGCUUGACGUUUGAAUGCGUCUUCCUCUUCACGAGUCUUGGCCAGCUUGGCGCGAUCGGCCAUGUGACGAAGAGCCCGGAAGACUGGGAUCCUCAUGGACUCAAUAAAAGCGGCCGGCGCCAAUGCUUCCUCUGCUUCUUCGGGCACUUGUCCGCUGACGUCGCUGAAGAGCUGGCGAAUCGGUGAGGCAUCUUCUACCAAUCGGCCGAUAUCUCCUUGAAGAAGAGAUCGGAUGUUGGUAAGCUUGGCUCGGACGUCAUCAGGGAUGGAGCUCAGGGUAAUCUGGCGAGAGGCGACUUCUUCAUCAUCAGAGAGGGCAACCGCAAAAGAGAAUAGGCUGUUGUCAGGGGUGUCCUGUUUCUGAAAAAUAAUAAAGAAGAAAGAAUAAAUCGGCUGACGGUGAUAGCAAAUCGGCUAAAUGAAGCUGAAAGAUGUCUUACCACUUUGAAGCGAAUCUCUUCAAGUUGCGUUCGGGAGGCCGUUGUUCCCUGCUCAGGGGCCUGUACCAUAGGUUCAUCGGAAGAAGAAGACUCCACGAUGAUCGGCGCGGUGCUUGGACCAGCUUCCUGAGAGGGGACCAGGGGUUGAGGAGCGCUCGGUGUGCCGAUGACCUGUGUCAAAAGGAUGAAUAAGCAUAUUAUUCAAAUACUAGGGGGAUCGGUGAAAUAGUGUCGUACCUCAACGGAUGGAAGCGGGGGCGCGUCGAUGGCCGAUUGCGUUGCUGCCGAUUGUUGUGUGUACAUGGGAGUACUCUGUGCAGCCUAAGAUAAGAAGGAUUAGUAUCGGAACAACAAUCGGGAAGAUUAAAACAUAAGUUUACCUGAACGGCCUCUAACAACAAUGACGCGGCGGCUGCCCCAGCUUGUGCGACGGCUUGAGUGUCGAUAUCUCUGGUAGCAUGAGGGGGUGGUACGGCCGAAGUCUCUGCCGAUACGAGCAUAGGAGGAUCCGCCGAUUCUAUACGGGCUCGAACUCGACGGCUGGUCUUCUUGGUGACCCUCUUCUGAGUUUGUUUUGAUCGGCCAGCAAUCACGUCCACGGACGGAGCGUCAUAGCCGAUGAGAGGGUAGGAGGUGUAUGGAUGAUGAUCCUCUAUUAGCCGACCACUUCGGCUGUGUGUUGGAGGAGUGCGAUUCUCAGCCUGAAGAAAUAGUAAACAAUUAGUGUUCAGUCGCGUUGAAAAAGGAGUAAAAAAUCGGCUAAGGAAAGUACCUCGGCAUUCGGGUCGAUGUUGGCUGGAUCCAGGAGGUUGCAGUAUGCCGAUGCUGAAUUGCAGAAGAGGAACUGUUUCCAUUCGGCCCACCAAAGUUUGAAUGGCUGGACAGCGAAGGGGGCCACUAUCCAGUUGUUCAGAUCAAUAGUGUUGGAGUUCGGGAUCCGGUCUCGUACCCGACUGUAGUCCAGACCUGUUGUGAGCCCAUCUCUGAACUUGACUCAGCCAGCAAAAUAUACUUGAAUCGGCAGCUGACCCAUGCCGAAUUGACGUGCUGCAACAGAAGGGUUGUAGAACUCGUAUGUGGGGGCAUCUUUUCCCGAGAAGAAGUUGGCUGGCAGGAUUCCUGGCUUGAUUAACUCAUCGGUGAGUUCGUCGUCGAAUCGGCCAGUGGUUGAGUCGAAGCAGGUUGGGAGUUCAAAGAUCGGGUCAUCCCGCUGAUAAGGAAACCAGACGGUGGCGUCUUCAUUAUAGCCGUUGUAGAAGCAUCGGAAGUACUCGGGGAAAGCUGACGCCGCUUCACCAAAAGACAUGCAUCGGCGACGAACAGUAGCAUCUUCUGCCGAUUCAAUGUUAGGGAACAUCAUGUGACCCACAUCCUGCUGAGUGAUCUUGCUCAUAUAAAGAUUCAACCAUAAAUUGAUGAACCACCAGGGGCCACCUGGGUUACCAAUCGGCUCUCCCUUGGAUAGUUUGAUGCCGAUUUGGUGAAGCAUGUGGUACGCCGCCCCCAGCAAGUGUUUCCCAAGGGGAACAGGAGUUCCUCCCGAUAGUGCUUCGGCUAAAGCCUGGAUGUUGGUUGAUGGGCCGGCUGCUCUUCCACAAAAGAAAUGUUUUUCUAACCACAUCAUUAAGAAAGCCGUGUGCUCCCUAUUCUCAACAGACCCAGCUCUUUUAUUGCAUCUGAUGAAUCCUUUCCACCCGCCGAUUCCUCUUGUGUCCAGCCGAUGUGACGUUGCGGCUAGGAGGCGGAAAGGUGUGUCCGGGGAGGAAAUGUCAAGGCCGGUCAACAGAACCACAUCGGCCAGUGUUGGGGUCAUAGGUCCAUGCCCAAAUAAGAAAGCAUUGAGGGCAUCAGACCAAAAGUAAGAAGCCGCUAUUACCAACGGUUCAUUUCUUUCCAUCUGGGAUAAAGACAGGUUGAUACACUGGCCGAUUUUGAGCUCAUCCCAUGACACCCUCUUUGGCUCGGCUAUCCGUUGGUACCAUUCCCUCCAACCUGGGGUUUCAUUCAGCCAAGACCUAAAGGUGCCCAACCAGUGAUCCAGGUCCAUGGUGGAUUGUUAGAAGGGCAUUCUGUGGGUUUCUAAAUUGAUGAGCUCUAUUGGAUCUGGGUUCCCCAUAGGUCCGAGACAAACAAGGUCGGGAUUUCCCGUGAGAUGGAUAUUAAUGCGAUGCCUAACCGCCUAAAAAAGGAAAGGGGGGUGUAAAAGGGUAAGAAACAGAUCUAAAGUAAAUGCAUUGCCGAUAGAAGAAGGAUUCGGUAAUAACCUCUGGGAUGAAGUUCCGUGUAGUCGGCGUGACCGCCGGUGCAGCCGCGGAGGAUGAGGCCGCGAUGGGGAUCGCCAAUGGGAUCUCCGAUGAAGCUCCUUCGUCUGACGACGGAGCAGCUGCUGUCGCUACUACCGCCGGAGGUGCUAUUUCCGAAGCAUCGCGCGCUGGAGAGCUUCCCGAAGGGGUCGCCAUUGGAGGGGAAGAGAAGAAGUAACAGGAGGAUGGCGCUAGGAAGCUUCGGCGACAAGGGAAAGGUGCUGAGGGAAGAAGAGGGCGCGCGCGCUGAGGAAGAAAGACGUGAGCUUGAAAAAGGGGUGCGGGGUGAACCGCUAUUUAAAGGGUGCCUGAAGAGGGGUAAAAAUGGAAUUUUUACCGCACCGGCGUUUCGAGUUUUUCGGGAGUAGUGGUUGUCGUGGACGCCCGUUUCGAAAAGAUUGCAAUCAUCAGCUGGAAGACCGCGAAACGGAAGGAUAUUUUCAUUGCGGCUGUUUCGGAGGAGAAGUUGAAAAGAAUUUCGAAGUAAAAGACUAUGUUUUACUCCGAAACUGGGGGGCAUGUGUUGACGCCAGAUUUCGUCACUAGUAAAAUCGGCGCCAAGAAGAGACGGAAUGGGCAAAGUGCAGUUGGGAAUCGGCCGAAUGGUGCUACAGUACAAGAUCGGCCGAUGACUUCUGCCUCGCUUCGGAUCGAACGCGCCGGGUUCCCAAUCGGUUGCCUUUUGCCGAUAAGGAAUCGGCCGAUUAGGGGGUUGGGUUAAUUGGGCCUGUAUGGGCUUGGAAAGGAAUAGAAGGAUAAGGGGGAGAUCAGCCCAUGAAGCGUAUAAUAACCAACCUAGCACGAAUCGUGCUUGUAAAUAUUCGUUUUCUAUUUGAAUUAGGGAUAGAAUUCUAGUCAGUUAAGGAGUCAUCUGUACGGGGCUAUAAAUAGCUACCUUUGUAAAUCUGUAAUCAUCAACAAAUCAAUACAACCAACUACUUUUUCCUCGUACUUACUUUCAAGCAGGCGACUUCGCCAAAUACUUUCUCUUUUCACGAGUUCGUACGGGUUGGCAGGGCUGCAUCAACUUGAUCUCCGGCCGAUCUUGUAAGUUCCGUUUACCGAGUAAAUUCUAAGCUUUAACUUCGGGCGCAUCGCUGUUGUUUCGUUUAGAUUUAUUCACUAGGUAUCGAUAUUUACUAGAAUUAUAGGUUUUAACUGUUUUUCUAGUUUUAUCACCAGUUAUCCAGCUAGGAAUCGGUAGUCUCGGCUUUCUUUACAUUCAGCUAUUAAAUUCAUCUAUUUCAUAUAUUGCCGAUUAGAUCUAUUCCUAGUGCUGUUACCAUAGCAUUGUGUCGAUUACUCUAGUAGUUUUCUGUCUACAAGGCUACAGUGAUCGGCUACCUUAUAGCCGAUUUCUUUAUUACGGCAAAUCGGCCGAUUCGCUGAUAAGCUCUCUCGAGAUCGGAAACUUAGCCGAUCGCGACUUUCGGAUCUGACACGUAUUCUACCUUGCCAAUCAACAGGUCAGAUUGGCUGGCACGCCGCGCGAACCGCACCAGGGCAAUCACCCGAACAGGAGCUAAGCAGAUUCUCCCGAGUCGUGUGUCAGACGCUGGGGAUUCGGUUGACCGAUUUCUAGCGCCAACACCCUGUUUGGAAUAAAGGAAUUGAAAAGAGAGGAACAGACAAAUUGAGUGAGCGGAGACCACGGAUCACAUGGGUGAGCUAUAGCUUUCCCUUUUUAUUUUGGUGCGUGAUAAAAUCAUCUGGUAACAGGACUGCACUAUCGGUCGGAUGAGUUGGUUGAUGAGAUCAGCAAGACUUACAUGUUGACAACCUGGUUUAAGCCCUGUUUGGAAUGAAGGAAUUGAAAAGAGAGGAACGGAGAAAAACACAAGAAAGGAAUAUGAACAUCGUGGACAAAAAUGGAAAAAUGGAGGAAUAGAUAGAAGGAGGUAUUUGUAACACGGAAACCAUACCAUAUGAAUCACAAAAUAUUAAAAUAAUAAAACACUUUUAGUACAUAGUUGUUGAUUAAAUAAUAGCACAUAAUCAUUAAUUAAGAAAGCAUUGUAUAAACCAAAGUGAAUCUGACGUAUAAGGCCGGUCCAUGGACUCAUUCCAUCCAUUAACACCGACAUCAUCAAUCCAUCCUUAUCCAGCCAUGUGCGAACAGCCACAAAUCCUCCACGUCACGGCCAUUUGCGUUGUUUCCUGUUUCCUCUCGUUCCCAGGUCUCGCGCUCGGCGACGGCGAGUCAGAGAUGGCUGUGUUCAGAUGGGAACGGGACGAGCGCCGGCAGGAAUCGGCAGAGGGACGAGCGACGGCAGCAGGCAGUCUUCUGCCGGUGGCGACGAUGGGACCAAAUCUGGCGUUCUACUGGCGAGCCUUCUUCAUUAAUCCACCAUUUCUCUCUCCUAUUCUCCUCCCUAAUCCGAUUUGAAUCACGAGAAAAAGCUUCCCCAUCGUCUCUUUGCCUCGGGCUUCCACGAAUCCUUUAGCUCAGACUGGAUGUUUUAUUUCAUCCGGUUUAUCGAGGGGAACUAUCCUUUCCGGAGAAAUCGGCAGAAGCAUUCCUCCAUUCCAAACGCCGAGUGACGUAAGCAAAACACAGGAAUAACACAGGAAUAGGUUUCCUUUGAAAUUCCUGUGAAAAUACUGCGUUCCAGACGGGGCCUAUCAGCAUGCUGUUAGCUCCUCUUUUAUUUUCGAUGCAUCUGUUCAAGGUCUGAAGUUUGAACGUGGAAAUAUGGCCUCAGUUAUUGGUUACCAAACUCGAGCCUCGUAUUUCUUCCAUUCUGGUCUCCUACUUUCUUCUUCGACAUUACGGAGGGAGAGUUUUAGUUCAAAAAAAAAUGCAUCCGUUCCACUGGUUUCCAAACAAGCGACUUCGACUUCUCUAGGUCCUUGGUCUUUCCAAAGUACAGUAAUAUCUUACAACUGACGUCACGUCCAACGGCGCUCUUAGAGGAGUUUUUAAGGUCCAUUUUAAACCAUUUUUUUUUGGGGUUCACACAUCGGUAUUGCUAACGGAUGGGAAGAUUGGCGGUGGGAUCACUCGUGCUGCUUUUUUUUGACGCACAUGCUAUUGAUUACCAGCUUUGUGUCCGAUUCACAUCGGUGCAGGCCGACUAUCUCCAAUCCUCUGAAUAAGACCGAGCAAAUCUGUGCUAGAUUAUAUACCAUCAGAUGCACAGAAAAUAUUUGAAGAAAACGUGAAAAAUUCGAACAUACUUCCAGUACCAGGUGUAUCAGGUUUCUACUGGCUGGGACCUGAUCAUGACUCGUUUACAGUAGUCAACGGUGAACCAAACAAGGCCUAAGAGAAAUACGGAAUCAGAUACGAGAUCUAACGGAGGUUGCGUACAGUUCAAACCAAACCCUAACUUUGUUUUCGUUUGACAAUGAGUAGGAUCAGUAGACAUGCAUCACGCAUGACGUUAAUGAAUCUUCUGCCGUUGACUGUACCGAAAUUUACAUCUCUACCAGCAAUUUCUAAAGUCCACCGUCUCUUGUUCUUCAAGAAAGAAAGAAAGAAACGAUUCUUUUCUUUGUGCACGACACAGCGGAAUAAAGUAAAGCGGCCCAACGGGCAUCCUACGGCCCAGGUGGCCACGAGGAAUCGGUCAAAGCUUUCUUGGGCCAAAGGAAAGUUUAGAUUCUAGGAGCUUCCAGACGCCGUCUCAGCCCUAUAAGGAGGAUGUCUAUCAACAGGCCUCUCCAAACCACAUAACCCCCUGUUUCCCCGAUCUCCUCCACUCCUCCAUUUCCAAGGAAGAAAGAACCGAGGAAGCAACCAUGGCGGUGGCGAUCGAGCUCACGAAGGAGUACGGUUACGUCGUCCUGGUGCUGGUGGCCUACGCCUUCCUCAACUUCUGGAUGAGCUUCCAGGUGGGCAAGGCCCGCAAAAAGUAAGCCCCGCGAAAUCGAAUCGGUCGUCGCCAUGGUCGCCCGCCCUUAUUCGUCUCCGGAGAUCUCAUGGGUUUCGGCGAUUCCUCUUUAGGUACAAGGUAUUCUACCCCACCAUGUACGCCGUCGAGUCGGAGAACAAGGACGCCAAGCUCUUCAACUGCGUGCAGGUGCGCCCAAGAUUCUGCCGUCCUCUACCCGUCUGAUUAAUUGCUCUUGUGCGGGGUUGAUUUUUUGGGACGAAGAGGAGUGCCCUCUAAAUUCCUUUCGGUUCGUGUGUCCUUGUGAGUGCAGAGGGGGCACCAGAACUCGCUGGAGAUGAUGCCCAUGUUCUUCGUCAUGCUGCUGCUCGGCGGCCUGCAGCACCCGACCAUCGCCGCUGGGCUGGGCGUCCUCUACACGGUCGCGAGGUUCUUCUACUUCAAGGGAUACGCCACCGGUGUCCCGGACAACCGUCUCAAGAUUGGGUAAGUUUGCAUCCGUAGAAGCCGAUGCAGAAGAUGCUGAUGAAAUUAUGACGACGCACGAAAUUUUUGUGCACUUGCAGAAAACAUAAAUAAUAUAUAGGGAAGAAUUAAUAGAGGUUAAUUGGUUUCUGUGUUUUGGUUUGUUAGGAAAUAUCAGUCUCCAUGUAGCCUAAGAUACUAAGUAUACUCGUAUAAAUGAUCCCCACUAAUAACUGCAAUAAAUUCUACAAAUCUUUUUUAAAACUGAGCCACGUUAUAACAAAAUAUAUUGUCUACUUCAUAUAUGUAUGUGGUUCGAAGCCUCUGCUAUAUUCUAUGAAUACCUGAAUACUGGUAGUAUGUAGGUACCAAUGUUCGGUAGUCAGUAUAGAAUAGUCCACUUUAAAUGCCAGAAAUUGGUUUGUUGGUGCUCAGCAACGUGGAGUGGAGUAGGUGUCAAGUACUCAAGUAACUCUUGUCGUGCCCAUUUUUUUUUCUGGGAGUUUUAGAUGAGCCUUUGUGCUGAGCUCUGCACCACCGAGUUGUACUCAAGGCCCUAGCUACUUGUCUGGACAAGUUUUCAAACCUCUCUGCGUUCAGUGUUCACGUAAGCCAUUGCUGUGGACUAAGAACUUGGCUAGUUGGUGAAUUGCAAUUUACAUUGCAUGGGUCAUUGCUGAUUUGCUACGGGUUUAACUGCUGAUAAGCAGGGUCAGUAGGACAGCAGGCAUGGCAAAUUGUAGUCCUAUAACAAGGUUUGUCUGACCCUAAUCACUUCAGUUUACAACAUAAUACUCUGAAGUGAGUACCAAAAGGAUUGCGCGACUGAUGGGGUAGUGGAAGAACGAAGUGUAUGCAGCAACUUUCGGAGAAGUCUACAAGUUGUGGGCAGAGCUUUUUGGGAGUUCAGGCCGAUGCAUGAACCAAAGGGAAGGGAGCAGUUUGGCCCCGGCCAUGGCCACAACUGCCUCCACCAAUGCACUGCAGCACCAAACAAACCCUUUCAAGUUUCAUCUGAAAGUUAUUGCAGGCAAUUCUGACUGAUAAUAUACCUUUGGUUGGCUCUCAGCUAAUGGCGUGGAGUAGUCAUAGCCUAUAAGCGUUCGUGGAAGAUAUUGUGCAUUUCUUUUAGUUGUCCAUUGUGCUUUUGUUCCUUUUCAGCAUUCUUAGUAUUAUUCUGACCAUUUGUAGCUAUGGCAACAGCUACCUGCUACACAACUGUGCCCAAAAUUUCCAAUGUUCACAUUAAGCAACUGUCGUAGGCAAAGAUCUCUGUCGGUAGGUAUGGUUUGUUCACAUUGUUUAUGUCUUAAGGUCAUUGCUGGGUUGUUUUGGUGUAUAAUUUGACCAUUUAUAACUGAAGCACUACCAAUUUUCUACCCAAUCUUUUCCAAGUCUACACUCUCCUAAGUUAUUAGCAAAGACAAAGACCUUGAUUGUAAGGUUUGUUCACAAUUCGUAGGUUAUAGGCCAUCCCCAAUUUGUUGGGAAGAGUCAACCAUUGAUUGUUAGGCAUUGCAAAUUCUCCUACCUUCCUUUCUAAGGUAACAAUCCAGAAGCCUUGAAACCGGCAGCAUGAAGGAUCACUUUAACGAGAUAAUCUGAACUUGUAGUGAUGCAUCUGUUUUAGAAUAAAUCUCAAAUUGUUGCAAGUAACCCAUGCCAACUUCUAAUAAUAAUGGUUAAACUGUGUUUCUUGCGGUGUGUGCUGUAGGGGGCUCAACUUCCUGGCUGUGUUUGGGCUGAUCAUCUGCACGGCAUCUUUCGGCAUCAACCUGGUCAUCCGGGAGACACUCUGAAGUUCAGGUUCACACGUGAUCUGCAGACUGAAUUAACGGGACAACUUACUUCUUGCGGUCUCACUUAGGCCUUUGUAGUCUGAUGCUCGCAUCGUUCUUUUCGUGUUGAUAAACAAAGUAGCGGACGUGUGCGUGUGCCUGUAUUUCACUUUUGGUAGUGCUGGAAUAAAGAGAUGGAGAAGAUUGCUUGAAGCAUGAAUCUUACAGUCCUUGCUGCCUGUUGUAGUUGUUAUUCUUUGCUUUCGCUGUCUGUCGAUGGCUUGUGUCUCACCUUUUUUAUGUAAUUUUUUAUGCGAUGUAAAAUCGGCUGAUAGCUCUGCAAUAUCUGGGUUUGUCGAUUAUAUAGGAGCACUGGCUGGUAACACUUCUACAUUACCUGUAGUACUCCCUAUUUAACUCCAGCCCUGAGAUCAACCUUGUGCUUGUCCUUGAAUGCUUGCGCCCGUGAUCAAUUCCAAUACUCCUACCACAAGAACAUUACCAACGGCUUCCAAACAAGCGACUUGGACGUCAAUUUUAAAAAAUCCUGUUGGAUUCUUAAUACUCUAGGGUCAGUGGACAGGCAUCAUCCAUGUCAUUGUACGAAGUCAAUGAAUUUCUCUCGUUGACCUCACCAAAUCUUGCAUCUCUCCCAGCAAUUUCUUCUUCAAGAUAAAUUUUACUCGAGCUGGACGUUCAAUUCCCCUCCCUCUCAGCUUAUCAAUUCCUCACGGCCUCUUACCCGUCGAACGGACGCGGAGGAAGCAGCUAGCCAUGGCGGUGUCGAUCGAGCUGCCCAAGGAGUACGGCUACGUGGUGCUGGUCCUCGUGGCCUACGCCUUCCUCAACCUGUGGAUGAGCCUCCAGGUCGGCAAGGCCCGCAGGAAGUACAAGGUGUCCUACCCCACCCUGUACGCCGUCGAGUCGGAGAACAGGGACGCCAAGCUCUUCAACUGCGUGCAGGUACGCGCGACUCCGCCGGCAUAUCCGAUCCCCAUCGCGUCGUCUCAAGCUGCUAAUCCUUAGCUUGCGCGCUCUGCGAUCGAGAGCAGAGAGGGCACCAGAACUCGCUGGAGGUGAUGCCGCUCUUCUUCGCCAUGCUGCUGCUGGGCGGCCUGCGCCACCCGGCCGCCGGCGCCGGGCUGGGCGCCCUCUACACGGUCGCCAGGUUCUUCUACUUCAAGGGGUACGCCGCGGGUGCCCCGCGGAACCGCAUGAGCGGGUACGUAAUUACGUUGCGUCGUGAGAUUUAACAUCGGUUGGAUUGUUUCGUGAAGCCGUAACGCGGCGCCACACGCAUUCGGUGUAUGCUGCAGGGUGCGGUUGAGCAUGGUGGCGGGGGCUGGGCUGAUCCUCUGCACGGCGUCGUUCGGCAUCAGCCUGGUCGUCAGGGAGACGCUCUGAAGUCUGAACUCUCAAUCUCCAAGUGACUCGUGCUUGGAACCCUGUAGUGCUGUCUGGAUGAAGAAAGCUUGAAGCAUGGGAUUAUACAGUUCCUGCUGCAAGUUUUUUUUCCUUCUUUUGGACUGAAGUUCCUGCUGCUAGUUACGGAGUACUCUGUUUGUACAACAUCAGUGUUAAAAGAAAGUGAAACCUGUCUUCAUCCGUUCUGCCACACAAGAAUACGUGAUUCUAGCUGUAAAUCCGCGGAAAUUUCAACGUUGUAAAGCCCCCAAAACAAUGAUCAUUGUAUACCUCGUCAUACAGAAAUGGCGACAAAGAAAUCCUAGUCAACAGCCAGUUGCACCGAUGUUGUUUCCCUAAUAAUCCGUAUAAUAAUAACGGUACAAAUAGAACAUGUUUGCGUCCCUCGUCUGCACCUCAGCAGAGCGAACGAUGCUGUCAAUUUUUUUCCUAGGUUCCUGGCACCCUAUUAUUUCACGAGUCCUCUACCAACUAGUGCAUCCCGUGAAAUAUGUUACAAAGCACAGACAUCAAAGAUCCGAGCUGCCGGGUGUUCUCACUGGUUUCAGGCAGCUGUGAACCUCCUCCGAGCCGGUGUUGACCUGCUCACAACAUGCUGGCGCACGACUAGACGUCAUCAUCCUCGUCUUCCUUGGAAGUUUCUAGUCUUGGCAGUGAGACCAUCCUCCAGAUCACCAAAGCCUCUAUUUCUGCUUGCUGCGUGCUUGCGGAAACCUUUGUAGCGUGAGGCAUCGCCAUCAUUGUCACUGUCCUGAUCACUAUAGUCAAAACUUCUACUCUUGCCGGCACCUCUAGUGUUCCUCAGUCCCAACUGGCUAUUCUGGGUAUCAUCCUCAGGGCGGUCCAGGUUGCACUUCUUGCAGACCCUGUUGCGUCCAAAGUUAAGAAAGUCGCAUCUGCAAAGGGAGACAAUGGCUCAUUAGCAUGUCAAGAGUUUAGAACAGUCACAAACAGGAUUAGGUUAGCACGUACGAGGGGCACUCCCACUCUCCAGGAUUGAGCUGCCUCUUCGGACGAGGUUCUUCACAUUUAAAGCAUAUCUUAUUGCGAGAGAAGUUCAUAAAGUGACACCUAGAAAAGCACACAGAGCAAGGCAAUUCAAACAGUGCUAGAGUAGCAAAAGAAUAAAAAGCUAUAGUGCAAGGUUAGAGGAUUACUGUGUACAGAUCCAGUCACCCUUUUUCAUUUCAGCUGUGGCUGCUUCUACCUUCUUCGGUCCAUCUGCCUUGCAUUCCAGGCAGCGCCGAUUCCGAGCAAAAUUUAAGAAGUUGCAACUGCCAAAAUAAGAGUUUUUAGAACAUAAUACAUUUAGCAAAUGUUCUGUUAUCAACAGGCAAAAAAUAAAAAGCUACCAACCACUUCCACAUGCAGAUGAAAGAAUGAAAGAACAAAACAAUGAAGUGAAAAUUACAAGAGCCCACAAAUUUGCAUAUUGCAAAGUAACUUAGGUUAGCAAUUAGCAUAUCAUGAUUAUUUAGCAUUCCAAUAAAAAAAUUGCACCCUGCAAGCCAAGGGGUGUACUCCCUCAGCCAUCAAAUAAAACAAAUACCAUAAGUAUGCAUAUUGGAACAUAGAGGAACCAACAGAAAUGCUUCAGGAUUGAAAUUACAAAAAUUAUAUGAUAUGACACAGAAAUUACUAAAAUCAAUGUCAGUGUACAUUUUAAUUUCACGAAGUCAAACACAGAUAUAUGUAUGUUGGAACAUACAGGACCCAACAGAAAGUUCAAUAAGGAUGCUUAAGAAACUGGAAUUUAUGUAGAAAGUUCGGUAGAAUAUCUCAGAAUGCUACACCGGAAUGCUUCAGGAUUGAAAUUACUAAAAUUCUAUGAGAUGACACAGAAAUUACUAAAAUCAAUAUGUAAGCGUACAUUUUAAUUUCACACAUAGCAUGCAUAUUGGAACAUAAAGGAACUAACAGCAAGUUCAAUAAGAAUGCUAAAGAAACAGGGUGUCACAAAAUGAACAGAAGAACUUAUGCACGGAAGAGAAUAAUGCAUUGACCAUGGCCAUUAGAAAGAAAUGCCUUACAGAGUUAUGGAUACCAAUAGUCUAAAGCAUGGCAAGUCAUGAAUAAGCAUAGCAACCACUUCCAUGGAAGAUGGAACUACUACGUUUAAUGCAUGUUGAUGGUGUUCCAAUAGAAAUUAGCAAUCAAUAACCAACAGAAGAAAUGAUGGCUAUGAACAUGGCCUUCUGUAGAAUGUUGUGAAGUAAAAUGCCAUGCUCUUCUAACUGUUGCAUGCAUAUACUCCCUCCAUCCCCAAAACAAGUCAUUCUGCGAUUCAAAAUUUGUCCCAAAAGCCAAGUCAUUAUACCCAAUUUAGCAUGUGUGCAUGUGCAUGUGGGCAUGCAACAGUCAAUUAGCACCAUAUAUGGCUAAUAAAUAGGGGCAAUCAAGGUCAUUUUACCUCCUUGUUAAUCUGUCCUAAAACUCCUAGGAUGACUUGUUUUUUGGGACGGAGGGAGUAUAGCAUAAUCGCAGCUCAAUAGAGUAUACUUCAUCCAGGAAUAACUCAUAACUCAUGCUAACAAUGGUCGCUAGCUUAUACCUUCUACAGGUUGACAGAAAUAACAGACAACAUAGAACUAAAAAAACUAACCCUUGAUCCCUGCCCUCACAUGAACAUGUCAUUAAAGAUUCAAUUUGCGUAGCAUAAAGAACUUACUUCGUGCACAGCCAAUCACCCAUCUUCAUUUCAGUUGGAGUUGUUUCUCUCCCCCUCUCAACUGAGCCCCGAGCCAUGGCUUUGCUCUUGUCGGAUGACUGCUGCUUACUAGAGGUUUGAAAUACCGGUUUAGGAUGAGAUGGAUCAAUUGUUGUGUCACUAAGAAUAAUAAGCUCGGAGAGAAGCUUUCUUGCAGAUUCUUGCACGCUUUCAUUAACUGAGUUCUCUCCUGAAAGGCUCUUUGUAUCUAUUGCAUAAUCUAGAAGUAUGCGCAUAACAUCAGUGGUCCUAACUUCAUUCUCUGCCUUUGGAGUGAGAUAAGCUCUAUCACAAGAUUUUUGUAAUUUGCAAUCUUUGCAUGCCUGGUAUUAGGGCACAAAACAAUGAUAGUGUUAUUGUGUAGUCAAAUUGAAAACUGAAGUGGGAAAUAUGAUGGGAAAACAACAAUAAAUCAUCACAUGAGGAGACAAUGAUUAGAAAGGACAGCUAAGCUUACAUCUUUUUCUUCAACAUUCAGAAACUCUCUCAGCCUUUUUGCAGAAUUGACAGGCUUUCUAUUGGUAUUAGGACAGCCGCACUUGACAAUAGCUUGCAUAUCCUGCUUGGGAAGGGAACUGCAACGUCGUUCAAAUGAAAAUCCAGUUUAGCCAGAAAAUAUAGAAUGCUUGUGGCAUGGUCAUAGAUGUGAACAGACUGAAGACUCGGUUAAUAACCGAAUCACUGAUAACAACCAUGACCCAAAUGUUGAUAUUUUAACUAGCAUCAUGGUUUCUGCCCGUACCAUUUAAUUCUGCUAAUAAAAAAUUGGCAGGUAAGAAGGGGGUUCAUAAUUCAAGACUAUCAUAAUCAGCAAGUGAUUUACCAAACAUGCUCACAUAUAGAGCAGAGAUGUAGUAGAAACUCUUCAGCCGACUAACUAAAAUGCAGAAAGUCUAACAAUGGAUGGCAUGCAAGUGAAGACUUAUUGGCUAUUGCUGUUUGAAUCCUAAUUCAGGACGACACCAAAGCCCAAAUAAGCAAUUACUGCUGCAUUCCCACCAACUCACCAGUACAACCAUUUGCAUAGCCUCCAAUAUAUCGAAUUCAAAGAUAUAUGGAUCAUUGGAUCCUAAAUAACGUGGAAACCUACUAUGCAGAGUGCGCGAAAGUGCGCGAAAGAAAGAAAAUUAAUUCCUGCAUAGAUGCAAAGCACAAAAGAAUCGCGAGGUUUCCUCCACCUUAGGAGAUCAUAGCGAUCGCGCGCGAAUUUCAGGCACGCGUUCUUCACCCUGUUCAGGUCCCUGAAAGGGUAAGUGUCUUUCGAGGCCACCGCGCUAUCAGCCGCAAUCACCACCCCGUUAUCAGCAGCAGCCGCUGCCGCGUUAUCAGACGCAGCCGCCUCCCCAUCUCCGGCGGCGCCCUCGCCAGCGCUCACGCCGGAUGCGGGAAGAACUUGCUCGAAGUACCCCUUCGCCCGCAGCUUGUCGAGGAACUCGCCCCACUCCGGCCAUGGGUGGCCGCUGGAUACAGCCGCCACGGCGGGGUCAGCGGCGACAUCGACGGCCGCGGGGGCGGCGGAGCAGAAGCGGAGGGAGAGGAGCGGCCCCGGGUGGUGGCGGGAAGCGGUGGGGAAGAUGGAGGUAGAAGCGAGGCGGCAGGAGCGGAGGAAGGUGGAGCUUAGGGUGAGGUUUAGGAGCUUGGAGGAGGAGGCGGCCAUGGCGGACGGGUAGCGGCGGCCGAGGAGAUCAGGCGGGCAUGGAGGCUGGCUGGCUGGCUGGGCCGCUGGGGGCGCGGAGGGGAGAGGGGGAUCGAUGGUGGAUUAGGGUUUAAGGGUUUAGUCGUUAAGGACCCUUUUUCGGCCUCUUCUUAGUGUGAAAAAUAAAACUUGUUAUAAGAUUGAUUUACUAAAUUUGUAAGAAGUGGUUGGAAGUUGGAGAAGUUUUUUCUGUUGACCCGCAGAACUUUAGAUCCAUAUUACUGUAGUAUUAGCAAUAGCAGGAUCUCCAAAUAGAGAAAAAAUUACAUGUAAUGCGAUGAGUUCUUUAUUAUUUUGACACUAUGCUAUUGCUUUGCGUGAGCUUUGCAUUUCUUAGAUGCAACUGUGUUUGACUUGUCAUUUUGUAGAAACAUAUAUGCCUUCAUUUUUAUUUUUAGAUGAUCUUAAAUUUAAAAUAAAAACUCCUGAAAAAGUGUUCGUUUCACGAACUUUUAGUUAUUAGUAGUUAUGCGUGCAUGUACAUGAGCACGCAAUUGUGUUUCACAAAAGAAAACUAACUAAGGAAAUAUAUGGAUGCAUAAAAUUGCCACAGGUUUUUUUUUAUAAGCACUGGAGCAGACAAUUUUAUACGCCUUUUCAAAUUUCAUAAUGAUGUGAGAAAAAUCGCAUGAAACCGGCGUGCUAUUUAAGCCCACCAAGGAGUUGCCUGACCCGUUGUGCACGCGGAGGAGCCACGUCUCUCGCCGAAGACCGAACCCAACGCGCAAAGCGCCCCCAGCAACACCCUGGGGCCCGCACGUCAGUGAGCCAGCCGCAACCCCACGCGAACACCAACGCACGGCGGCGCCCACCGGCCAGACGCGGCCAGAGGCGACAGAAGCCACGGAUUCCGGCCGAGCCAACCAAUCCGCCCGGCCGCCCCCAACCUAACCCAAUCGGCCCCCUCUCCCCCGUCCCGUCCCAGCCGUCUCCAUCCCACCACCUCCCCCGCCCCGUCCGUCCGCGUCCGGCCGCGCCGCGCCGUGCGCGACCCAAUCCACCACGCCACUUCCGCCCCCCCCCGUCCCGUCUCGUUCUCGUCGCACCUCGCCUCGCCCGCCCGCGCUCGAUCCGUGCGCGCCAUGGCCUCGGGCCAACAGGCCCUCCCGGUCCCUGCCCCCGUCCCGCCCAACCCUAACCCGACCGCACCAGCCGACCUGACCCCGCCCGCGGCCUCCGCCGGGGCGCGCAAGCUCCCCAUCAAGCGCCGCUCCCCGCGGCCGUCCUCCUCGCCCCCCUCCUCCUCCUCCCCAGCCUCCUCCGACCCGCUCCGCGCCCCCACGGCCGGCGGCGGCGGCGGAUCCGACCAGCAGCAGCCGCCCUUCAAGUUCCAGCGCAUCUGGUCCGAGUCCGACGAGCUCCGCUUCCUGCAGGGCCUCCUCGGCUGCGGCGCGCAGGGCCUCGUCUUCCCGCGCGACCUCAACGUCUUCUACGACCGCUUCUCCGAGUCCAUGCCCCAGCCCUACACCCGCGCCCAGCUCUCCGAGAAGCUCCGCCGCCUCAAGAACAAGUACCGCAGCGUCUCCGCCCGCGUCGCCGGGGGGCUCGACCCGGCCCGCCUCGCGCCGCACGACCGCGACGUGCUCCACCUCUGCUCCAGGCUGUGGGACCCCGCCAACGCCGCCACCUCGCCCUUCGCGUCCGGCGCGGGGUCGUCCGGGAACAAGCGCCGCCGCGCCAACCCGCGGGGCACGCCGCUCCCGCCCCCGGAUGCGUCCGGGGAUUGCAACUCCCAUGACUACAAUGGGAUUAGUUCCUCUGCCCCGGGCUUGUUUCCGGAAGUUUCCAAUGGCGAGGAUAUGUUCUACCUUGAGCAGGAAAGCGGGCACCUGGGAGACCACGAAGGUGCUGCUCUUGUAGCCGACAGCAGAUUUGGUGUUAUUGUGCAGCAGCCUGAGGCCGCGGCUGCUCUCCCAAAUGGAAUUGGCAAUGAGAUGAACGGAGACCAAAAAAUGGUGGUGCCAUGUAGCAACGAGCAUCGCAUGGCAAAUGCUGUGCUGGAUGUGUUUGAGGCGUGCCUGAGGGAGGCAAAGUCUAACGGGAUUAUCAAUGGUGGCAACGCGGAUGGGAGUGCUGAGGAAAGCGAGCUUGCAAAGCGGUGGAGAGUGCAGAGGAUGGAUGAGCUUGAUGUCUUAAGCCAGAGGCUGAGGUUGCUCGUUGAGGAUGCUGCAGCGGCUGGGCACUAAAGCAGAGAUUUUGGUGGUUUUGGUGAUGUGAUUCCACCCUUUGCCCCAUUUGUAUAGAAGCUAGGUUAUUGUGCUAUGCUUUGUAAUGUUUUCCUCAGCUUGACCCGUGCCUUUAGAAAGUCUACUAUAUUUGGCUAUGUACACCGCUAUGGAUAUUAUUGUUGAGUUUAAUAAUUUGAGCAGCAUAAUAAUCUAUGAUUUUAGCAUUGUUCUUCAUCUGGCUUCCUGCUGUUGAUAUAAAUUAUGGUUCUGUUCAUGUAGCUUCAGGCUUUUGCAUUCCCUUCUUCCAAUUAGAAGCUCUUGUAAUUCGUAAGCAGUGAAAGAAUAAUAUUAUGUUUCCUUGUCAACAACUUUUGCUCUGAAUGAUUUUUCCAACCAUCUCAAUCCUUCUGUUGUGACUUAAUUUUAACAUCUGCAUUCAGCCUGCUACGCGGAGUAUGUAUUGUGGAGGAAUAUUGUUAUGGUACAAGACUAAGUACAAGGAAUGCUGCACCUUGUCAAAAUAUGCUGCUGUUACUAGAAAUACAUACCCUUCCUCAGUACAAAACAUGUGAGCGCAUGAAAAUAGAGCAAGAGUGGUUAUUAAAGUUAUGUAUUUUCAUUCAGUUCACACUUGUUAUAUGGUCUUGCUUUAGACUUCAGCACUGAUACUAUGAAAUAAUGCUGUGGUUAAUGUCUAUGUUUACCGUGUCUUUUCAGUUCUUGGAUUUUAAUACAACAUGUUGCUACAAUAUUUUUUGGUAUAUUGUGUUCUUUUUCUUCUGCUUUCGUGUGCUAGUGAAAGAGAGCAGUAGCAAUAACAACAGCAUAGCGUAGUCCAAAUCAAUGUUAGUGCAUUUGCUGGAUGGCAUACUGUGAUCCAAUUUGAAGUACAUCUGUACAUGGAACAUAGAAGUUGGCAGGCCAUACUUCAAUAGUGAUUGCUCCUCAGAUAUUGAUAUCUUCUUUUGUGUUCUGAGCUUACUAUUUUAUUACCAUCAUCAUAAAUAACUUAUUUGCAGAAAUGUCUUUUGUCAGUAAAGCAUUGUCUUGCCAACAGUACAUGGUGGCAAUUUUUUAUAUUUAAUUGCUACAAUAUAUCUUGUUGUUUGGUGAUGUGAUGCUGGUUGUGUUACUUGCAGUUCCACACCGGUGAUGAGGCGAGGCACUUGUCCUGGUGUACAUUAAAGAAUCAGAAUAUUAGAUUUCUUUUUGAGAAUGUACCGUGCACGUAUCUUAUUAAGGACACACUAAACCUCCAUAGUCCAUAAUGUUUGUCAUCCACAACAUACUCCAAGGACAACUCCACUGGAUCUGACCUAAGGUUUGUUGUGCCACCGCGGCAUUUGGCAGCAAGAAGGUGGCUUCAAUGAAGUUCUGUUUGGCCCAACUUUCUACCUUAAAGUUGGAACAGUGUGGUGCAACCACAGCUCUUGCCUCUUGGCAGCAAGACGGUGGCGUCAACAAAGUCCUAUUUGACCCAACUUCUUGUCUCCAUGCUUCAGGGUGGAACAUCAACGAUCCACAUACCUACCAGGCUACCACCUUUAAAUAUGAGAGAGAGGUGAUGUGCCAGAACCCCAGUCCAAUUUCUAUCCAACGCCUGAAUUCGUUCAACUUAUCAUUGCAAAUUGCCUGUAACAUGUACUGUUUUCAAGCAUCUGGUUUUGAAGUUUGAACUGCUGUAUGAUUUAGUUAGAUUAACAGAAAUCCUCAACCAGCAGUUGCCUGAAACCUUUCUGAUAAUUCAAUUUGUCCUGCAGUUGAUGUGUUUUGCCUUAUGAUCAGUGCUUGUUGCUGUGGGGCACUUUUUUUCUGCAUCCGUCAGUUGGGAGAGUGGUAACUGAAAGGUAAUUUGUUUUAAGUUACCUGAUGAGGAUUGGAGAGUCACCCCCUUAUAUAGACUCUUAAGUUGCAGGUGUGAAAUUUUAAAUCUAAUUUCAUCAUUGGGUCUCAUGAUUUGUGGCAAUAUGGUCCUCAUUUGCAGAUCGCAGCAUGAUAUAUCAGAAUUGUUGGGGUGAAGACUCUAAUUUUGUUCUUUGCUGUCAGAAUAAUAACCUUGAAUAUAUACUGCACAUGUUCCCCUAAUUGAAAGCAUAUUCUCUGUUGAAUAUGAUAUUGUAGCCAGCCCAUACACACAACGCAACAGCCAAACUGGAGUUCCAGUAAUCCGCUACGUCGAAGAACUGUUCACCUCAAGGAAUUUGGGCAAUCCAGUCAGAUGGUCCGCUGUGAGCUGGGCUCCAAACACUCAAUCCUGGUUUCGCCGUUUGCAAGUUGUAACCAAAAUGACAUCCUUCUCUGUAGUUGUUUCUGAUGGGUAGUUGCGUAAACAAUUUGCAAGUUUGGACUCGAAUUUCAUGUGUGUGACUAUAUCCAUCGAUGAUGAGGAAAUAUAUCUACUGGCUGAGAUUGCAAAAAUUUCUAGAUAUAUGCUGCUUCAUGUGUGCUCACCUAAGAUAAUCUGCCUUUGAAAACGUAGGGUAGGCACAGGCACCUUGCAACAGGGCGAUGGGCCCAAUCUCAUCUUUCGAGUGACAUUUCAGUAAUUCGAUGAACAUGGCUUCAAUAUCUCACAGUAUCUUGCCGAUUUCAAAUCGAAUUUGCCAGCCGUCAGCUAGCGUCAAACUGUUAUACAGAGAACUUGUAUAUGAAUGAAUCAUCUUUGAUUCGUCCAUGAUGUCGCAGCACUAUAAACAAACUCAUGAGUGAUGAUCUCACAUUUGAAAGUUUUCAUAUCCUAACUAGUUCUGAGCUUAAUGCAAACUUAAGCGAUGACUAACAACAUCCUGAACACCCCAGAUGCUGAAAAACUGCCUCUAGUGACAUGUUCCUGCACUAUGCAAGGAUUCAUCGGACGACCCGGACGGCCUCUCCACCGCCGCGGUGGCCGUGCUGUAGGCGCGCUUCUUCUCCGCCCGCACCAUGCUUGCCAGUUGCCACCGGCGGCGAGGUACCACCGUACCAGUGCCACCGGCGGCGAGGUACCACCGGGCGGCAGAUCCAGGAGGAGGAGAAGCCGAGCCGAGCCGAAUUCCGCCGGGCCGACGAUGGCCCACACCCACCCACAACAUGAGAUGAGAAGGACAAGGCCCACACCCACCCACAACAUGAGAUGAGAAGGACAAGGACAGCGCUAUGUUUGCAGAGCAGUAGCGUUCGACGAAGCCGCGGUCUCUCAGGAUGGAGCGAGCAGCCACCAUCGUGGUUGCGGCAGGAACACCGUGCUCCGGGAGGAGACGGAGGGGGUGCUCGUGUGGCUCACUACGAACCGAGCUUCCAUUCCCGGCCAGCGCGUGGAGCUUGAGACCUCGCGUGGUCGGAUUUCUUGCCGAAUCGGGCGCGCCUCAUCUCUGAUUCUUGCAAACUGCAGGGGUUAGGGGGACCGGAGAGCCGGUUCUCGUGCAUGAGAGGGUAGCGGGUGGCAUGGAGCUUUGCGCUACCGGCAGGAAAGGAUGCUGGAAGGACGGCGGCAGCGGCCGUCGGCAGCCGAGCCGAUCCAAAACAGGGUCAGGAGCCCUUUUGCAAAUAUUCGUAUCGCGAUCCAAAUUAGGAGGCUAUUUGUAAAAAACAGGGGGAAUAUGCAAAUAAUCGGAUCGCGAUCCAAAUAAGGGGGGCAUUUGUACAUUACGGGGGUCAAUAUGCAAAUAAUCGGAUCGCGAUUAUUAAUCGCGAUCCAAACCAGGGGGCUUCAUGCAAAAUUUGGCGCCGGCGUCAUGGCGGCCGGCGACGUCGCGUUGCCGCCGGUGAACUCCGCUUGCGACGUUGCGCGUGUGCCGCGCGAACCUCCGGAGGAUCCGCGUCCCUGCCUAUGGAUCCCGUCGCGCGCCGCCGCCGCUCACGGCCCUAGCUCCUGGAGAUGCUGCAAGCGGUCGCGGGUGUGUCAGAGCGCGCGCCGCGCGGCGCCCAGUGACGCGGAUGGCGCAAGCAAAGCAGCGACGGCGUUGAAGGUUUCCUUGGCUACGCUACCCCCGUUGGCUGCUCAUGAGCUGAAGGUCCCGUUCGUGCCUGCUCCAACGUUUCCAUCCUCGGCAUCGCUGUGCCGUGCGCCGAGCUGGAGUGCUUCGUCAAGGGCUCAAGGCACCUCCUCUGUCCUCUCUCUCGGCCUCGUCUUCUCUCCCUCCUCUGGUUUGUAGAUUAGUCACUGCUGCGCCCUGCAUUCUUCUCCGAAUUGCAGAGCUGAUUGAACUUCUGGUGCGAUUUAAUCCAAUGUUUAGUUUGCUUGUACGGAGUAUUUGCAUGUUCUAACAGUGACGGUCAUGUCUUGUUGCCUUGCCUUCCUGCAGCAGCGGCAGCGUAUGGAGGACGAGGUGGCGGUCAAGCUGAGGAGGUUGGAGCGCCACCGCGCCGCGGCGUUGGCGAGCCACGCGCUCGCUCCUCUUUCCGCAUGGAGGAUCACCUCUCGUUUCUCCUUCCCUGCCGCUUCUUCUCCGUCCAGUUGGGUUGAGGAAUCAUAAGAGCUGAUGAAGCGUGCACUGAGCUUUCCUUUGGAGCAAGGAGCUUUCCAUUUUUUAGUAUGUUACUCCUUAAUUCCUUUGUAAACCUGCGCAUUGAUUAAUCAAGUGUGCUUCUACAUGUUGUUAUCUUUGAUUGGUUUGUUUUUUUAUUAUUCAAUUCCCCCCUCUUCCCGUUUCUUCUAAACAACCGGCAAGAUCAAACUUCUGUAAAACAAUGACUGCGGUUGCAGACCACACCUGUAGGCUACAGUCUGAAUGUCACCAGAAAGAAGCAGCGGGUCCGCAAAUGUGCCCAGCAACCACACAAUCUCUGAUCACCUUACCCAAUUUAUCCUUGGCUUUCCAUGCAAAUGGUUUAGUUUUUUCAAAGCAAACUAUGAUGUAGUUUUUCUUGACCACAUUCAUCAUGCUCCCUGGAAUUUAUUGAAGUUAAGACUUUCUGGAGUCUGGUUUCCAGCCUAGCUGAGUUUGGAGGAAGAAAUUUGUUGUACUGUUGUUUUCCAUUUGUUUGGCGAUACUGGUGCGUUCCUUUUAUCCUCGACGUGUUGGCCUCGUCUGCGGCGAUUUGAUUGUAUCGACUUCAGCAUCGACCUUCUACUUCUACAAUUGGAUCGACACGUCACCAUCCUCGUCUCCGGACCACCCUCGUGGUGCCUCCUCGUGCGCCCGCAGCUUCACGUGCGGCUCCAUCGUCUUCAGCAACCUCGACAGCUACGUCUUGACCACGGCUAUCCUACGCACGACAUCCUCAACCAUAGCUAUUCGUCCUCAUCCCCAGCUACCUCAACAUCGGUAUAAAGUAUAUCGUAAGCAUGAGUUACGUGCUAGUUUUCUCUUCACUCGUAGCAUCUGCACCGCAUCGAUAUUAUAAUUGUGGCAGGAUGUCAAUUUGUUGGCUUCUAUUUUUAGCUUCUUCUUCCAUCUCACCGUCUGCGGUGCUCCCGACUGCGGGGGAUGUUAGAAUAUGUUUGGUAGUUGUAGAUAUAACUAUUGUAGACUACCUUAUGUAUCCGGAGGAGUCUUGCCCUCCAAAUCUUGUACUCAAUAUAUACCGGUCAAGAAGUUCAAUGCAAUACAAUCCAUCCAUUAUACACAAUCUAUUUGUCAUACAGUGUUGGCGCAUGUAUUAUACGGUACCACUCCAAAACAGCUCAUGUAUUAUACGCAAGUCAGCGUGAGCCGUGAGGUUUCCUGUCGUGUAUGGAUGAUCUCCAUCACCUCAAGGCGGUCCUACAUGAGUGGGUUCUGCUGUUACCAGCCGCAGAGAAGGGAGCAUCGGUUGAGCGUGUCACCGUAGAGCUGAAGAUGACAAUAAUAAAAGAGCGUUCGUUCAUAUGACACGUACAGUACGCACAUCAUAUAUACCUCGAGCGUUUUGCAAAGCCAUCGAUGUCCGUCCGGUCUGAAUUAUGUCCAAGAAACAUGAUUCUACUGUCCUGAAUUCUAUGUCUAAUCAGAAAUAAACGCCACAAACUCAGUCGCUCGUUACUGGUGGCUGGUCGUAGCACUUGAAAAUUCUGGGCUUUUGGUUAAAACUAACCCGUACUUGGCAUGAUGAUUUGCUGGGUUCCAUGGCUUCUCUUUCAACAUCAUAUAAGCUGUCCUUUAAUUUGUUUGGGCCAACACGUGCAUGCACUACCGUUGUAAUCAUGUAUCGCGACAUCUUCUCUCGGCUCUGCCCUUAAUAAAACACCAAAAGAGCUCCGCAAGAUAAUGCAGAUUCUUUCGCGAUCAUGUUUCCAUCUUUAUUUUUAAAGCCGGCCGGGGUACGUGCGAGCAAAGGAAAGAGGAGCUUUGGAAAGUUCAUUGACGUUGGAAAUCUGUAGCUUGAGCUAGUAAACACUUGUGUUGCACACACCUAGGUUGGAUAGCCGAAAGCAAAAGCUGAGCUCAUUCGGCGCGCCAGAUACUAAACCAGCAAGAAUUAAGCUAAAAGAAGAAGAAGAAGAAGAAGAGAGACUGACACAGGAACCAGCAAGCCAGAUACUAAACACAACAGCAAGAACAGCAAGAACUACGAGUGCUGUGAACAUAGGAUGCGUGCACCUAGCGCCCGAAUCCAUACCCCACCGCAUCUUCCUGCUGUGUUUUUGUUUGUGCCAACACGAGGCCGUUUGAUUCCAGCUGCCUCCGGCGUGUACUUUUCCGUUGCCCUUUCGGCCGCACACGCCGCCCUGACCAGCGCAUUCAAACGUCAGGGGGGGGCCUGAGCUGUCGCGCUGCAUUAUUGGAAAAAUGCUCGCGAUCGAUCCUUUGGAGCCCGAUCGAACUGCCCAACUAAUGGCCACUCGAAUUGAAUUCGUCGUCGUCUAUGGUUAUCGUCAUCGUCAGGUUGAUGCUAGUGUUUCAGUUGAGAUUUGUUUAUUUUGCGUAUUGAUAUCCCGGAUGAUCCGUCGCUACACGUCGAGCCUGAUGGCGACUGAGCAAGGAUAUAGCAGCGCGCGUCGUGUGCACGGCACGGCCUGUUGACCCAACGGUGGUUUUCAUUAGGUUUCGGAGUUUUUUUGUCGGAAAUCUGUGCCUAAUUAUCAGAUGGAUCGCGAUUUCCUCCUGAUCGCCGUUGUACUUUCGAGUUUGGACUUGGCUUGAUGUUUUCAACCGUGGAACAAUGCGUGAUCCAGUGGCAACGAUCAGGAACGACCCUGCAGGCAAGUGACUGCGCUUAGCCGGGCGCUGAUGUGCUCAGAGCAUCUCUGACUCUCUGUCCCUCCGUCGGUCCCUCCGACUCCGAGCACGGUGUCUGUCUGACUGUCUGGACACGGAACUUGCAGGUUGCCGCGCAUCGUCUUUGCUCUUGCCUCUUGCUACCUGGGCAAAUGGAGAAUCUUUCGGCAUCCCGGCAAAUCAUAAACUAUGUUGUCUCUUCCAUGUCGUUGGUUUCUUCGAAACAGUGCGAGUACUAUAAAAGAGACUAUUUUUGUCCAACAUGGCACACAUGCACGCGUGCUCACAGUAUCGGGCGACGAUGAACAACCACGCAGCACAUCCAUCUCGUCAUCAGAAACACUCCUCCUUAAACAAUCUACUUAACAGUUAACAUGCCUUACCUGCUACUGUACUACCUGGCGAUAUUCAUAUUCUUAUGGACUCGUGCAGAGGUUUCGUGAAGCUCACCGUGCGCACUAAGAAAAGUGUCCAAUGCCUUACUCUUAGGCGAAUAUAGGAAUUAAAGUUUAAGUACAUGCCACGUCGAAUGUUUAGAUAAUAAUUAGGAGUAUUAAAUAUAGGUUAAUUACAAAAUUAAUUGUGUAAAUGAAAGCUAAUUCGUGAGAUAAAUCUAUUAAACCUAAUCAGUCUAUGAUUUGACCAUAUGUUGCUACAAUAAAUAUGUGCUAAUUAUGGAUUAAUUAGGCUUAAUAGAUUCGUCUUGUAAAUAGCCAAUAAACCACUAGUUCACAUUUAGAAUUAGUAUAUAAAUAUUCGAUGUGACCCAAACUAAAAAUUAGUCAUGCAUCCCAAUACCUCCUUAAAAAACCAUCGUCAUCGUGAUCGAGAACCUAAAUCCGUCAUAUCCAAUGCAUUCAGACAUCUCCUAUCGGCCGACCCACGAUACGCAGUUGCUGAAGAUGUUGCCGCUCCUAUUUGCUGAACCUGAACGCCUGCCGUUUGAGAACGCCGACGCGCAGGGCUACGAACAAGCAAAGCUGGAGAGUUUGGCUGGGUCAAACGCACAGAGCGCCUCCAUCCACCAGUAGUGCCGCCACGUUGCUCCCAGUUCCAGUUCCAGAUCCUGAGGUGGCGGCGGCACCGGAGCCGGAGGGAGUCCUCCGAUCCAUCCAACCAACGGCUCCCGUAUGAAUGUCUCUGAUCCGGUCGUCUCCGGGGCGCCAAAUAAACAAGUGCGGGUCCACGUUGCCGUGCCGAUUUCCUCUCCGAUGCCUUUCUUCCCUCCCGCUCCCGUGCGUGGUUGCGUCGCGGAUCCGGAAAAACAACAAGAAAAAAGAAGAAAAGAGCAGAUCCAUCGCCGUCGGUCCUCAAGCCCGCGACGCGACGGCGACCGACCAGGCCUCGCCGGCUCGCCGUCCGCCUGACGCCAGGCCGGCCGGUCCCCCGGAAAACGACCGGGGAGUCGAAACCCACCGCUACCCCCACCGCAGAAAGCCAGGAACCGAAGGAACGAAACGAACUGGUCCUGCUACUGCACACUGCGUAGUGCGUACAACGACUAGCGCACGUACUGUUCGGAAUUUUGCUGACGCAGGCAGCCGUCGCCGUCGCCGCUGCCGCUGCCGCUGCGUAAUCUCGGAAGAACUCACUAACCUUUCAAAAAAGGGCACCGUAAUUACAUCCUUGUCAGCGAGAGCCGUGGCCGGUGGCCCUGCUCGUACUCCGACCGAGGCCUACGGCAACAAGCUCUGCCGAGCCGCCGGUCUGAUUACUCCAACGGAAUCCGGUGCUACGGCGUCAUCCCAACGUUCACAUUUUUCGUUUAGGGCUGCUUAAUCACGGUCAUUAGGGCCCACUAAUGCGAAUUACUCCAGCCUUUUUCUUUUUCGGUUUCGCGAUAUUUCUCGGCUUCCAAGUCGCGCUUCCCCUCUAUUAGUCCAUCCGCGUUCCACCAAACGGGCCCCUUUCCCCCUCUUCUCCCUCCCCUCCUCCCCUUCGUCCUCUCUGUUCUUGUUAAUAGCGCUCGUAAUCCCGUCACUAUCGCUAGUCCCCCCGCCCCACAUCCUCUCCCUGUAAAGAUUUCGUUCUUUCAUCCUUUUGGAUUUCCGAUCCCGUUCUCGGUCCCCGUUUUGAUUUUGCUUGUGAAAAAAAAUCUCGUCUUUGUUGCAAUCUGCAGUAGUAGCGGGGAGGGAGGAGGGAGUUUGUGCAGAGUUUGUUUUCCCUCUUUUUUUGUUCUUUUUUGAUCCGGAAGCGGAGUUCUUGUAGUGGUUACUUGCCACUAAAUAAUCGCGCUUGGAUUGCGUUCUCCGGCUCCGCUCCAAUCCAAUUUGUGUCGCUGGAGGAGGGAUUCGGGGGCGGAAGGCACUGUUCUGUGCUUCCUUGGAUUCCACGGCAAAGCCCGGCUGCGAGGUUGGCGUCCCUCUCGGUCGCAUUCCGCCGGUUGCCAAGGGGCCGGGCUGCGGGAAGAUGGUGUCGCAGGCGCCCAUGGCGGGGGCCAACCUCACGGCGGCGCUGUGCAAGAAGAGCAACCGCGUCGCGCGGGUGCUCGCGUACGCGCUGCUGGAGUGGAUCCUCAUCGCGUUGCUCCUCGCCAACGGCGUCUUCUCGUACCUCAUCUCCAGGUUCGCCGCCUUCUUCGGCCUCGCGCCGCCCUGCGCGCUCUGCUCCCGCCUCGGCGUCGACAGCCUCUUCGAGCGCCACGCGCACCGUGGCGUCGGCGGCGCCGAGCCUCUGCGCCGCGUGCUGUGCGACGCGCACGCCGCCGAGCUGUCGUGCCUCGGCUACUGCAGCGCGCACCGCCGGCUCGCGGACGCCGGGGACAUGUGCGAGGACUGCGCCGCGGCCGCGGCGCCCGGGAAGGCGCUGCUCUCGUGGAUGGGCCGGAGCGAGCUCGGCGAGCGGGACCUCGCCUGCGCCUGCUGCGGCGUCGCGCUCGAGAGCGGCUUCUACUCGCCGCCCUUCUUGCUCCCCACGCCGGCGAAGGGUGGCACAGAUUGCGGCAACAAGGAAGAGGAAGAGGCGGCGAGGCUAAAUGGAGACGUUGUCUUUGUGUCCGAGGAAGGCCCUGUGAUCGAGCUCUUUGACGAGAAACCAUUGCUGGGGGAUGACUCAAUCAGUGUCUUGGCUCACGGUCCUGAGAUUGUUGCCAAUGUCGAGCGUCUGGUGCCUCUUGAAUCCAUUGACUCAUUGGCUGUGGACAUGGGUGCAGUGUCAUCCCAAUCUGGUGUUGAGAAGAAGGAAGCGGUUGAUCAUGUAAGGCAGGACAACGUGGUCAUGGAGAACAUGGUUAAUGCCAAUGAGGAGAAAAUUGUGAUGACAAAUGAUGAUGACAAGGGGGAUGGUGUGGUUGAUCGGCUGAUUGAUGAGCAGAUUGCUGACGUAGCCCUUGUGCCAGCUUGUAUGGAAGGUACGUUUGAUGAUGUGAUAAAUGCAGGCAAAACUGUUGAGGGCUUUGCUGAGCAGUGUAAGUCAUUCCCUCUCUGAUAAAUUAUCUUUUCCGCAAGUCAUUAUCUUUUGCCGUUCCAGUCUAACAAUGAUGUGGCUGUGGGCAUGAAUGUGAGCUUUUUCAAUGGCUUCAUUGCAUAUGUAUUAAUCGUGCUUGUGUUCAUUACCACAUUUAUAUUUGUUUUGCUAGUCAUCUAAGUAAUGAAUUAGAAUGUAGUUUUCUCUACUUAAUGGAAUGUGGUUCUGCUUGGGUGUUCAUUGAGCUGUGCUAUUGUACUCAUUUAAUUAUACUAGAUUUUAGAUAGCACUGUUAUAUCAACUGCACUUUUGCUGUCAUAUUUGAUCUGGUGAACCUAUAGUCAAAGAGAAAAAAAGAAGUAACCUAAGAAACUUAAAAGGAUGAAAUGGACCUCUUAACAAAAAUAGAAGGCAACCCAUGUCAUUUACUGUCCUUGAAGUUGUUCCGUGCUGAUGUUUUUCCCUGUUUCAAGUUACUAAGCCAUCCGCCUUGUUUUCAAAAUAUUAAAUGCAGCUCCUGAGGAGGACAGUGGAUUGAAAGAUAAGGAUAUGGAAAUAUCAGUUGAGGAUGAGAUAUCUGAGGAUGAUCAAGUUAAAAAGGUGUAUACUAUGCUAAGUGACACCAGUGACCAUGAAUUUGUUGAGAAGUUAGACAGAAGUAUCGAGGUGGAGCAUUUUCAACAGGCUGAGUUAAAGCAAAAAUUGAACUUGAUGACAAUGGUAGCUUCUGCGUAUGUCGCUGUAACUCAGCCUGAGGAGAAGCAGGUUCACCAAGCUGAGGUGAAUCAGGAGUUGGGUUCAAUACCAAUACAGCCAAGGGAGCAUUCUGGUGAAGAACUUGAAGGAGAGAGAGCUGCACAGGCUGGGCUGGAACAAGAGUGUGACUCUAUGCCAAUUGAUUCUGGGGAACAUGCUUGCAUGACUUCAUAUGCUUGUACUGAUGAUGAGCAGGUUGAGAUGAAGCAGAAAGUCACUUUAGCUGCAGCAGAUGUUCCGGAGUUUCCAGCAGACACUUUUAAUGAUGACACAAACGCAUGGAAAGGUAAGAUGCUGAGAUCUUAAGAAUCCUUUGUUUAUUUCCACCAGUUUAGUGCAUUGUGAUUGUGUAAAUUUUUAAAUUGAUUCUUAAAUGUUGAACAGAAGAUAUUGAAGAGGAUCCAACUGAAGCUGCUCUAACAAGCAUACACGAACCUUUGACAAGCUUAGACAAGUUCUCUCCCAAUCAUACUGUUACCGAAGAAGAGAGAGACCCUGAGACGCCAACUCGUAUUGAAGGUAUAUGUGAUUCACAGGAAUUGUUGGAUUCUAAAGCAGCUGUUUCUGAUGCUAAAUCCGUAGAUUCAAGUGUUGCUACUAUGACUACUGAUCUGGAAAGCACUGAAUUCGUUAGUGUCGAUCAACUAAAAUCUGCCUUGGCAUCUGCACGCAAGUCAUUGAACAGCCUAUAUGCUGAACUUGAAAAUGAGAGGAACGCUGCUGCUAUAGCUGCUGAUGAAACCAUGGCAAUGAUAAACCGCUUGCAAGAACAGAAAGCUGCAAUGCAGAUGGAGGCGAUCCAGUACCAGCGGCUUAUGGAGGAACAGUCAGAGUAUGAUCAAGAAGCACUGCAGAGGCUGAAUGAACUAGUUGUAAAGAGAGAGAAGGAGAAGCAAGAUCUGGAAAGAGAACUCGAGCUGUAUCGCCACAAGGUUCAUCUCUAUGAGGCAAAGGUGAGAAAAAUGUCCAGGCACAAGGCUGAUGACCAGAAUGGGUCAUCGUCAGCUUCAUCAAGUGCUGAGGACAGUGAUGACCUUUCGCAAAGUUUCUAUGAAGGCGAUGAAUCUGCCCAUGGUCUUAAUGGAAGCAAUGGGAGUAUUCCUACAGAUGUUGUUCUACAAGAAACUGCCAGGCAUCUGGUUACCCUUGAUGGCUCACUAGCUGAUUUUGAGGAAGAGAGACUCUCCAUUCUGGAACAACUUAAAGUGCUAGAGGAUAAACUUUUUGACCUUGAUGAUGAAGAAUCCGAUAACAUGAAGACAGACAAGCAUUUCUCAGAAGAACACCAUUUAAGCGGUGCCUCAAAUGGUUUCUCUGAUGAUGAAAGCUGCUUUAAACUUCAUGACAAAAGAAAAAGUGUAACAUGUAGAGGAAAGAAGCUUCUGCCACUGUUUGACGACGCUACUGUGGGAGCUAGAAAUAUCGUUCUAACUAAGCAAGGUGAUGAGGCAGAUCAUUCAACAGAAGUCACAUUGGACCUUGCUCGAGAGCAAGAUAAACUUGCAAUCGCCCAUGAGAUUGAUCAAGUCCAUGAAAGGCUGCAUGCUCUUGAGGCAGAUAGGGAAUAUAUAAAACAGUGUGUGAGAUCUUUGAAAAAGGGAGGCAAAGGGUUUGAUCUUCUUCAGGAGAUCUUACAGCAUCUUCGAGACCUGAGAAGGAUUGAGCAACGUGCAAGGAACUCUGGGGAGCUUUCACCCCACUAUCUGCAUCUUUACACGGACUAAAGGUAACAUGCUACAUUUAGUAUUGAUGAUCUGCUGAAUUUUUAUUUUCAACAUGAAGAUGGUGGCGCAAUCAUUGUUCUUUAAAUUCUAAGAAAAUCAGUUCAAUGUUAAUCCAUUACAUACACGACGAAUAAACAAAAUUCUAGUUUCUUAAAGUAGCUAUGCACCCCAAAUGUCCGUAGCACAUUACUAAAUUUUGUGCCAAACUUUUGUGCCUAACUAUACCACAUUCUACCCUGAUUUGGUUCUAUCAGAACCCUAAUUCUUGCUUGUUGGUUCCAGAUCAGCUGCAGGCCCUGUGCUCAUGUCCGACCGACCAAUAUAGCUCGAAGACGGAAAGCAUACAACACGGUAAGAAAAAAAGGGAUUGCCGACUAACUAGUAUUGUCAUUGGAGAAAUUUGGUUCAUUCCCGGAGAGAAAGGAGCUCCUCCAGGAAACACCAUCACAGUUGGUUCAGCGACGCCAUCCGGAAGGCAGAUCAUGGAGCAAUCCUGCCUUCCAAGGUCCAGGGUUUUUUGUGGACCACUUUGCACGUUCUCUCUUUGUUUUUGUUGGUUUAAGUUUUCCAGGGUAGGGGGGGCUUCCAAACUUUUGCCUAUGGGCAAGAGGUUGGUUGGUGAGCCGCCCUGGGCCAUGGGGUGUGUUUGUGGGGUUGUGGCGGCAAUCAUGGCCUUGUGCAAGCUUUGGAAUUCAUUCAUUAGCACGAAAACAUGCCGCUGGCAGCUUUGCUGCCAGGUAUAGAGUGAGUAUAAAAAGAGGUAGUCCCAGCGGGCUUCACUAGUUUUUGUUUCUUUUUUUCCGUCUAAAUUCUUUUCCUGUAAAUCCUCUAGCUGUAUGUAAUGCGCUUUCGGCUUAUGGAAUGGUGACGAGGUGUUGGGUGUGUGUGCAGAGCAUAAUUGCUGUUUGAUGAGAGCAUAGCUGUGCGCCUGUGCCGGCGGCCUUUUCCGUUCGUUUCUUUUCUCCUUUAUUGUGCACAUACAAAACUAGUAGCCCUUUUGAUGCAAGUGCUACUUGGUUAAUUAAACCCUGAAAGCAACCGGCGUCAUGCGCUGAUGCAUGAUUGGUUUAGCUGUCAAGGAUCAUGAGAUGGAUGACGAGUUGGCCGCUGGCCAGGGGCAUGGAUGCAGCUCACCGAACAGUCUGUUGGGUGGGGUGGACCUGCCCUACCAUGUUCUGAUGCUGCUCACCAAUGCUGCAUGACCUUGUUGGUCCUGUGCAAUACCUUCUCUGUUCCGGUACUGGUGCUACGAGGCUGUCAGCUGUCAGCAACAGCUUCCGGCUUUAAUCGAAGCUCUGUUAGGUUUCCUCAUCUUCCUAUAGCUAGCUUUGGCUGGUCCGGACAGUGCGGGAUGGUUCUGUCCGUAGCCGUACAGCUUUGGCCAAGGGCCGAGCGAGGCUAUACAUGGCCAACCGGACGGCACGGCGCAACACGGCACUAUGCGGCACGGUGGUCAUGCCGUGUAGUACCUUCGUGCCGACAUCUCGACCCUGGCACGGUCCUAUGGGCGGUUAGCCGUGCCGUGCUGUCGAGCACGGUAGCCCGACGUGCCCGCGCCGACCUGAGGUCGCGCCACCCGCUCCGUCGCCGCUGUCGCCGCUCCGCCGCCACUGCCGUCGUUGCCUGCGCGCGCCUCGGGGGGCCGUGCCGCCGCCGCCUGCGCGCGCGUGGGAGACGGGGAAGAGAAUAGAGAGUGAGGAACUAGGGUUUCCACAAUUAUAUAUGACUCGAUGCGAAUCUAACGACUCUGGUUUAGUUAGGAGAUCCAACGACUAAUAUUUAUCGGGCCAGCAUAGUGCCGGCCCAUUAAGCGUGUCGUGCCCGUGUCGGCACUGCGGGCUGAAUAGGCGGUCCAGGCCCGGCACUAACGUCGUGCCGUGCCUCGCACUAGAUGGCUCACGGGCCGAGCCGUUGCCGGACCGUGCUUCUUCGUGUCGUGCUCGAGCCGGCCAUCGUGUUAGUGCCAAAUGGAAAUUUAUAAGCGAGGCUGUGUGUGACCUGCGACUGCGAGAUGCAUCGCAUCCAGUGGAGUGAAGUGAAGGCGCGAGGGCGAUGCUUGCAGCUUUGCUUUACCUCUAAGCAUGGAUCCGGGCAGAGGUGAGGUGUUCAUCUGUUACUAUUAGGAUGUGACAGACUGACAGGGUGCCCGUGAUUGUUCCCGUCUCCGAUCCUGCGAGAGUUGUACUACGGCACGUGGUGUGUGCGAUGGGAUUAUGGGAAGGUAUGGAACACGUGCAGUUAGUAGUUAAGCUUACUUCAUUAGUUUCAGGAGAUCAUCAAUCGUUUCUUUAUUCUGCCAGGAAAGAUUGUUCUUGGCGUUGAUGGAUUGGCUAUUGGUACAGACUACAGUACCACGGUUAUGCUAGAAACUGGCUACUCUAGUCUAGUCCUAGUCAUGUUUGGCAUCUGCUGAGACAAAAACAUGGAUGAAUUCUUUAACUUUGAGCGACAUCUUUGUCAAAGUCUAUGUCUAUAUGACCCGUGAGCUAAGAGACUACCUGCCACCAUCUCCCCCGUCCUCCCAAGCUCAACGGCCGACCGGCCCUAUCUUUGUGACGCGAGAUCCUUCUUCCAUAGCAUGGCGUGCGGCGACUCGUGCAGCGAGUCGCUGCGGCACAAGCAGGCUUUCCAUUUUCUUCCGUGGCUGGCUGCGGGGAUCCUAUCUAUAUCUUGUGGGAGAUAGAGAUAGGGGAGAAAUCUUCUAGCCCACCUCCAACCCAUUAAUCUCUUCUCCCAUUCUUCCCCGGCGACUCCCAAACUCCCGCCGCCUCCUCCACCACCCCAGCCAGCGGCUGCCGCGCCACCCGUCCACCCACCAUUGUGUUAGCACCAAGUGUAGCAAGGACUAGGAUCAGAGGCAAGCAGCAAGGGAAGGAAGCAAGAUAGAUGGAUACAGCACCAGAGGUCUGUUGCCUUGAGAAAGAAGAAGAACAGAGUAUGUUGUUUACCAAAAUUGUCCUCCUUCUUCCCUCCUCUCCAAGCUAAUAAGUACUUUGUCUAAAAGCUAUUACAUGGGCUGGGCCCGAUAAGCGAAGGAGAUGCUACGCAGACCAUUCUGGACCGAAGACUCUUGGGUUAGCUUUCCUGGGCCUGGUGUUCCUGCUUGCCAUCGGUUCUUCCUCCUCUGCAUUACUGACAUUCCCCCUCCGAUAAGACGUCGCUUGACCCCAAGCAGGCACAAAAGGAUAAAGCUGCUGUAAAGCAAUAGCAUCCUCCUAAGUCGCCAUUUCCAGCGGCUAAUUGGACCAUUUCACCAACACCUGCUGCACUGGUUGGACACCCUUGGUGACUAGAUGAUGAUGUAGUAUCUUUCCAGACACACGAGGAGAGUCCACAUCAGAAGGCAUGACAGGAAUUACCUCAGUACCUUUAGUAACCGCUUGUUUCAGCUGGCUGACAUGGAAUACUGGAUGGACGGAAGAAGAAUCAGGUAGCAAUAACUUGUAAGCCACCUUGCCCACCUUAGCAAUGAUUUUGAAUGGACCAUAGUAUUUGAAAGCAAAUUUCUGAUUAGCUCGAGGGGCCAAUGAAGUCUGCACAUAUGGUUGCAUUUUCAAAAACAUCAUAUCUCCCACAGAAAUUGUCUCUCUGACCUAUUCUUAUCUUCUUAUCAUUUCAUCUGUAGACGAGAUCUGGUCAGGUGUUGCUUGAGCAGGGUAUUCAUAAGCUACCUGUCAUAUAACCAAGAUGAUAGUUUUGGAACAGAAACUGUAGUAGCAUCAUCAAUACCAAAAUGCUUAGGCUCAUAUCCAUAAAGAGCUUGAAAAGGAGAUCUCCCAAUAGCAGAAUGAUAGCAUGUGUUGUACCAAUACUCUGCUAAUAACAACCAUUGCGACCACUUGGAUGGACAUCAUUGACAAAGCAUCAUAGGUAUGUUUCCAUUAUUUGAUUCAAUCUUUCAGUUUGGCUGUUAGACUGCGGAUGAUAGGAGGAACUCAUCCGAAGAGUCACGUUAGCCAAACGAAAUAGCUCUUUCCACCAGAGACUUGUGAAAAUCCUAUCACGAUCAGUAACUAUUACCUUUGGCAUACCAUGCAACUUAUACACAUUCUCCAUGAACAACUUGGCCAUAGUAGCAGUAGUAAAGGGGUGAUGCAUUGGAAUAAAGUGGUCAUACUUGGUAAGGUAAUUCACUACCACCAAAACACAAUUUGUUGAGCCUGAAGAAGGAAGACCCUCCACGAAGUCCAUUGAAAUUAUCUGUCAAGCUUCAGCUGGCACUUCCAAAGGCUAAAGCAAUCUUGGAAGCUUACUUCUAUCUGGUUUUGCUUGCUGACAAACCACAUAAUGUUUGACAAAGUGAGUAAUAUUUGAUUUCAUUCCCUUCCAGGCAAACAAUUUCUUCAUUCUCAUGCGCGUCACUGGGUCUGAAUGUCCACCUAAUGCACUGCUAUGACAGGCUAACAGAAGUUUCUUUUGAAGACCAGGAUUGGCCCCAAUCUAUAUCCUUCCCUUGUAUCUCAUCAACCCAUUUUGCAGAGAAAAAUUGAGAACAGCCUCUGGAUCAAUAGCAAGUUUGGCCAGCAAUGAGAGGGCCCACUCAUCCUGCUGAUAUCCUGCAAUCACAUCUUGCAUCCAUUGUGGAGUAAGAGAAGAAAUUGUAGCACACACCAUCUCAUAAGCUAACUUUCUGGGCAGGGCAUCUGCCACUCUAUUCUCAACCCCUUCCUUGUACACUACUCUGUAUUGAAGGCCAAGGAGUUUAGAAAAGACUUUCUGUUGCCAAUGUGUGUGGAGCCUUUGUUCAGUGAGUUGUGUCAAACUUUUCUGAUCAAUGAAAAUGGUGAACUCAUUAUGCUGCGAGUAACAUCUCCACUGUUGUAUUGCCAUUAGCUUACAUUAGCAAAGCUUUGGGGCCUCAGUCACAAGGCUUAUCAACAUAUGAGAAGGAGUAUUUAGCUGCUGCAAGUAACAUCUCCACUGCUGUAUCACCAUCAAUAUAGCUAAAUACUCCUUCUCAUAUGUUGAUAAGCCUUGUGACUUAGGCCCCAAAGCUUUGCUAAUGUAAGCUAAUGGAUGACCAUCUUGCAUAAGCACAACCCCUAUCCUAGUACCACAAGCAUCAGUUUCAAUUGAAAAGGGUUUGGAGAAAUCUGGCAAUGCAAGUACACGUAUAGGAGCAGUACAUAGUGCUUUUUUAAGAGCUAGAAAGGAUUUGUCAUGUACAGAAGUCCAGACAAAUAUGACAUUUUUCUUAAGUAGUUCAGUUAAUGGUUUGCUAAUCACACCAUAGCCUUUACAAAUUUCCUGUAAUACCCUGCUAGUCAAAAAAACUUCUUAACUGUUUGGAAGAAGUAGGUGUUGGCCACUGAGAAAUACUAGAAACUUUUGUAGGAUCUGUCUCCACACCUUGUUCACUGAUUACAUGACCCAGAUAAGAAAUCUUUCUAUUUGCAAAAGAACAUUUAGACAAUUUAAUUUUCCACUAAUCUUUGUCCAAUAGCUCAAAUACCAUUCUGAUGUGAUUAACAUGUUCUUUAUACGAGGCAGUGUAUAUUAGAAUAUCAUCAAAAAAUAGUAGCACAAAUUUUCUUAAAUAAGGGGGUCAAAGUAGAAUUCAUUACUUCUUGGAAUGAACCAGGGGCACCUGUGAGGUCAAAAUCCAUAACUUUGAAUUCAAAUUGACCACAAUAUGUUUGCAAGGCUGUUUUGUAUUCUUCCCCUGGCUUCAUCCUAAUUUGGUGAAAUCCAGCCCAAAGAUCCAAACUAGUGAACCAAGAAACUCCAGCCAGCUCAUCUAGAAAUUCAUCAAUUAUGGGCACGGGGUACUUGCUCUUGAUUGUGAUAGCAUUAAGAUGUCUAUAAUCCAUACAAAACCUCCAAGCAUUAUCCUUCUUUUUGACCAGUAGCACUGAAGAUGAAAAUGGACUUGAGCUUUUCCGAAUCAGGCCAUUCUUCAACAUUUCUUUGAUCUGCUUCUUAAUUUCAUCCUCUAGAGCUGGAGCAUAUCUAUAAGGUCUCACUUGAACUGGAGUAGCACCUUCUAUUAGAGGUAUAUCAUGGUCACAAGCUCGUGGUGGAGGUAACUCUACAGAGACCUUAAAAAAUUCAGCAAAUUCCUGAAUAAGAUCUUAUAUUUCAGUUGGCAUAGACACCAUCACUUGAUUAUCUGUAACAAACACAUCAAUUGCAUAGACUUGGAUAAUUGUGCCCUCUAGGGUUGCAGGGAGAUUGCCAUACAGAAGAGCUGUAGAGUCCUUAUAAGGAAUGGGGCUGUGGAGUUCCAGCCAAUCCAUGCCAAGAAUCAUAUCAUAAGCAGACAAUUUGAGAAUUUUCAAGUCAAUAGAAAACUCAUAAUUUUCAACUGACCAUACUGCCUGUGGCAUUUGAUAUGAGCAAUUCAACUUCUCACCAUUAGCUACCUGCACUGUCAUAGAGAACUGCAUAGGAACAACUCCUAAUAACUCAGAUGCAAGAGUAUCACUGAGGAAUGAAUGAGAGCUACCAGAAUCAACUAAAACUUUCAUCUGAUGACCCUGAAUUCGACCAGAAAGACAGAGUGUCUUUGGAGAAGGAAUGCCAGUGACAGCAACCAAGGAAAUAGUGAGAAACAACUGAUCAUCACCAGUAUUGGAAUCCCUGACUGUUGAGUCAUCUUCCUCUUUCAGUUGAAAUAAUUCCAUCAAUUCCUGUACUACAUAUAACUGCACAGUAUCUGAACGUUUAUGGUCUUUAGACCAUUUUUCAGCACAAUACUAGCGUAACCCCUUUGAUCUUCUGAAAGUUUUCAAAGCACGCCACUUGUCUUCUGCUGAAGAGGCCCAAGUAGAUUCUGUCGACUUUCUGUCCUCAAAUGAGGAAUUCAUGUGUUUUGUUUUGCUUGAAUGGUUGAGGUGGAACAGGCAAAACGGACUUGAAGUAAGCCUUGCUGGAAUAAUUGGAGUCCAUCUUCUUGCAUUCCUUCUUUCGACCGGAAUCCAAUAACUCCUCCUGCAACUGAGCAAGAACAUAGGCAGUAUCCAAAUCGUGGGGGCAUUGAAUAAGCACAGAAGCUUUCAAUUCAUCUUUCAAACCAUCAAUAAAACGCAUGGUAUGAUGCAUAGGAUUAGCUUGACCUAAUCAAUUAAGCCAGCAUAUUUCUCAAUGUAUUUAGAGACAGAACCUAACUGCUUAAUGUUAAGAAGCUGCCUAACCAAGAGCUCAUGUUGGUCUCUACCAAAACGAUCUAACAACAAGGAAGAAAAUUCAGACCAAAGGCAGGAUUUAAGCUUGUGGUCUAUUGAUGGCAACCAAUGAGAAGCUGGUGGAACAAAAUGCAUCGUAACAACCAUUAUCCAACGAUGUUGCUCAACAUCAUAUAGCUCAAAGUAAUCAACAAAUCUACUAAGCCAGAGUUUAGGGUUGGUGCCAUCAAACGAUGGGAAAUUCAACUUAGGAAGCCUACGAGAACCUAAACCUGAAGGACUAGCAGAUCUGAAACGAUUACCAUUGCUAGGUAAAUGAGAAACCAUAGAUUUAGGUGGAGGAGUAGGAAGACGCAACGCACCCUUGAUCGAGGGAUAAAGCAAUGUUGUAACAGACCCCAUACCCAUCCUCCCGGUGGAAGUUGUUGACGCAGUGCCUUGGGCCUGUCGGCUUCACUCGAAGUAGGUGGGCGCUCGGCAGCCGAAGGUGUGAUCGACAAUAGAGGAGGCUGCCGAUCCAGAACCGCAUGCUCCCAGUGCUUGUUCAGCUUCCCAACCUCGAGGCGAAUGUCAUCGACGGUGCCGUCGAUGUCGGGUCUCCAAUCUUCGAAGGACGACGCCACGCGCUCCAACGCAUCCAGACACGCGUCCUGCGCGAUCUUAAGGUCCGCGAACUUGCGCUCCCACUUGUCGUCGGACUCGGAGAAGCGAUUGUCCCACUUCGACUCUAGCUCAUCGAAGUGCUUGGUGAAUUCAUCAAGUAUGAUCUUGGUUUCGGGAUUCAUCGCUCCGUGGCGGCGCUAAAACCAGAUAUAAUGAUCAUGGGAGAAACGUGAUCCAAAUCUGCAUGAACUAAUUCACCCGAGGAUCGGCUAGACUGAUAUCAAUUGUUAGCAGCAAGUGUAGCAAGGACUCGGAUCAAAGGCAGGAAGCAAGGGAAGGAAGCAAGAUAGAUGGAUACGGCACCAGAGGUCCGUUGCCUUAAGGAAGAAGAAGAACAGAGUAUGUUGUUUACCAAAAUUGUCCUCCUUCUCCCCUCCUCUCCAGGCUAAUAAGUACUUUGUCUAAAAGCUAUUACAUGGGCUGGGCCCGAUAAGUGAAGGAGAUGCUAUGCAAACCAUUCUGGGGCGAAGACUCCUGGGUUAGCUUUCCUGAACCUGGUGUUCCUGCUUGCCAUCGGUUCUUCCUCCUCUGCAUUACUGACACAUUGCCGCUGCCUUCUACCCCACCCUUCCUAAUCCGAUGCCACUCGUGACCCCCGCCGCCGGCCACCACCCACUGGGUGUCUAGCCCCGUCCGGUCAGCAGCACUCCUGCGCCGCCUUGCCCCCCCUCCCACUGGCCGAAGCGCCACCACCGCUGGGCCUGCCGCCGCUGCCAACCUCCUCCUCUUCUAAGGCCGAUGGUCAUUAGAACCCUCGAAACCCGGACCUCUAACCCUAAGUACCGCCGGUCUCGAUCACCACCUGCGCCUGGCGGCGACCAAGCCGCCGUGCUAGGGCGCCCACCUCCUGCCCCUCUAGCAAGCUUCCUCCCCCCGACCUUGUAUCUUGGCGGCGGCGUGCGUGCGAGAUGAGAGAGAGGCGGGGAGGCGACGGGAGGAAGAAGGAAGGAGAAAAAAUCGUGUGGUCGAGAAUAGCUGCACGAAUCUUAAAGAUUGGAAGGUCAAGGGCCUAUCCAUCUUCCGGAAGAUGGACAGGAUUUCCGCUGGCUGUGGACACAGCGUGGGCCGUGUACAGCGUUUUGCCGAAACUUUGACCCACACACAUCUCCAGCACAAAUUCAGGCCCACAUCUACGUCGGUGCCGCCCGCCAUCGAGCCGAUGACCAACACGGCCCAAUUUGGGAAAGUCGGUAACUUCAGCCCUGGCAACGCGGCCUUCGUUCUGUUCACCGAAUCUAUCGUCCGCCACACAGGCGCAAACCCUCCUUCCCCCUCGCCACAUCUGCCACGCCGCCGCCGCCAUGAAGCGCUCAGCCGACGCGAUGACGGAGCCGGCGAAGCCCGUGUUCCUCACCAAGGCUGAGCGGGAGCGCCUUGCGCUCGAGCGCCGCCAGGCCGCCGUCUCCGACCAGCGCCGCACCGCGCUCGACCUCCUCCAGUCCCUGCCCCGGCCCCCUCCGCCGCCGCCUCCGGGCGGCCCUCCCCCGUCCGGCUCCAACUCCGCUCCUCGUGAGUCCUCCAGCUCCCACCGAGACUCCUCCGACCGGGACCGGGACCGGGACCGGGACCGGGACCGCCGCCGCGACGACGACUCCCGCCGCGACCGAGAUCGGGAUCGGGAGCGCGACCGGGACGACUCCUCCCGCCGCGACAGGGACAGGGACAGGGACAGAGACCGAGACCGGCGCGACCGCGACCGGGACAGGGAUCGGGAGCGGGAGCGAGACCGGGACAGGGAGCGUGGAGACCGCGGGGACCGGGAGAGGGACCGGCAGGAGAAGAUGGCGGAGCGGGAGCGUGAGAAGGAGCUCGACGCGAUCAAGGAGCAGUACCUGGGGUCCAAGAAGCCCAAGAAGCGGGUCAUCAAGCCCUCGGAGAAGUUCCGCUUCUCCUUCGACUGGGAGAACACCGAGGACACCAGCCGUGACAUGAACACCCUCUACCAGUCGCCGCACGAGGCCCGGCUGCUCUUUGGGCGGGGCUUCCUUGCUGGCAUCGACCGCCGUGAGCAGAAGAAGGCGGCAGCCGCGCACGAGAAGGAGACCCGUGCGGAGCUGCGGCGCAAGGCUGGUGUGGAGGACCGCCCAGAGGAUGAUGUGGUGGAUAAGAAGAAGGCUGCUGCGGCUGAAAUGUAUGAUGCAUUUGACAUGCGUGUGGACAGGCACUGGUCUGAGAAGGUGCUUGAGGAGAUGACCGAGCGGGAUUGGCGUAUUUUCCGUGAGGACUUCAAUAUCUCCUACAAGGGUUCUCGCAUACCGCGUCCAAUGCGGAAGUGGAGUGAGAGCAAGCUUGGGACUGAGCUGCUUCGUGCCAUUGACAAGGCUGGCUAUGAAAAACCAUCACCAAUCCAGAUGGCUGCCAUUCCACUUGGUCUACAGCAGCGUGAUGUUAUUGGUAUUGCUGAGACAGGUUCUGGCAAGACUGCAGCUUUUGUACUCCCCAUGCUGUCGUACAUUACCCGACUGCCACCCAUAAGUGAGGAUAACGAGGCUGAGGGUCCUUAUGCUGUUGUCAUGGCACCUACUCGUGAGCUUGCUCAACAAAUUGAGGAAGAGACUGUGAAAUUUGCAACCUAUCUGGGCAUUAAAGUUGUAUCAAUUGUUGGUGGUCAGUCCAUUGAGGAGCAGGGUUUCAAGAUUAGGCAGGGCUGUGAGAUUGUAAUUGCAACACCUGGCCGGCUUCUUGAUUGCUUGGAAAGGAGGUAUGCUGUGCUCAACCAGUGCAAUUAUGUAGUGCUUGAUGAGGCUGAUAGGAUGAUUGAUAUGGGCUUUGAGCCACAAGUUGUUGGUGUCCUUGAUGCGAUGCCAUCAAGUAACUUGAAACCUGAGAAUGAGGAUGAGGAACUUGAUGAGAAGAGGAUCUACAGGACAACUUAUAUGUUUAGUGCCACCAUGCCACCUGCUGUAGAGCGUCUUGCUAGGAAGUAUCUCCGGAACCCAGUUGUGGUGACAAUCGGUACAGCUGGCAAGGCCACUGAUCUGAUCACCCAGAACGUGAUCAUGGUGAAGGAGCAAGAGAAGAUGUCACGGCUCCAGAAGAUACUCAUGGAUCUUGGAGACAAGACAGCCAUUGUGUUCUGCAAUACUAAGAAGACAGCGGACAUGCGUGCUAAGGAUCUGGACAAGGCAGGCUUCCGUGUCACAACCCUACAUGGAGGGAAGUCACAAGACCAGAGAGAGAUUAGCCUUGACGGAUUCAGAAACCGACGUUUCAAUGUUCUUGUGGCUACUGAUGUUGCAGGGCGUGGUAUUGAUAUUCCUGAUGUCGCACAUGUGAUUAAUUAUGAGAUGCCUAGUUCAAUUGACACAUACACACAUCGCAUUGGAAGAACAGGACGUGCUGGAAAGAAGGGAGUAGCAACUUCAUUUUUAACGCUGGAGAAUACUGAUAUUUUCUUUGAUCUGAAGCAGAUGCUCAUUCAGAGCAACAGUCCUGUGCCUCCUGAACUUGCAAGACAUGAGGCAUCAAAAUUUAAGCCAGGCUCAAUUCCUGAUAGACCUCCAAGGAGAAAUGACACAGUCUUCGCAAAUCAUUGAAGCGACCUACUGAAGUAGCGGUUGAAGAUCUUUUGGACUAGUAUGAGCGCAAUUUCUACUGGAAAGAGAGGGAUCUAGAUUAGUGUUGAAGAGGUACAAAGACUAUUAUGAUUAGAGAUAUUUUAAUUUAUGUUUGAAAGCUGGCUUUAUAUUGUCAUAACUUUAGUAUGUUUUGGUGAUGAUUUAGCUGUGGACCAUGUGUAUCCUAUCAUAAUUUUGUGCUAUUUUGCAAGCUUUGACAUGGCUGAAUUAUAGUAUUCCCUGUGUAUUUUAUAAAUGCUUUUGGUAUAUUUAGGUAGCAUAUUGCUUCAGACUUCGGAGUCAUUCUUUUAUCAUUUUUGCAGAGAGCACAUUAUCUGACUCUCAUUGUGGAGAUGUAUUGCAUGUAGUUCACAUCAUUUUAGUUCGAAGAGGUGCUAAUUUUAUUUCUUAUUACAUUUUAUUUUCCUGCUAUGUGGUGAUUCGGUGAUCAAUUUUAUAACUUUCUCUGACCUUUGAUCUGGCAGUAGUACAAAAGAAACUAAAUCAAUUGGGUCCCUGUUGUUUGCUUUCACUCUGGGCAUUUAGAAUAAUAUGGUGAAGUGCAGUGCGCUAUACUUCUGAGCCUAGGUUGGUUGUGCUAAAACCAGUUGAAUCAUUAGUGAUGUGGAUCAUUCUGGCAGCAUUUAGAACUUUAAAUCCGGUGACAAUGUUUUGGCUAGGGAGCAAUGAUUAUACCAAACAAGUGUCCAUGCAGAAUAAUCUUAUACGAUAUUUGUAGAUGGUGUCAAAUAGUACUAACAUAGCAUAUAUUCUGUUUAACUAGUGUUCUAUGUUUUUCUAUUAGAUUGUGUAUGUUAGUUAUAUGCUUGUACAAAAAAAUUAGUUCUGAAUAUUUAUCUUAGCUGUGGUGUUGCAUAGGAUAACAAGAGGUACCUGCUAGUCAUAAAAUUGUUAGGUAUAAAGUCUUAAAGCAGUGAACUUUCAGAUUUUAAUGAAAAAUGGUGCAUAGACAUUUCCCUAGUAGUUUUGGGUGCUCAUUAUCCAUGCAGAAAACAAUUUUUGCUAAAUAAUUCCUCUUAUUCGGCUGUUUGCUUCCCUUUGAUCCUCACCAUUUCAAGUUUGAUUUGUGUUUAUACGGUCUGAAUCCAAUAUGAAGUUGAUGAAGUAUGGUAUACUGUACUUGUGGAUAUUGAUUCUUGCCAAUGAUUGAAAUCUUAGCAAUUAUAUCCACAUGCUUGGAUCGCGCCGGGUUUCUUAGGAUGCAGAGGUUUCUUAGGGUGCAGAUAACAGCAAGUUAUGAACCUGUUUUAUUUGAGCUAUCAUCUUUUUUUUUGUUAUCCUUUUAAUUUAUAUUGUAGUCUUUUUUUUUCAGUCGUCCGCACGAUUUUCAUUUGGACCUGUUACAUUUGAACGUGGACUUUAAUUAUCCCUGAUGUAUAUUGACCUUUUGUUUGUAAACAUAGCAAGAUUGUGAUAUAUUCUGAAGCUCGUUUCGAAGUGAUUCUACUCGUUAUCAUUGGCAAUGUUGACACUGUAUACAGAGUGUUCAGGAAGGGUGCAUUCUAUUGUUCAGAUGACGUGAACAAGUUCUAUUCAUCGAAACAAACAAGCACAGGCUCUGAAUCAACUGUUCAAGAUCAUUUCUCCAUAAUCUCCAAGCCUUAUACCACACUAAUUUCUUGUGAUCACGUCAACUCACAUUCAAUUACUGGUAAGCAGCACAGCACAUUUUACAACCCAAAAAAGGCACACCUAACCGGAAACUAAAGCAGCUCAACACCAUUAUGAAGAACCCAAAGUAAAAUAGUUGCACACCACGUUUGCAGCCAUGGUAUGCCAAACAAUACUAAGGAGCAAGUACAGCGGAUACAAUUCUAAGUUUCAUCGAAACAACAAAUGGAAAAGAGCACAGAAGUUCAUCGAAACCAAAAAAAAAAAAGGAAAAGAACAGAAGGGUUCGCUCGAUCUGCUAAAGGCAAUUUCGUCCUAACCACCUAUAAACUUAGACGACUAUAGUUCGACCCAAUGUCACUAUUAUAACAUGCAAAUACUCCGUGCAAGCAAACUAAACAUCAGAAGCUCAAUCAGCUCUGUAGAGUUGCUGUGCGAUGUGCCUGCC
rnacentral:lncRNA from 1 species